rnacentral:lncRNA from 1 species
UUUUUUUUUUUUUUUUUUUGUGUUUGCUGAUUCUGUUUAGUUCAGCUAAUCUUACUUGAAAGCCAAGGCACAUUGAAGAAAGAAAGAAAGAAAGAAAAUUAUACACAAAUAUUACAGCACAAAAACAUUUUAGGCAUCAAGCCAUCAUUUUAUUUAUAAAUAUUCAUUGUAAUUAGUAUAUCAAACACACAAUCACAGCCACAACAAAUUUAAUAAAGCUCUCACCAAGCUUAUAACAUGACAUACAUAACCUUAACAAGCUUUUGUUUCAUACUCACACCAUUCUAUCUCUUAUUAUUAUUCAACUACUGAAAUAACCAUGCAUGUUCAUGCCUUGACAAGUGAAGCAUCCACGUCUUUUCCAGCAUGAAUCAGCCAGUGGAGGUACUUAGUUGGAGCAGGCUCAUUCUCAUUGAUAUUCUCAUACUCAAUUGUCCAUUUGGCAUAGUUGGACUGGCCUUUUGGAAUAACUUGUAAGCUAGCCUUGUAGCUCUUUAAUUGUUCCAAAAUGUGUCCUCCAACUGCUUCUGCAGUGACAGUCUUGUUCUCUUCAUCCACCGUAAGCCUUUCUUUCAGAGUCUCAACUUUUCCAUCUGGGCAGUAAAAUAUUUAUCAAAUUAAUCCAUUAUUAUAGGGAUAUUCUACCAAAUUGGUGGCAGAAAAACAUGAAGUUAUGAUGCAUAUCAUCUUGAAAUUCCCAGGAAAAUCACCAUAAUAUCAAACUGUUCUACAGUAAAUUUUAAAAAAAAAAAAUCAUGCAACUCUAAUUUGUAACUAUCAAUCUUACAGAGUAUAGAGUUGGUUUUUGUUACCUAUUGCAUAAGUCCAGAGCUUGACAGAGCCCUUAGUUUUCCAGUCACCUUGAUGAACCUUAACACCAUGAACUUUGUCGGAGCAAAGAUUUGGAAGUUUGUGUGCUUUACCACCAAAGCUCUGGAAGAACUCAUCAGGAUCAGACUUAAUCUUUAUCUCAGCUUCUAACUUUCCAGCUAGAAUUGGACUAGCCAUAAUUGGUUGUAGUAAUGCUGAAAAAUCGCUGUGCACCUUUUCCUAGUAAAUGCUCUACCAACUAAACUGGCUGAACCAUGAUUUAUAGAAUCAAAUUUUCAUUUCACAGUAGCUUUUAGAUUAUUACGUAGAUUAAGUCAACAUUUUGUGCGAAACUGUUUAGCAUAGAUGGUUAAUUGAGUGAAUGCAAAACUUUUUGAUGACAAAGCAUGUUCUAUUUGCAGUAACAAACUUGAUAGUUUUAUUAGAGAGGUAAAAAAUGUCAUACCAUUUAUUCACGUGGUAAGUAGACGAAAAAAGGAUUUUUUUUUUCCAAACUUUAUAAUGUUUUUGGGAUGAUUGAAAAGGGAAAUCAGAGUAUGUUGACAAAUUGUUUUUUUUUUUCCUUUUUUAAUAGGUAGUCACGCGUAUUGUUACAAGAAUGGAAAUGAAAAAAAAUUAUUUUGGCCCUUCAAAUCAAGAAAUUGUACAUUUGUCCGCUUCAUGAAUGGUGAAGCACAUCAGAAAGUCAUCUUUUUUUUUAUUCUUUUUUCUUUCUUUGUUCGAUACUCAACAACACCAUGGAUACGCUCAGCAAAAGUCGCAAACGCCAAAAUCUUGAUGAAAGCAGCUCUUCAGCCAUCAUCAUGUUGAAAAUACUGCAAAACAGUAGUGAAGGGCAUUGCAUUCAUGUAUCAAUAAGGCUACUUCUAAGACAAGAGAAAAGGAUUUGAAUAUUUUCUUUUUAGCUGCACCAAUCUAAUUGUUUGCUAAUUUUGGGCAAUUGACUAGGAUGAUCAUCUCAUGCAUUAUCUGCAUUUGAUAAUUGAUAUAGGUAAUUAUCUGCCAACGAAUAAAACCAAUUACACGGUUUAAAAAGGGAACCUAAUUGGUACAAAUUGAGAUAGUUACGUUGACAACUACAUUGUGGCAUUGGAGAGAGGGUUGAAUUAGAUGAUAAGUUAAGAGAGAUUGUAAGUAAGAGGUUUAGGGUUAAAGACCUCCCACUUACAAGCCAAAAAAAAAAAGCUUCAAGGUGGCAUAAAGUGACUAAAAUGAAAGUUCAAUUUAAAAAGUGAGAACUAAUGCCAUAAUACAGAGUAACAACUUCAAAGUGGCGGUUGCUAAUAAUUGUCAACAUAUACAUGCAAUAUUUAUUGAAACCGAGGACCAAUUGGCAUGUACAGGGAUAAAGAUCUUACUAAUCAAUUGAUCCAUCUGAUUCGAUUACAUUCUUUAUCUUUAUCUUUUUCUUUUCAGAGAAUUGGAAUUUUCUUGCUGUAAAUCUUUUUACUGCAGCAGAUAUCUAGAUGCUCCCCUACAAGCAUAUAUAUUAACCCUUGAACUAGCCAGUCCAGGUUUUUUGUUGGACUAGGCUUAUUGUCGUUCAGUUUUUCAUGGUCAAUCGUACAUUUGGCAAAGCUGGAGUCACCUCUGGAGAUAACUUGUAACGUUGCUUUAUAGUUCUUGUAGUGCUUCAUACAAUCUCCAUCUAUUGCCUCAGCAGCAGUGGUCUUGUUCUCCUCGUCAAUUUUGAGCCUCUCUUUGUAUACCUCAACUUUUCCAUCUAUAUUUGCAUCACAAAGAAAUUCAUCAGUGGCUUUUCUUAACACUGAAUAAUGUUUCACUCUUAAUUUGUUGUUUCCUAUAUUAUCUAGCUUUAGGCUCAAUUUGCCACAUUUUGGGAAAAACGAAUUUAACAAGAAAAUGUAAUGGAGAAAAGUAUCAAUUAUUAAAAACUAUUGAUGCUUCGUUACGCCAAACUAAACUACAAUAUAGACUCCUUAUCCUUGAUGUCUUUCUCAUUUCGUUAUGAAAAUUAGAUAAUUGACUGAGUAUGCUAACUACUUCACAAGCUAGAUCGCAUAAAAAAAAUAAAAAUUCAUAAAACUUAAAGGAGUAAAUGAACAUUAAGAUACAGUAAAGUGAUGGUUUUACCUAAGUACAACAAAUAAGAAGUAGGCGUGGCAUUAUUUUUUGUGCAAAAGGGUAAAAACUUUUAUAAUGAAAGUGUUACAAUUCAAGAGAUGAAUGGUAGUAUUAAAAGAAAGAGUGUAAGUGAGAGAUUCCGAAUUCGAAACCUCGCACUUACACUAAAAAAAAAGAUAGUAAUUUUAAAAGUUUAGUAUUAGGUCCUCUUCUUCUUCUUCUUUUUUUUUGUGCUUAUCUUUUGCCUUUACAACACUCAAUAGAAAAAUCUUAUUAUUCUACCGUCUUUACGUAAGAAGCAAUAAUAUAGAGUCAAUUUCUUUGCAUCCAGUGAAAGGAUAAGGAGAUAAAGUCAAUUGAGGAGGCUAAUUACGAUAAUAUGUCAAGCUCAAUAAAAAUGCCAUGAAACAUAUGAUAAGAGUUGUUGUCAAGAAAUUAUACAAAAAGAUACUGAGGGAAGCCCAAAGCCCGUGAAAAGAAUAUAAAAAAAUAAAAGAUUGUGAAUAUAUCAAAUAAAAUUGCGGUCCAUGGGCACGAAAUAAGUUGAGUACAAAUUUUGGCAUGAUCGAUUCAUAAAUUUCUGCUGAAAGAUUGUCUCCUGAAUUAUUUGUGGACAUCGAUUGUGAUGGCUCGGAAAACUUAGUUUCCUCUAAUUCAACAAAUUAGUUAUAUGUUGAUUUAUUUGAUCGAUUCAUAGCUUGCUUUAUCAGUUACCUUUGAUUCAAAAGUCAGUCCAGUGUUUGCAGUACUUACUUAUAAGAAUGUGGUUUAAUAAUUUUGCAGAGUAAAAUUUAGAGAGGUUUCGAGGGCUUAGUUGACGAAAAACAAAUAUAUGGAAGGCCAAGCUAAGAAUCAGGGCCUGACAGAUAUUAUUACACUAUGAGGUCUCAUUUCGAUUUACUCUAGCAUUUAUUUAUUUUUUGAAUAAUUGAAAUGGAAUUCAUAUAUAUUCAUUCUUAAGAAAUUGUUCUGAUCUUGCCCCCUUCCUACCUAGUACUGUAUUAUUUUUUCUUGACAAGGCGCACAAAUAAGUAAGACAUUUUAUUUUAGUUGUCAUGAAUUAGGAAAAGAGCUUUUUUUCUUGAAAUUCAUUUUUUAAUGUUUCUUGAUUUUUGUUUUUUAAUGUUUCUUGAUUUUUUUCUCCUACCAAAAAAAAAAAAAAAAAGUAUUUGUCCUUUUGGUUUCUCAUAUUUUUGCAACUUUUGCAGGUAUGUAUCAACAAAUUGUAAUUGGGAUAUAUGUGUGUGUUUGUGUGUGCGUGCACGCAUGUGUAAGUGUAUGUAUGUACAUACAUGUGCAUAUGUAUAUAUAUGUACAUACAUACAUAUAUACAUACAUAUAUAUAUGUGUAUAUAUAUGUGUGUGUAUGUAUAUAUAUAUGUAUACAUACAUCACGCACACGCAUAUAUAUAUAUGUGUGUGUGUGCGCGCGCGCGCUUAUGUAUAUAUAUGUAUGUACGUACAUACGUACGUUCAACAAGGAUUUUCAGCCAACUCAUUGCUAUGUGUACUAGCCACAAAGGUAUGCCUAACAACUACCAUUUAAUUGUUGGAUACAUUAAUUAAUCUGAAGGACAAACCUGCAAGGCUGUUGGAUCUCAUUAAUUAAAUAAGAGCCCAGUGCACAUCUUGGUCAUUAUGACCAGUUAAUGGCAAUAAGGUUGUACUCUCUCUCUUGCCGAAGAGUGGCCAAAAUGCCAAAUCGAAGAGGCGCCUUAAUGUUUAUCACUACAAACUUACAAAAAUUAUUUUGGGUUUCUACAGGAAAAUUCUGUUGAAAGGCAAAAAGUUCAACCGACAGAAAAUUGUGUGGAUUAUUAAAUCUUAAUGCACAAUAACUUUUGCGAGAAUCUUAAGCCUAAUUAAUACUCCCUCCAUUCCUUAUUAGAUGUCCUAAUCCAGUGUUUCUUUUUAUCUGUCAUUUUAUGAUAUCAAGAAAGCAUUUAUAAACUUUUUUUCAAAUUUAUCCUUGUUUACCCUUUCAACUUUCUUGAAUUGGAACUCUAAAUAAUUAAAUGCAGUAUUUGUAGUAUUAACAAUAGAAGUAGUUGAAGAGAUGAAGAAUUAAAUUGAAAUGUGUCUAUUAAUUAGGUAUAGUUGAAGAGAGAUAAAGGGUAAUUUUGAGAAGUAAAAUAAAACUUUUGUUGACUUUUAGAAAAUAACCAACUUUCUUAAUCUAAGAGAAUUAGUUAUUCAGGCCAUCUAAUAAGGAACGGAGGGAGUAACUCGUAAUCCACCAUAAGCCGUGAAGAUUGCUGCGGCCAAUGCGAUAGGGAAAAAAAAAAAAAAAAAAGAAACUCGUUUUCCAGUCACCUUCGUGCACUUCAAUCCUGUUAACUUUCUCAUUCACAAGAUCUGGGAGUUGGUGUGCUUUAGCGCCAAAGCUAUGGAAGAACUCAUUAGCAUCAGACAUCAGCCUGAAUUCAGCCUCCAACUUACCUACUAAUUUACUAGUCAUAGUAGAGAGUUCCAAGAAUUGAUCAAACCGAAAAAAAGAAGAAGAAGAAGGAGAAGGAGAAGAAAAGCCCUACUAAUAACCUUGAACAAUACUAUGUUUCAUGCAACUCAGCCACUUGACUACCUGAUCUAUAGAUGCUUCAUUAAUUGGUUGGCUCCCACAAGUUACAAAUGUGUGGUUCUCUUUUCUUUUAGCUGCAAAAUAUGCGUGUAAUCGUGAACAUGAAUGCAUGUUGCAAUAUCUUCUCAUGCAAAUGAUAUACUGCUGCGUUUAGCCAAUACUGUCACACUUGAUUAUUAGUUAAAUUGGUAAAUGCUCCACUUCUGUCUCCAACGGGGAAUUCAAUGGGAAAUAAUGAUGUGGGGUAUAUUUCUUUUUUUAGGGGCGGGUUAUACAUUUUUAUCUAAUCCUUAUCCAUAGCAAGCUGAAAUCAAAAUUGCUCUACAUUUCAAUUGAAGUCCAUGAUAAUUAUUUGGACAAGUUUGAUUUGUUUUGUAUAUGCUUAGGACAACAUGCCAAGAAUCGACCAAAAGCAGACUCACAGAACACUAGCGUAGCUUAAAGGACAAUUUCGAUUUUGGAUAGGUAAUGUUUUGAUAGAUUUUCAGCUUGCACUUUAAACUUCUAUUUUAAAGUCUUUUAGUUUUAUGAAUACACUUUUUUUUCUGUAAUCUAUCUGUAAUCAAAAUAUGUAGUGGGCUUUGAGUAUUCCUAAGAAGAAGCGAAAUUCGCUUUUGCAACAGAAGUAAAAUUAAGAAGUGAUAUUGUUAUUUAAAUUUAUAUAUUUGUUGUGCAGGUGCGUACAUUUAUUGUUCCUAUGCAUACAUUGUAGAGUACAAUUGUAACUAACAUUGUGGAGAUGCUACACGCCAAUGUUGUACUUUCUGCUGGUUUAGUUCACCUCUUUGGGGACAUUUAGCAAGAAGUCAAGAUAUGAUAAACAAGUGUGUGUGAUACAGCAAAAUUUUAUUAAAUUACAUGACGAAAUUGUGAUCUAACUGAAGUUUUGCUCAUGUUCCUUCGUUAGAAAAUCAAUUAACGUGUUUGUUAUCACAAGAUUACUUAUGCAAUUUAGAGAUCCUCUUUUGAUUAAGAAACCAAAAGAGAUAUUUAAAGAGAGGAAACUAGAGAGAUCCUUGAAAUUUGAAGGUUCAAAACGGUGAACCGAUGCACUUAGCAUUUAUAUCUUCAUCAACUGAGAUAGAUAUAAAGCCACCUAAACAUUCAUUGAUCUUUGCCUUCAAAAUUCGAAAUUCACUAAUUAGAUUGAUCUUUUCUACGCAGCAUAUAAUUGUAAUUACACAUGCAAUUCGAAAUUCAAGUUACUUGUAUCAAAAGAAUUUUGCUAGUUCAUCUAUGAUGAUAGGAUACCUAAAUCAAAAACUGCAUGAAUGAAAAGUUAUAGGAUGGUACCAGUGAAUGUCGCUUGUUUUGUGGAGUUCUAAACCUUGAGGUGGGUUGGAAUUUAUUGCAGCCAACUUUGAUCCUAUGGGGGGUGGAUAAAAAUCAGACUUUUCCAAUAGAACUGGCUCACACAUUAAAAGGGUGUGAUCCCUUUUCCCUCUUGCCUGUUGCAAUAUGAUUAACUUCCAGUGCGUUUAGGAAAACAUUAGUAUAAAGGAGUGAAAGAACGCCUGAAAUUUGCAAUGACAAAACUGUAUGGACAUUAUUUGUGCAGACAUUUGAGAGAGAAUGCUGAGCUGAUAAUCCUUGAUGGAGCAGGGCAUUCAUGGGCUUAUGAAAAAUCUGAGUUUUAUAAGCACCUAAAAACCUUUCUCAUAGGCUGAAUCAACCAACCGACUUAAGGCACUUCAAUCUUUCCUCUUCAACUCAAAGAAGAAAUUUGUCGUUCAACUCAAUUUUCGAGGCUAAAAACGUAGGGGAAAGCCUCUAAUCAAUUGAAUUUGUAGGUACACUUGGUUUCGUAGAAUAAAUAACUGACAAUGAUGGUUAAUAAUUCUUUCAACAAUGUUCCAUUCAUGAUGUAUCUCUGCUCAAGCUAUUGCAGAUCAUACAAAUUCCACUUGUGGAAGGAAGACGGGAAAAUUAAACCAUGUUCAUGGCUGGCCACUAAAUCCCUUGUUAAUGACUUCUAAUCAACUACUACUAUUUCAAAGACACCAUAUAUAAGACGACCAAAAAUUCAGCUAAACACAUACCGUUCUGGGUAAAAGAUGUCAUGGCCCUCAAAUGACCUAAUCAGCCUAAAUUCAAGAGUACCUAUUAUGAAACGGACCAUAUGCCCAAUUGUUUCACAUCCUAAACUAUCAAAGUAAAAGUAUAUUGAGACAAGAAAAAAAGAAAAAAAAAAGAAUAGACAAACUUUGCUCCCUUUAUUUUCAAAAUAUUCAACCUGUAAGCACUAAUCAAACUGAAUAGUCUCAAAAGCUUAACUCAAUCAUAUAAUGAUCACACAGAAUAGCGAAAAAGAAAGGGAGAAGAAGUACUCUGGUUGCAGACUCCUAAUUUGGUUGUUGGAGAAGGGGCGGUAGUAGUGGUUUUUAACUGAGAAUGAUAGAGACUGAGGUUUGAGAGUCUGAGAGUGUAGACUUACGGUUUAGUUCUUUUAUCCUUCAAAAAAAGGGUUUAGUUCUUUAUCCUUCAAAAAAAGGGUUUAUUCUUUUAGGAGUUUUAUUUUUAAAAUUUUUAACGGGAUCAAAUUGACUGCAAUGCCCAAGAAACUAGCUGUACUACAAAAGUUAAGGGUAGAAAUUUCUCAAUAAGUUCUGAACACUUAUGUGUUUUAAGUCUUUAAUAUUUACACUAGCGCUCGAUAGCACACUAUAUUCCUACUUGCACUCGAGUCGUUACAACAAUCGAACAUGUUUGAAAUUGAUUCAAACACGAUCAAAGUCGAAACAAGACAAUCCAUUGAUCAAGCAGCUUCAUAUGUGCACCCGAGUUGCUCGAUUCGCAUACAUCCCUAUCGCAAAAUCAUAGUAAUUGAACCUUCAACAUCGAGUAUAGGAUUGGCCUUUGUUAUUCACCUAAUGCUCAAGUACAUAGCCUGACAGAGCCGGCAUUCUUCCAAUCACCUUGAUGAACAUCAAUGCCAUGGACUUUCUCGGAACACAGAUUUGGAAGUUGGUCUGCUUUACAACCAAAGCUAUUGAAGAACUCAUCAGGAUCAGACUUGGAUCUUUAUCUCAGCCUCCAACUUUUCUGCUGUAUUAGCCAUAGUUUUUUCUAGCUCUACUAGUCAAAAAGCUACUGAUUUUCAGCUCACCUUCACCUAGUAGAAUGCAAAUGCUAACGUAUAUGUACUUUAACCAUCGGACCACCGCUUAUAUAGGAUCAGUUCCAUUUUUCCGUACAUUUGUGAUGGUUUGUACUAAUAUCUUUGCUUUUUAUCAAUUCUGUUUUAGGUUUAUGUAGUUAUACCGCUCAUACCUAUGCUUAAAUUUCAAUAUACUAAUUGGGCUUAAGUAGCAAAGUUUUGAAAUUUAAUUUAAAAAGAAAAAAAAAACCUGGCUACAUUAUUUUUGGAUUAGGUCAGGAAAUUUGCCUUGCUAUUCUUCUUUAUCAUAGUCAAGACAAAAUUUCUGUUGUUAGACUAUUACCAGGAUUAGGUUAAUUAUCUAUGUCUUUUGAUGCAAUAUCGAGAGGCAACAUGUCCCAGAUUAAAAUUAAGGGGCAGAUAAAAUGUCAUAUUAAUCCAAGAAAACCCAACUGCAACCAGAACUAGAUUUCAUGCUUUGCUUUAUGGCCAUCACCUAAGACGAGUGGGUUAGAAAGAUUUGUUUGCUUGAUAUGUUAUAAUACAGGCUUCGUUAAUAAGUUAUUAAUGCGAAUAUGCAAAACAAAUGGUUACAUUAUAGAUUCCUGUGCUUUGUGUUAAAGCUUCUUUUUUUUUUUUUGGCAACAAAUUUUUGGACUGCACGGAUCAUUCCUUGCUGCUUUUAGAUUUCAAAACAGAAGCUACAAAGUACAGAACAUUUUCAGUUUUAGAAAUGCACCUCGGUUUUUCAAAAGGUGCAUUGACUACUGUAAAGAAUAGUUUCAGCUCCCUGAGAUCGAUGCCAGCAAGAUAGUUAAAUCAGCAGUGAUAAAUGUUAUGCAAUGAACCACUGUUAUAUAAAGGAAGCAUGCUGCGAUAAUGAUACCCCAUGAGGAAAAACAGAAACCCUAAUAAUCAUAGCGAUGAUAGUAACACUAAACCUAGAGUUAUGAACUAGUUCUUCGAGUUAAUUAAGAAUUUCUUGGUCCCAUCUAGGGGUGUAAACGAGCCGAAUUCGAGUUAAUUUUAUGAAGCUCGAAUUUUAUGAAACUCGAACUCGAGUUCGAACUCGAGCUCGACGAGCUCAAAAUAUCAAGCUCGAGUCGAGCUCGAGCUUAAAAAAUAAAAAAAUAAUUAUUAUUAUUUUAUUUUUAAAAAAUAAAAAAUUAUUAUUAUUAUUAUUAUUAAAAAAUAAUUUUUUAAAAAAUUAUUAUUAUUAUUUUAUCAAGCUCGAGCUCGAGCUUAAAAAAUAAAAAAUUAUUAUUAUUAUUAUUUUAUUUUAUUUUUAAAAAAUAAAAAAUAAUUAUUUAUUUUAAAAAAUGAAUAAAACAAUAAUAUUUUAACAAAUAAUAAAAUAUUAGGAAUAUAUAUGUAAUUUUACUAUUAAAAUAAAAAAUAAAAAAUAAAUAUAUAAUUGAGACUCGCGAGUCAACGAGUUUAAUGUUUUUGAACUCGAAUUCGAGCUCGAGAUCGAUUUAAUUAGUUCAAGCUCGACUCGAACUCGAUAUUGAUGAGCUCGAGUCGAGCUCGUAUUCGCUCGAUUCGCGAAACACCCCUAGUCCUUUCUUUGUAGUCAAGUCAUCCAAACAAAAUCGUAUUCCCUCGUUUAUUCCAAUUGUACCAAGAGACCAUUAUUUGGCGAAAAAGACAACAGAGAAAACAUGUCAGAUAUAAUCAUAUAAUCAGUGCUCCCAUAGCCAAAAUGCGCAGGAUUAGAUGUAGUUGGGUAUUAAUGGAUCAAAAUUCUUGACGUCUUCACUUGAGGAGAAGACGACAAACUGAAUUUAACUCGAAAAACUCGAAAAAAAUAAUAAUAAAAUUGCGUUUAAAAGAGCUGCAAUGAAUUUAGUUAGGAAUAUGGAAUUAACCUAUCUGGAGAAAGAUGGACAACAUUAAGCAAACAACAUGCGUUUGAAAACGACUCAGCAUUGAUGAAAGGGUUAAAUGCAAAAUACCCCCCGCCAAUUAUACACCUAGUUGCAGUUUACCCCAUAAACUAUAAUAAUAGGCAUUUUGCCUCCUUGAAUGAUAUGUUUGGACAAAUCUAUCCCUUUUAUUUUAAACAUUGUUAUUUUUCUUUUUUCCCUAUCUUUUUCUUUUUAAAUUCUUCCUUUUUUUUUCUUUAAACAUUGUUUAAAUAAGUAGACUAGAUUAGUCAAAAUUUGUUUAUUUCUUAAUUUCAUAUGUCAAUAUUUUAUAAAAAAAAAAUUUAUGGAAUACAAGAUUUUUUUUCCAAAUGUUGAAGUCAAUGUCAUUUAGGAAAUUGAACUUUUCAAAUAUAUAAUAACAAAAUAGAGAAAUUGAUUAAUCAAUUAGUAGUAGUAUCAAUAACAAAAAAAAUGAACUACUAUUGUUGUUUAUUCUUAUUUUUUAUUUCACUACAAAUAACAAUUGCUAACUUUUCUUUUUUAUGUGAUAUAUAAUAUGUUACUUUUAUUAUAAGUAGUUGAGUAACUGUGAACUCUUAAUUAGUUUAUAGGCACUUAAAUUGUUGAAUUACUAGAUUAAUACACUUUACAAUAUAAGCUACAUAUAUUUUGUAAUAACAAAGAGUUUAUGACAAAUUAUUAAGAAUGAAUUUAACAAAUAAACAAAUUAAAAAAGCAGUUUAAAGAAUAUUAAAAUUUUUUAUGUAAGUCCUUUCACAUCGGAGAGAGACAUUGGCUAGUUCCACGAAAGAAGGAGAAAAUAAAGAAAAAAAAAGGAAAAAAAAAAAAAGAAAAAAAAAAAAAAAAAAAGGAUUUCAGAUAGUAGGGAUAGUAUUGUCCAAACAUAUCAUUCAGGGAGGCAAAAUGAUUAUUAUUAUAGUUUAGGGGGUAAAAUGCAACUUGAUAUAUAAUUUGUGGGGGUUUUUUGCAUUUAACCCUUGAUGAAAAGACUAAUAAAGUCAACAGUAUGCCCCCACAAAAUUCAAUUUCCAAGUCACCAUUCCAACCACUUCCUUGACUAAUCCUAAACUUGGAGAUUGAGCUCCAAAAAAAAGUUUAUUCAAAGGCAAUACGAUUUGGGAAUUGCAAUGGGAAGCAAGUCGUUAAAUGAAGUAAUCAAACAUCACUUAGUAAAGGCUUACUAAACUAGUUAAUAAAGAUGUUGUUGGGCUGCUGUAUUUACCAUGAAUUGAUUUAAAGAUGAAAGUUCAGGAUCUUUAACAUGGAAUAUGGUGAUUUUUCUCCAAUUCCUCCUGGCUUUCUCUUUCUCUUUUAUUCAGGUCUCCCCGGCAGGAAAACAGAUACACACACACACACACACAUAUAUAGACACAAGCAUUUGAAGGUUCAUUAUCGUGAACCAGUGCACCAAGCAUUUAUAUCUUCAUCAAGCCAAAAAAAAAAAAAAAAAAGAAAGAAAGUUAAGAUAGAUAUAAAGCCACACGAAACAUUCAUUUUAUUUUUCGUCAUUACACGUAGAAUCGUUAACACAUACAAAUUACAACCAAGCACUAACAGGAGUAGAAUUGCUAACACUUAUACAAAUUACAACCAAUCACUAGCAGGAGUAGAAUUGCUAACACUUACACAAAUUACAACCAAGCACUAACAGGACUAGAAUUGCUAACACUUAUACAAAUUACAACCAAUCACUAGCAGGAGUAGAAUCGCUAACACUUACACAAAUUACAAUCAAGCACUAACAGGAGAGCAAAUUUUUGGAGGCUUCACUAAGCCCAGACAAUGGAGUACAUUAAAGAUUCUCUUUCAUUCUUUGUUUUUUUUUUACUCCGGGUACCCCGGACCAAGAUGGCAAUGAAGAUAAAUAUAUCACCCAUAGAAGAAUUAUAUGGUACAUAUAGAUGUAUUAUUUAUUUUCGUGCGCUUUGAGAAGUGAAGCAUCCACAUCUUUUGCAGCAUGAACUAGCCAUUGGAGGUAAUGAAAUGGAGGACGCUCAUUCUCACUGAAGUUCUCAUAUUCAAUACCCCAUUUGGCAAAGUUUGAGUCACCUUUUGAGAUAACCUGGAACUUAGCCUUAUAGGUCUUGUAUUGUUCCAAAAUGUGCCCUUCAAGAACUUCGUAAGUGAUUGUCCGGUUCUCCUCAUCCACUCCAAUCCUCUCUUUUACAGUUUCAACUUUCCCAUCUGUAUAAAUUUUCACCAAAGUAGAUAUUAAACAAAGUAAUCCAGCAAGGUUAAAAGCAGUUUUUGGAUCCUUUCCAGUACUAAAAUUGUUUCUUAAUCGAUGAAGACGAAGGAUACGUCAAACGAUGCAUAUGUAUUCACGACUUUCUUAGAAAAUAAUUAAUAAAAAUUCAAAAAUGUCCCUUAGCAAGGAUGACACCCUAAACCUUACCACCUUUUCCUAAUCCAAUAAAAGAUUUUGAUAAUAGUAAACGAAACUUCAAGAUCGAGUGCAGGGUUGGCCUUUGUUACUCACCUAUAGCAUAAGUCAAUAGCUUGACAGAGCCUGUAGUCUUCCAAUCACCUUCAUGAACAUCAAUGCCAUGCAUUUUAUCAGAGCAAAGACUUGGAAGCUGGUGUGCUUUGCCAGCAAAGGUGUGGAAGUACUCAUCAGGAUCAAACUUGAUCCUUAUCUCAGCCUCCAAUGUUUCUGCUGUAUUAGCCAUAGUUCCUUCUAGCUCUGCUAGUCACAAAACCACUGAUCAGCUCACCUUGACCUAGUAGAAUGCAAAUGCUAACGUGUAUGGACCUUAACCAUCGGACCAACAUUUAUAGAGGGCCAGUCCCAAGUUUCCGUACAUCUGUGGUAGUUGGACUAGCAUCUUCAAUCUCUGUCAAUUAUCUUUUAAAUUUUAUGCAGUUAUACCAUCAAAAUUAGACAUCUCAAAUUUGAAUGCGCUUAAAUUUGUCUUGCUAUUUCUCUUUUUGAUAGUCGAGAAAAUUUUGUAUCAUCUGGAACAACUUUUAAUAGGAUUAGAUUUAUUAUCUUUGAUAUAAGAAUAGGAGGUAACAUGUCACAGAUUCAAGCUCAGAGGAAGAUAAGUGUAGACGUAUAGUAAUUGGCGAAAACUCAUUGUACCGUAUACUUCAUUAUAGACAAAAUUCUGUCCUUUCACCACAUAUUUGCGAAAUGAAUGCUCUCAAAAAAAAAAAAAAAAAGUGAUCUAGUGGCUUAAUUAUAUGACCACACCUAUUCUUUUCGGCAAAUAGGCCCCAAUUCAUCAAUCAAACUUUAGUCACAGGUCUUAUUUUACAGAUCAACCAUGAGACAAAAAGCAAGACUUGGUACAAUCUCAUGACCAAUCGCUCGAAGUUCAUCAAGCACAAUUUCGACAACAAUGAAAGCAGUAGGUACCCAUUGGCCAUUUCGCCUGAUCCUUCACGCUGGAGUAACAUCAAUCGAGCUGUUUACCUCAUCGGACCUCCUUCUUCAUCAAUGCCAAUCCAUCCACCAUCUGAAUGAGACAUUACAUUACUUUGCUCAUAAUGCGCUCCCCACUCUGGGAAUUAAUAUUUGACUAUAGUUUAGCAAAAUUGCUUAGCUACAAUGUUGUCCUCCAGCACCAAAAAGCAUCUAUAGCCCCCAAAUUUAGUUCUUUUUCUUUUCCUUUUUCUAACUAUGAAGUAUCUCUUUUUCCGACAAAUAGACAACAAGGUUUUAAAUUUCCUUACUCAAGUUGGAGGGCCCAAUUGAUUGACCCACUAUCAGACCAAACCGAUGCACUACACAUCUGUAUGAAUUUAAGCAAUUUAAAGUGGCAAGCCACAUAUAGUAGCAAGUAGUGAAAAAUAAAAUUUGAACUCUUGACCUCCUACCUCACCAAAUGUUAAAGAUUAUGGUAGUAACCAACAUCCCAAAUGACUGUUGGUUUAUUUCUAUCUCAGUAGUUGUUCACCCAAUAUUCUAAGUACAGAUUUCUCGGUCCUUUUCAUGUUAAAAUGAAAAAGAAAAAAAAAACAGUAGGAAGUGCUUUGUCUGUUAUUAUUAAGGAUAUAAAUGUUAGCUAAUCUUCUUGCUAGUAAAAACUUUACUCUUUCUAGUAUAUAUAAACAUCGAAUGCAGGUUGUGUUUAUCAACAUACUACUCUUUUAUUCUUCUAUUUCUCUAAAAUUAAAAAAAAAACAUAUGUUUAUUUGAACCAAAUGCGCAAGCUAUAUCGCGUAUUUUGCCUAUACAAACAAUUGAAGUAUCAUAAAGUACGCUUGCGUGGAACUCUAAGGAGUUAUUCAUCGUAGAAAAGUUGUAAAAUAAAAAUUUAUUGAAAUAUAAAGAAAAGCUCUUAAUUUUUAUCCUAAAACAACUUUAUCAUUCCAAACCCUUGGAGUGAACCAAAAUAUGUUUACUCUAAUAUAAGAAGGAUCUAAAAUUCUGCAAUCACUGAAAAGUUUAUGCAACAAUUUUGUUACUAAAAAGUGUAAAAUGAUCUCAAUUAAUUAAGCAAUGCGUCACUCAUGAUUUCAAUUUGAAGUUGAAAUUUCAAUGCAUCACUCAUUAAGCAAUACAUAGUUGAAAUUUGAAGUUGGCUACAAUGAAUUACUUUCACACAAUUAUCACACACACACACACACACACAAAGAGAUAAUCAAGUAUAUGCUGGCUAUUAGAUAAAAAUUAAUUAUUUGAUGACUAUCAAUGGAAGAUACACUAUUAUUGGAUACGCUCCCACAAGCUGAAGUCAAGUCAGUCACGUACAGUAAAGACGCCUGUCCCUAAAGUUUUAAUCAAAACACAUUUCAUCCUUAUAGUUCUAUAAUUUUGAUCGAUUUCAUCCCUAAAGUUUCAUGUAAACAUAUUUUAUCCUCAUAGUUUCAUAAAAUUAACCAAUUGAGGACAAUUGAAUAAUUGUUAACCAAUUUGGACCAAGUAUCAUUACAUAACUAGCAUUUCCCAUUGAUAAUUGUAUUAAUACUUAAUUCGAUUAUUGAUUAAAUUAUAUAAAUAACAAUGAGUGUGUUCGGAUAAAAUAUUAUUACUUUUAAAUUUGUGAUAUAAUAUAUGUGAAAUAAAAAAAUAAAUUAAAUGAUACAUAGACAAUUUGAAAAACAUGUAUAUAAUGCUACGAAACAAAAAUUUUAGAAACAAAUGGCAAUCGAAACAGUUCUUUCUUUCACGUUAAUAUUUUUCUUCAAUUGAUUGCAAUGGGAUUGUUUGAAAGAUUUAUCCAAUUGGCUAUAAUGGAGUUAUUUCUUCUCCAUGACUUCGUUUCCUCUCAAUCUUUUUGUUCAAUUUGUGAUUAAGAAGAGAAUCAUGGUGGUUGAAAAUUUCUUAGUUUUGUUUAAAUAAGAAAGUGAAUUAAAAAAUAAUUUUUGAGGUUUUUGGUUGAUCCAAUAUUUUCUGAAUUUUACUAACAUGCAUGCUAUGGCCAAGUGAUGAUAUUCCAUUCAAAUUGCUUGGCAAUCAAUCAAUUAUUCUUAAUUAGUCAAAUUUACGAACUUAUGAAAAUGAAAUGUGUUUACAUGAAACGUUAAAAAUGAAAUUGGUCAAAAUUAUAAAAUUGUAAUGAUAAAAUGUGUUUUGACUGAAAUUUUGGGGACGAAAUUGCCUAACACCUCAAAUAAUGAGGACGAAAAGUGCAUUUUUCCCUAAAAAUAAAAUGAACCUUCGUUCUACCCCUUAUGUUUUUGGGCUACACUCCUUUUUAGUUAUUAAUUACUAUGUUGAUAUUCAAGAUAACCGAACGUAUAUAGCUAGACAUGUUCCUUUCGAGGAAUCUAGUUUUCCCCAUUCCCUGGUCCUUCUAUACUUGGUCCACCACCACGUCAAAACAAACCAAUUCAAUCCACCCUUGUUCUACCAAUUCAUGUUUUCAAAUUCAAUGGAUCCUACAAACAUUUUUUAUCAAAAACCGACCACUACUCUAAUCCUUCUUGUCAAAGUCAAAUGAACUGACCCGAUGCUACUUCGUCACGUAACCAACCAGAACAAAAACACUACUACUUUAGCAAAACUUAUCUCUAAACCUUCUGUGGCGUCAUCUGAACUUAUCUCUAAAUUGAAAUAUGAAGUUAGCUGACAAUAAAUUACUUUCACUCAAUUAUUACUUAACAAAAUAAGUACAGUAUAUUGAAAAUCAAGAUGAGAAUGUGGGGUUGGGACAUCUACAUUUGCUUUCUAGUAUAGCGUCCAUUUCACCAUGUUCACAUCACCUUGGGCAGUUGCCUGGAGAGUGGCUUUUACCAAAACAAAGGUCUAAAUUUAAUUGAAAAAUAAAAGUAAAUAUCAAAAUGGUGGAAUUAAAACAAGCAUGUAUAAGCUGGAAUCCAUCAACAAAAUUAAAAAAAAAAAAAAAGAAUAAAGAGAUUAAUUUGUUAAACUCACAUAGUAAUUUUCAAGGCCAUAAAACUAUGUUCAUCCCAGAUAGAGUCUGAUCAUUAAUCAUUUGGAGUACAUGACAGGCCAGUAUAAUUUCUUAUAUUUGGAUAGAUUAGAUCUAUGUAGAUCUUGUGAUUCAAAUUUUGUCAUAUCAUCUCACCAACUGAAGAAUUGAUGGUGUAGAAAAUUGUACCACAAGAUCAAGCCUAUCCAAGUUUUUUACCUUCUCGGUAAACUAUGAGUGUGUUUGGAUUGUAAGUUAUGUGAAAUAUUUUUACUGUAGCACUUUUUGUGAUGUGAUGUAUGUGAGAUAAAAAGGUAAUUGGGAAGAUAAAAAGGUGUAUUGGAAAUUGUAAUGGUGAUGUCAGCAAAUAUAUUUGGCCAAAUAAUUGGCUGUCCAAACACGCUCUAUAUCAUUACUUAGUUUUAUGGGUAUCUUUUCCUUGCCAAGAAAACUAAUGAAAUGACUGAUUUUUUUUUUUUUUGGCGGGUAAAGGCAACCACUUGAGUGAUUUCAGGAUAGACAAUGAUGACUUUAAGCCAUCAAAGUUUACUUUGCAGUAAAAAUGUAUGGCUCCAAAAUUUUUCUCAGUCUUGUUAAAAGCUAUCAUAUAUAUAUAUAUAUAUGUGUCUGCUUUUUCUCCUACAGAUUACUUACUGAGUAAUAAAUUUCUUGGCCCAUGACAAUAGGAACCGUCCGUCGUGGUGUCACAUACCUAAGGGAGAUUCCACUGAUAUUUCUAAGGUAGGUAGGACCAAUAGGAACCGAAAGAUGACUCAGGAGUUUCAAAACUCGGUUUGGACUUUGGACCCCAACCACUUUACACUAGAGCGCAUUGUGCAGUACAUCCAUGGGCCUUCACACCUUCCCCACCACAAAUUACAAGGACAGGACAGGAGCAUAAAAAUUGGCCUUCCGUUGCCGCCCUAUCUCUUUCACUACAGAAGAACGUGUUGUAUGUGUAUCCAUGGGCCUGGUCCUGGGCCUUCCCAACCCCACCACUAAUUAAACGAGAUGGGACAGCGACCCACGUGUCCAUUUGUUUUGUUUGUGACACUCUAAGACAGCGCCAAUAGAGGGAACUGUCAACUACUCACACCAAUGACUCAUCUUCGCCUAUGAUAGGACAGCAACCUUUUGACCAUUCUACGGUGGCCAAUUUGUACGUGUCAGAAGAGUAAAGGUAAACGUAACAUGCUGUCAAACCUCUCGUUUAGGUCGUGGUGGAUUGCUGAUUUUGGAGUUUCUACAUAAAAAUGUAUUAUUAUAGUGAUUGAAUGUAUGCAGAAAAAUGAGUAGAAAAUUUAUUUACGGGAAAAAUGUGAUUUUUUUUUUUUGGAAAAAAUGACUUUCCAAAUGAUGUCUAGAGUCGGGUACAAACUACCCACAACGAAUACAAACUAUCAAUCACAAUUAUUAGAUUUAAACCACAUGCUUUUAUCUAUUGUCUGAGAGCAGUAAUUCUUAAUUUCAGCAUUACUAGAAAAAUGUAAAACCGAUUCCGCAGGUUUAUACUUGAUGUGUUUGAAACCGCAACGGAUCUUCUGUCCCACACCCUGUGCCACUCUCUGUCCCACUUUUUAUUAUAUUGCUAUUUCUCCUACAUAAAUAUCAUGUUUUAGUUCUUUUUUGUUUUCUUAAGAUCCAACAACUAUUAAUUGAGUUAUACACAAAAUUUAACAUACUCAAAAAAUCAAAAUGCAUAAAAAAUGAGAGUUUUUAUGAAAUUUCUGCUGUAUUUUUUAAUUUUCUAUUAUAUAUUACUUUUUUGAAGCUGCUGUAUUUAUUUUUUACUCAAUUAAUAGUUAUUGAAUGUUAAGGAAACAAAAAAGAAUUAAAACAUGAUAUUUAUGUAAGAGAAAUAGCAAUAUAAUAAAAAGUGGGACAGAGAGUGGCACAUAGUGCAAGACAGAAGAUCCGUUGCGGUUUGAAACACUUCUCUUUAAAACUCUUUUCUCUCCCUUCUGACUAAAAACUCUUUUAAUCAAAAUCUCCUUCAUCUCUCCCAUCAGAAAGAAAUCAAAUCUGAUCCUUUUCCAUGGGAGGAAGUACUCUUUAUAAUUUCUAGUUUCUCUCAUUUGAAUAAAUUAUCUCCUAAGAUUUCAUAAUGAGAGAUUCUUCUCUCUUAAGAUUUUCUAGCAAGAGUUUCUUCUCUCUUAAAUUAUUUUAGUGGGAGUUUUAUUCUCUUCUGGGUUUUUCCUUGUGAGAGUUUUUCAGGUUUUUAUCUUUACUAAAUUUGAGAUUUUAUAGAUCUAGAAUCUAGUUUCUCAUAUCCGUAAUUUCUCUAUUAUUUUCAGAUCCAAAUUUCUCUUUGAACUUGAAUCAAUUUUAAUCAAAUCUGAUUGUCAACAAGUGUGCACUAAUAUAUUGGAAUACAGCAAUCCAUCUGGAUGGAAGAUAUAUAGAAGUACAAUGUUAUCUUUACUUAUAUUAUUUUCUUAGAUCUAUUAUAUCUAUUGAUUUCAGAUAUAUAUCUAUCUGUGUCAUGAUUGUUUGAUAUAUUUUCUGCUAUUAGUGCAGAUUUAUUUGAAUGAAAUGAUCUUUUCUAUAUAUAAAUCUGUGUCAUGAUUGUUUGAUAUAUUUUCUGCUAUUAGUGCAGAUUUGUUUGAAUUAAAUGAUCUUUUCUAUAUAUAAAAAAGGGAUAAUCUCAGAAACUUCCCUUGAGAUUUUUGACAAUUUUAGGAAGCCCCCCUCAAUAAAUUAAAAUUACACAUACCUCCCCUAUCAGUGCAAAAGUACUCUACUACCCCUCAUAGAAUACUUAAAGACAUUUUUUGUUGGAAAAUUUUUGAAUAUCCAAACCAAAAACAAAAACAGCAACAAUUGAUUCUCUCUCUUGGAUGCCCCUUACCUUGCUUUUUUUCCCACAUCCUCCUUUGCCCAACUUCCCAUCGCCCGUCUCCAAUUCUCGUCUACCCAACUUUCCUGUUCUACUUUAGGACCUAACUAUUGCCCAUCAACUCUUGCCCGUGCUUGUCCCCCUCUUUUUCCUACUUGACUUAUCCUUUUUUUUUUUUUUUUACUUUUUCUACAUCAAUUCCCUUCUCUUUGCAAACUUGAUUUGAUUAGACUCAUCCCUUCCUCCUUUUUUUUCCUAUUCAGGGUGUGGUGGGUUUGAUUUUUUUUUUUUUUUUGUAUCUAUGUUCUUUAUCCAAUUUUAGUUGAUUAUGGGUGAUAAAACUUUGUGAUGCCAAAGAUCAAUCAUUGAGUUUUUCAAAAAUUAGUUUUUCAAAUACUAUAAAAAUUUUAAAAAGUACUCUAAAAGGUACUCUAAAAAGUAGUCUUAAAUUUUUUUUAAUGUUUAAAAAAUAUCCCAAAAUAUAUUCUAAAAACUCUACUAUUCUUAAAUAUUUCAAAAUAUAUUCUAAAAAUAUUUCAAAAUGUACUCUAAAAACUUCGCUGCAGUCAAAUUUUUUAAAAGCAUUUCCAACAACAGCUAAUCCAAAGGGCUCAGUCCAAGAGUUUGAGAAAUGGAUCUUUGGUUUCAUAAAAUGGGUUGUUGAAAGAAAACAAAAGGCUGCAAAGGGAGGAAGAGUAAGGGGGUUUGACAUGUGGGAUUGGUUGCUGAUGGAGUGUUGGUUUUAGAUCAAAUUUGAGGUUUUUUUUUAUUUCUGGUAAAAUUUGAUGGAGUAUCGAUUUAAUUUUAUCAGUUUAAUAAUAAGAGGCGGGUGUAUUUACCUUGUAGAGAAAGUGUUGGGGCUGGAUAGAGAGUAAGAAUUAGCCUAGGCUGCCGAAAGUAAAUUGGAUUGCGAUGUUUUGCGUGCCUACAAUUGUUGGAAUUGCUUUUGAUUCAGCUUGGGAUGUUUGCUUGGCUUUUCCGAUGGUGUUGCCAAGAAAAAGCAAUCAUCAAAAUUCUUUUUAUUUUAUUUUUAAAAAAUUUUUGGUAGAGAGGAUUUCUUGGCUUUUGAUAGUCUUGCUUGGAAGAAGACAAUCAACAAAAGAGGGCAAUUAGUGAAGACGAUUAGCAAAAAUCUUUUUCCUUUUCUUUUUUUUUUUUUUUUGGCAAGAAGGGUAGUUUAGGAUAUAUGAAGGAAAAUGUAGGCUCUUGGGUCUAUUUUGAAGCAUAAAUAGUGAAAGCAGGGGUGGUGGUGUAAUUUUUAAAAUUUAAGGGGAGCUCUCUGAAAUUGUUUGAAACCUCAGGGGAGGUUUCUGAAAUUAUCCCCAAAAAAUUUCAGCAUUACUAAAGUAAUUGUAUUGUGUUUAAACAACUUGUUUAUUUGCUUUUUCCUCUUUCACAUCUACUAACAUUUAUCAUUGUAAUCAUAUUUUACAUGUAAUAACGUGCAAAACAAAACCAUCGUAGUUAGCAAUUACUCCACUUCAUAUUUUAGUCCUUUUCCAAUUACUCAUGGUCACCAUUGCUAGAGUUAGGCAUUAAUUUUAAAAAUUGUAUCAAGUAUGUGAUCCGUUUUCUCUAUUGUCCAAUAAAAUGUCCUCACUAAUUAGUUUUCUUUUUCCAAUUCACUUUAUCCGCAUAAAUGAAAAUAAUAUUAUUCGUCGUGGAAUCACAUUUUUUUUAAGUGUAUUUGUGUUCUAUCAAUAUUCAGUGACAAAUACAAAUUUACAUUCAUUUGUCUCUUCUUUCAAUCUCCAAUGCACAAAUUUAAUAAAAUUAUAUAUUAUUUUAUUUCUUAUAUUCACUGAAUUAUACAACCAUGUACUUGUAACUUUUGCCUAGCAUAAUGAACAUUGUCUAAUGUAAAGGGCUCUAUUACCAUAUAUAUAUAUAUAUAUAUGUAGAACUCAAAUUUUUAAAGAUUUCUAUUAGUGGCAACACCUGCAGUUAAGAUCUUAUAAAUUCUCUUGACUCUUAUAGAUACUCUUAACAAGAUUUAUUAACUAAUGUUUUAUAUAUAACCUACUAGACUUAUUGUGUAAGAAAUCACUUACGCAAAAAAUUGCUAAAUAAAGUAUAAAUUCCUAAAUUACAUAACUACUAAAAACCUGAUUCUAAAUAAAACUACUAAAUGAUUAGACAAAAACUUGUAGUCUUGAUUCAUUUGCCAGCAAAUCAAUCAUAUAGUAUUUGUUAGCCACUAAUUUUGUCAACCCAUAUCAAGUCUUUUACGUGCCACCAAUAAUAGCUCUUUUAUCGGCAUUGACCUAUUACCCAAUUUGAACUUCAUCCCUGCAAGAAGCACGACGAUCUAAUUUGGACAACAAAGAACUCGAUCAGGGUGGGUGGGGGGAACCAGAAGAGAUGGGACCUUAUGGCCCUGCUCGCCAACUCAGUUAUCUUAGAGUUAAUUGCAAGAAAAUCUCGUCCAAAACGUGCACAUCGUGUUUUGCCUUGCCAUCUAAUCUUCUUCUUCUUUUUUUUUUUUUUUUGCUUUGCUCUCUAACCUGACUGUUCUGACACCAGAAAUAUUUGUAAAUUUAUUUCUUGCCCAUUUGAACAAACUUGAAAAUAUAAAAAAAAUGACCUCUUUUAAUGCAGUAUCAAUUACUUCUGGAAAGCAACUUUGCUAUAAAACGCAACCACCGAUACCCCAGUCACUAUUUAUUUGACACAAUAACAAUAAAUCUUUUUUCUACGCAUGCUUCAUGUCAUAAUCAUCGAACUUUACAUGAAGUGUUCAUCAAAAUUGGUCUCCCAACUUUGAUCUUAUCAGCUCAUUCUACCAUUUAAUGCGACCGAAAAGAAAGUGAAACCAUCCCCGGCCCAAAUCUGCCCGAAUACCAUCAAAUGAGUAGCCUACAUGAAUGUGUUAUGUACUACAAUCUUUUUCCUACUGCAGCUUGAUGAAAAUGGGAAUUAGUUUUACCCUUCAACUCGUACAGACCAUCAACUCGUAUAGACAAUCAAUAUACACAAAUUUUCUUUUACUGCAGUUUCUACAUUGAUCUCCUUUUUCUAAUAUUAAGUAACACGAUGAAUUAAUCUCUUAAACUUCCAAAUUGCAGUAAUUACAGACAGAUGUUUGCCAACUUACAACUACAGCUUCGCUAAAUUUCUCAAAUGUAGGUAUGAAACCAGAGAAUUCUAGUAGGGUUAAUUAGAAAUAUCCAAAAAUAUUCAGGCAAUUCAUAGAAUUAUACUUAUUAAAGCAUGUCCUAAUAAUUAUAGUGGAAGUAGUUUAAAAAAAAAGGAAUGUUGGGAACAAAUUAAGCUAAUUAAAAAUAAUCAUUGUCUUUGUCAUACCUAACAAUUUCAUUCAAAAAUAAUUAUUGUCUUUUUCAUACCUAACAAUUUCAAGUUAAUUAAAUUACGGCUUUUUUUAAAAAAAAAGAUAGUAAGACAACAUCGUAUAGUUUAGCUUAUUAAACAUUCAGUUUUAGAUGUUUAUCAAACAUUAUAGAUAGAUUCAGUAUUAAGAUUCAGAUAUUUAUAUAUUUCUUUUCAGCACUUAAAAUUUAGCAAAUUAAUUGUUUCAAUAUUCAGUUUCAGAAUUCAGAUUCAAUUUUAUCAAAUAGGAUCUUAGUGUGUACUCCUAAUUGUAAUUGAAUUUGAUAUUUUAAAAUUGACAUUCAAUACAAACUUCUAUGUUUAACUAAAUUUGAUUUUUCAAAGCCACAAUUAAUACAAAAUCUCAAAUUUAACUAAAUUUGAUUGUAAAUCAUAUUUAGUACAAGAUGUUAAUUUUAACUAAAUGUGAUUUUAUAAAUGUGACAUUCGCUACAAACUCUUAAUUUUAACUAAAUUUGAUUCUCUGAAAGUCACUUUCAUAAAAAAAUAAAAAAACAAUUUUAACUAAACGAGAUUUCCUUACAUUCACAUUCUAUACAAACUCACAGUUUUAGCUACAUUUGAUUAUUUGUUGAAACGUGAUGCAACAUGUUUGGUAUACGUAACUUGAUGGAACAAAUUUGUGCGUUUGAUAUUUUGUUUGAUCAAUGUUUCUAAACAAACUUGAAGUAACAUAUUUGCGGACGUGCUAGUGUACAAGUCAAUAUUCCUAGCUACUCAAUUUGUCAGGAUCAUAAUCUGUUUUAUCUUAAUUUGUCAGGAUCAUUGUCUGUGUUACUCAAUUUGUCGUUGCUGUUUAGUUCAGCAAAUGUUACUCCAAAUCCUAGGCACAUGAAACAAAGAAAAUUAUACUUCUUUUUUGGUACAAAAAGAAAAAUUACACUUCAAUUACUGCAUUAGUAUAUGGUAUUUUACAAAAUUGGUGACAGAAAGAAUAAGUUGUGAUGCAUAUGUCAUCUUACGCACCUUAAUAUGCAACACUGGUCUGGAGUAAAUAAAAAGGAGAAUUUAUGUAAUCAAAAUAGCAAUUAAUCAAUCUUAGAAUUUUAGUAUUGAGUUAGUUUUUGUUACCUAUUGCAUAAGUCCAAUGCUUGACGGAGCCCUCAGUUUUUCGAUCGCCUUCGUGAAGAUUAACACCAUGUACUUUGUCGGAGCAAAGAUUUGGAGGUUGGUGUGCUUUACCACCAAAGCUAUGGAAGAAUUCAUCAGGAUCAGGCUUGACCUUUAUCUCAGCUUCUAAAUUUUCCAGCCAGAUUUGGACUAUCCAUAAUUGGUUGAAGUAAUACUGAAAAACAACUAUGCAUUUUUUGCUAGUAAAUGUUGUAUCAACUCAACUGGCUCAACCAACGUUUAUAGGAUCAAUUUUCAUGUUGCAGUAGCAUUAAGAUUAUUACGUAGAUGAAGUCCACAUUUUGUGCUUAAGAUCUCAAUUGGAGAAAACUUUCAGAUGAUAGUAUUUACUACUUGCGUAAUUAGCUUGAUAAUUUUAUUAGAGGGGUAAAAAAUGUCGUAGCAUCGGUUCACUUGGUAGUAGACAAAUUUUUUUUUCCCAAGUUCUACAAUGUUUUUUGGAUGAUUGGAAAAGGAAUUCAGAGUAUGUUGACAACUUUUUUUUUUAAGGUAGUCACUCGUAUUGUUGCAAGAAUGGAAAUAAAAAAAAAAAAAAAAUUGGCCCUUCAAACCAAGAAACUGUACAUUCAUCCACUUCAUGAAUGGUGAAGCGCAAUAGAAAGUCGUCUAUUUUUUUUUACUUUUUACUUCUUCUCCUUACUUUGUUGGAUACUCAACAACACGAUGGUUUUGCUGAACAACACCAUGAAAGCAACUCUUCGGCCAUUUCCAUGUUGAAAAUUUCAGAAUGGAAACCUCAAUUGUUGCAAAGUCGAUGCUUGACAACUUUAAGGUGGCAUAAAGUGACUAUCAUGAAAGUUCAAAAUACAAGUGAGAACUAAUGCUAUAGUACAAAGAAACAACUUCAAAAUGGCAGCUGCUAAUAAUUGUCAUCAUACAUAUGCAACAAAUAUUGAAGACCUAGGAUCAAUUGGCAUACACAGGGAUAAAGAUCUUACUGAUGAAUUGAUCCAUGUAGCACAAAGAUAUGCAUCUAAUUCGAUUACAUUCUUUAUUUUUUGUUUUGCUUUUCCGUGCAAUUUUAUUGUACUAAUUCCUUUUACUGCUGCAGAAAUCUAUAUGCUCCAUUAAUUACAAGCAUAUAUAUUAGGCCUUGAUAAGUGAAGCGUCCACAUCCUUCCCCAUAUGAAGUAGCCAGUCCAGAUAUUUAGUCGGACUAGGCAUAUUCUCGUUCAGUUUUUCAUAGUCAAUGGUAUAUUUGGCAAAGCUGGAGACACCUCUGGAGAUAACUUGUAACGUUAUUAUAUAGUUCUUGUAGUGCUUCAUGCAAUCUCCAUCUAUUGCCUCAGAAGUAAUUGUCUUGUUCUCCUCGUCAAUUUUGAGCCUGUCUUUGAAGACCUCAACUUUGCCAUCUAUAUUUUCAUCACAAGGAGAUUCAUCAGUAGCUAUCAGGCUCUAUUUGCCACAUUUUGGUAAAAAUUCAAUGCAAAAUGAAAAUUCCAGUGGGAAAAAAAAAUGAAUUAGGAAAAGUUCCAUGCUUCACAACACCAAACUAAGUUACAAUAUACACUCCUUAUCCUUGAUGUCUUUCUAAUUUUCUUAUGUAAAAAUUAAACAAUUGGUCAGGUAUGCUAACUACUUCACAAGCAAGGGCACAAAAAACUCAUAAAAAUGAAAGGGGUAAAUGGACAUCAAGACACGAGUGGAAUGGUGGCUUCACCUAUGACAUAAGUCCACAGCUUGAUAGAGCCGUCAGUUUUCCAGUCACCUUCGUGCACUUCAAUCCUGUUAACUUUCUCAUUCACAAGAUCUGGGAGUUGGUGUGCUUUAGCGCCAAAGCUAUGGAAGAACUCAUCAGCAUCAGACUUCAGCUCGAAUUCAGCCUCCAACUUACCUACUAAAUUAUUAGCCAUAGGAGAAAGUUUCAAGAAUUGAUUAAAAAAAAAACUACUAAUAACCUUGAUAAUACUAUGUAUUAUGCAACUCAGUCACACCUGAUUUAUAGAUGCUUCAUGAAUUGGUUGGCUCCCACAAGUUAGAAAUGUGCGGUUCUCUCUUUCUUUGCUGCAAAACACACGUUGCGAUGUGUUUUCAGGCAACCACACAUUUCUAACUGCGAAUUGCACUGUGAAAUACUAUUGAUCAUAUGGGAUUUACUUUGCUGUCUGAUCCCUUAUCCAUUGAAAGCAGAAAUCAAAGUUGCUGUACAUUCCAAUUGAUAAUUCCUCGGGCAAGUUUUCUUUAUUUUGCUAAGCUGUGCAUCUAGGGCAUCAUGCCAAUUAAAUUCAACCAUAGAGAGAAUAAUUUCCACUUUGCGUCCACAAUGUUUUAAUAGAUUUUCAGUCUGCACUUGAAAAUUUUAAUUUAAAUACUUUAUCAUAUUGGAAAUUACAUAUAUUUUUCUCUUAAAAAGUAAAAUUACCGUCGUUAAACUACAUUAUGUUUUACCACAAAUAUUUUUGUAAUCUUUUGGUAACUCUAUGGUUUAAUCCAGAUAUAAAAUGGGAAAAUAUACAAAUGGAGCAUCGUUGAAAGGACAGGAAAUUAACUUUUGGUAUGCAACUCCAAAUAAUGUAGCUAAGAAGCCAAUAUUGCUUUACACCAGUUAUUUAUAUUCAUCUACUUUUUACGUACCUGUACACAUUUGUUAUUCCAAUGCGCAAGUUUUAGAGUACAUUUUGACGAACAAUAGUUGUGGAGAUUCCUGCUUGUUUUGUUCACCUCUUUGGGGACAAUUAAUUGGCAGGAAGUCAAGAUAUGAUAACUGAUUAGGGAGAGUCUAGGGACAUCAUCUUAAUUUGCUAUGGUCGAUAUUAAAGUCCAUCUCACCAUAUCUCUAUCAUACAUCUCAGGACGAAAAAGCAACAUUUUACUAAACUGCAUGGCGAAAUUUUGAUCUAAACUAAGUUUUUUCUUGUGAAAUUGUGAUCUAAAUUAAGUGUUUUUCGUGUUCUUUUGUUACAUAAUCAAUCAGCGUGUUUGUUAUUAAUAGGUUGCUUUUCAAAUUUACAUAGUUGUUUAUUGUGAUAGAAUUGCACUUUCAAUUACAAAGUUGGUGUCAAGAAAACUAUCAUGUUUUUUCCCCCUUCAUUUGUAAGUACCGGGGCCUGCAUUUGCUGCCACAAAUUAUGGCUAGAGAGGCAAUAAAAAUGCAUGCCCAAGAUUCUGUAUGUUACUAAUUACUUUUUUGUGUUUGACUUAACACUCAUAAUAAUUGGAGAGAAAUUGGUACCUAUUUUUGGAAGAAAUUACCGUAAUUGUUUUCCAAUUCUCAUUCAAGACUUGAAUAAAUGCUUCACCAAUACGACUUCUAUUUCAACUAUAUGUUUAGAAGAUUUUUUUUUUUUUUUUUUGGGUCAGUUGGCAACAUCUACCCUAUCUUUACACUAAUCUGUUCAAGGAGAAGAUCCAACCUAUCCAAUAAGGGCUAGAAGGACAAAUUAAGUUCACAUCUCUUUUUUUACCACUGCAUCUUAUGUUUUGCCCUUUGACUAACACCUGGAGCUUGUUGGUUAGAAAAGUUUGCUUACUUGAUACGUAGAUAUGGAUUUGUGUCAUUUUAUUUUUGAUCAUUUUGAUACGUAGAAUUACUAACACACAUAAAAAUUACGACCAAGCAUUAACUCGAUCGAGAGCUUAUUCUUAAAAGCUUCGCUAAGCUCACUUCUAUUCUAUUACAUUCAUUGUUUUUUUCAAACGUAUAUGGUAUCCAAGUCAAGAUAGCUAUAUAUAGAGAUAAAUAUUUCAUAUAUAAAAAGAAUUUUCAUAUAUAAACUUAUUUUCGUGCUUUGAGAAGUGAACCAUCCACGUACAUCUUUGAAUAUAAUAAUAUGGAUGAUACGACAAAAUUGGAAAAAUUAAUACAAAUUAAAAGAAAAAAUGUCCCUUAAUUCUCAUGGAUGAUACGACAAAAUUGGAAAAUAAUAAUAUGGACUUAAAAGAGUAUCUAUUGCAAAAUCAUAGUAAUUGAACCUUCAAAAAAUUAAGUAAAGAGUUGCCUUAAUUUGUUAUUUACCUACUGCAUAAGUCCAUAGCUUGACAGAGCCAUCACUCUUCCAGAACAUCAAUUAAUGCCGUGCACUUUCUCAGAGCACAAAUUUGGAAGCUGGUGUGCUUUACCACCAAAGCUACGAAAGAACUCAUCAGGAACAUACUUUAUCUUUAUCUCAGCUUCCAACUUUUCUGCUGUGUUAGCCAUAGUUGUUUCUAGGUCUCAUGCUCACAAAUUAUGCUACUGAUCAGCAAGAACCUUGACCAAUAAUCCAAUGCAUUAUGCAAUUCAAUUUCUUUACCACCUGAUUCGUAGAUGCUUCACGAAUUCGUAAUAGCGCCCACAAUUUAGAAAUGUGCGGUUCUCCAUUGUCUUGGCUGAUCAAUGACAUAAAUCCACAUGUUGCAAUAUCUUUUCAGGCAAAUGAUAUGCUAGCUGCAGGGUUUAGCCAAUAUGCAUGUCACACUUGAUUAGUAGUUAGAUCGGCAAAUGAUGCACUCCUAUCUCCAAAAGAGAAUUGCAAUGUGACAUAAUGAUGCGGGAUUUGCCUUAGUUUAAUUGAGUUGAAAGAUGGUACAACAAAAAUUUAGAUAUGAUGCAACUAAAUUAAAAUAUAAUGUAAUAAAAUUGAAAUGAUCCUUUUACCCCCGAAAUGAAAUGAAAUGGAACUUUUGAUUGCCCAGAUCCUUAACGAUUCAAAUUAAGAGGGAAUGGCACAAAACACUAGCGUAACUUAGAGGACAGUUUUGACUUUGCAUAGGUAAUGUUUUUUUUUUUUUUUUGUGGUGGUAACCUUCUGGUAAAUCUAUGCUAUGAUCAAAACCCAUAAUGGGCAGAUAUACAAACUGAGUAUCAUUAAGAAGAAGUGAGUUUAACUUUUGAUAUGCAACUCAAAAAAUAUAUAGUUAAGAAAUUGUUGUUGCUUUACACUUGUUAUUUAAAUUGUGUACACUUGUUACGUACGUUUGUACAUUUAUUGCUCCCAUAUAUGCAUUAUAGAGUACAGUUAUAACUAACGGUGUGGAGAUACUUCACCUAUGGAGUAGUGUCUUUCUGAUGGUUUAGUUAUAAUAACUGAAGUAGGGACAAAAUCAUAAUUUGCCAUAGCCCCCAAAUUUCCACAAUAAAUCGCAGGAGAUAAUUAAAGCAAAAUUUUUAUUAAAUUACAUGAUGAAAUUGUGAGCUAAAUAGAGCAAUUGCUCAUGUUCCUUUGUGUACGUAACCAAUUGACGUGUUUGGUAUCAAAAGAUUGCUUAUACAAUUUAGAGAUCCUAAGAAACAAAAAACAAAAAACAAAAAAAAGAGGUGUUUAAAGAGAGAAAACUUAGAGAGAUCCUUGAAAUUUGAAGGUUCAUUAGGGGUCAACCAGUGAGCCCAAAAAAAAAAAAAAACUAAGACAGAUAAAAAGCCACACGAAACCUUCGUUUUAUUUAUUUUUUUUAUCAGCAAACGUACAACGGUUAACACUCAUAUGAAGUACAACCAAGCCUUGACAGGAUAGCUCCAUUUUAGAGGCUUUUUUUUUUUUUUGAAGGACAUUUUAGAGGCUUCACUAACCCCAGACAAUGGGGUAUAUUUAGAGAUUCUCUUACAUUAACUUAUAUUGUAUAACAUUCUUUGUUUCUUUUUCUUUUCUUUUUUUCCCCGGUAACCCGAGCCAAGAUGGCAAUCAUAUGGUAUCUAUAGAUAUAUUUAUUUUCGUGCUUUGAGAAGUGAAGCAUCCACAUCUUUUGCAGCAUGAAUUAGCCAGUGAAGGUACUUAGUUGGAGCAGGAUCAUUCUCCUUGACGGUCUCAUACUCAAUGCUCCAGUGGGCAAAGUUUGAGACACCUUUUGAAAUAACCUGCAACUCAACCUUAUAGCUCUUGUAUUGUUCCUUAAUGUCUCCUUCAAUUGCUUCCAGAGUUACUAUCCUGUUCUCCUCGUCCACUUUAAAUCUCUCUUUCGCAGUUUCAACUUUCCCAUCUGUGUGAAUUUUCACCAAAGUAGAAAUUAAACAAAUAAUCCAGCAAAGUCAAAAGCACUUUUUGGAUCUUCUCCGGUACUAAAAUUAUUUGUCGAUCACUAAAGACAAACAAAGUAAUACGCCCGAACGAUGCAUAUGCAUUAAUGAUUUUCCUAGAAAAUGAUUUAUACAAAUUAAAAAAAAUGUCCCUUCGCAAGGAUGACACCCUAAAAUCGAGCAAUAAUAUUAUAUAUACAUAUACAUACAUACAUACAUACAUACAUAUAUGUGUGUGUGUGUGUGUUACAAAAUCAUAACAAUUGAAACUUCAAGAUCGAGUACAGGGUUGGCCUUUGUUGCUUACCAAUUACAUAAGUCCAAUGCUUGACAGAGCCCUCAGUCUUCCAAUCACCUUCAUGAAGAUCAAUAGCAUGCAAUUUCUCAGAGCAAAGAUUUGGAAGCUGGUGUGCUUUACCACCAAAGCUAUGGAAGAAUUCAUCAGGAUCAGACUUGAUAUUUAUCUCAGCCUCCAACUUUUCUGCUGUGUCAGCCAUAGUUGUUUCCAGCCCUAGGUAGUCUCAAAACCACCGACAUUUAUAUAUAGGACCUUGAUCUAGUAGAAUGGAAAUGCUAAUGUAUAUGGACCUUAACCAGUGGACCAACAUUCAUAUAGGAUCAGUUCCCAUACAUUUGUGAUAGCUGGGCUAAUUAAUACCUUCAAUCCCUGUCAAUUAUGUUUAAAAUUUAUGUAGUUAUACCAUCAUACCCCGUAUUUUCAAUUUUAGAUGCUUAAAUUUGAAUGCGCUUACCGCGCUUAAAUUUGUCUUGCUAUAUUCUUCUUUUUGAUGGUCAAGAGAAAAUUUUAUGUCAUCGGUAACAACUUUAAAUAAGAUUAGAUUAAUUAUCUUUGAUAUAAUAAUAAUAGGAGGUAGCCCUCAUAGGGGUGGUCCAGCGGUAAGCGGGCUUUUAAGGAUUCUUGAGCUCCUGGAUUCUAAUCUUACCCUGGACUUAAACCCCUGUGACUCGCCCGGGAUCGCUGCGUGGGGUGGUGGCGCACUCCUCUGGUUUGAUGUGCCGGCUCGAAUCCUAAGGGUUCGAGUCGGGUAUGUUCUGGGUUACAAAAAAAAAAUAAAAAUAAAAAAUAAUAGGAGGUAAAGUGUCAUAUAGUAAUUGAAGAAAAUUCAUUGCACCGUACACUUCUUUAUAGACCAAAUUCUAUCUUUGCACCUGUCUUCACAUAUUUGCAGAAUGAAAGCACUCAAAAAACAAAAAAAAAAAAAAAGAGAAAAGAAAAUGUGAUCUAUUGGCUUAAUUAUUUGAUCACACCAAUUUUUUUUUUCAGCAAAUAGGCCCCAUUCCAUUAAUCAAUCUUUAGUCACAGCUCACAAGUCUCCUUUUAAAGACCAACCAUGAGAUAAAAUCAAACCUUGGUACAAUUUUCUCACUCCAUACUAAUUAUGCCACACAACCUCAUGACCCUUUGCUCCAAAAGUUCAUCAAUCACAGUUUUAACAACAAAGGAAGCAGUAGGUACCCGCUGGCCACUUCACCUCAUCCAUCAUAAAGCUUUGGUCAAGAAAAAAGCUGGAGUAACAUCAAUCAAGCUGUUUACCUCAUCGGACCUCCUUCUUCAUCAAUGCCAAACCAUCCACCAUCUGAAUGAGGCCUUAAUCUGCUGAUAAUCAUGAGCUCCCAAUUCUAGGAAUAUCUAUUUGUCCAGUUCUUCGCAAUUUUGCUAAUUAAAAGGUUUAGCAAAAUUUCUUAGGUACCUCCUGCGCCAAAAAGCAACUGUAAAGGUUAACAACAAGUGUUUAAACUUCUUAACUUAAGUCGGCAUUUAUAAAGGUUAAUUAACUGGUUUACAUACUUAGAUCAUUUUAUCAAUUCGGUUCUAUAAAAUGUUUUGAAUGGAAACAAUAAUAAUAUCGUUUCCAUGAUUAAAGAAUGGGAAUAAAUUUUGCAUGAUUCAGAAAACAAAUUUUGUUCUGCAGGAUUGGUACCAUGUACUACUAUUUCUCUGUAGUUGUUAGCCGACAUUCUAAGUAAGUACGAAUUUCUCGAACCUUUUUAUGUUAUGGGAAAAAAAAAAAAAAGAGUAGGAAGUGCAACCAAACACCCACACAAAUUUGAUCGGAAAUAGUCCAAAACCAAAGUCCAUAGGACUGAAUAGAUGCAAUGAGUUGGAAAAUGAUAAAUCAGUAACCUAAAGUAACAAACCCCGCUUUAGGUGUUGUACCCAAGCUCCAUGAAUGAUUUACAUGGCAUGCCAAAGUACAAAAAAGGCCCUUUAGGAAACGGACGGAAAACUUCCCAAGGGUGAAAUCAAAGUCCUUUUUGUUAUAUAUGUAAGAUUAAGGAUAUAUCUUUUAUAUAUAAUAUAUUCACUUUCAUCAUUAAAUAUGUUACACAUAAUUUAAAUUUGAAUUUAAGAUUCAAAUUUGUAUAUGUAUUAUACAUCAAAUUAUGAUAGUGUAUGCACUAUUAAUGUACGUAAAAUUCCAGUUAUUAUCUAAUCUUCUUGAUAGUAAAAUUUAACUUUUUCCAGUAUAUAUGAACGUCCAACGUAGGUUAAGUUUAUCAACAACAGACUACUCUUGCAAUCUUCUAUUUCUCUAAAAUUUUAAAAAAAAAAUGAGAGUUGUACGGUGGGAUAAUUUUCCACCACCAUUGUAAAAACUACUAAAAGUGACAUGCAUCAAUGAAAGUUUUCUUUCCUCAAAAAAAAAAAGGACCCUUGCUAAAAUAACACACAAUUAAAAUCACGGAUAACUUUUUAAUAUACAAUCAGCGUAUAAUUUUUUUUACAGUAACAAGUUUAAAUUAUUGCCACAUAACAUGAAUUCAAAUUUGAAAUUUAAAUUAUACACAUGUGGUAUUCAUUCGAAACUGUUACUAUAAAAAAAUCAAUACACUAUUAGAACAUAAAAGUUAAUCCUUAAAAUCAGUGCUGUUGAUCUUAGUCCUUUUUGUGUGAUCUGGGAAGGUAUGCAUCCACGUCUCUAGAGAAACUUAUCAAAAAAUCAAGAUGAGAAUGCGGGGGUUGGGACAUCAUCAUCUGCUUUCUCGCGCUCUAGAGUCCAUUUCACAAUGUUUCUAUCAUCUUGGGGAUUUGCGUCAAGUGUUGCUUUGAAACUCUUGAAUUGAUUGUGACUUCACCUCUAUAAGCUCGAUUAUGAUCGUUUUGUUUUCCAUGUCAGUAGCAUCAAUCUUGUCUUUUGCAAUCACAGGACCGCCUGUUUUAGCAAAAGAUAGGUCUAAUUUUAAUUGGAAAAAAAUGUAGAUAUCAAAAUGGUGGAAUUAAAACAAACAUACAUAAGCUUGAAUCAGUCCACAAAAUAAAAAUAAGUGAAUAAAGAGUUUAAUUUGUUAAGGGAAAUUAUUACAAGAUAAUAAAACUGUGUUCAUCCUAGAGUCAAUUAUUCAUCCUCAUAUUUUUCAGUGAACUGUUAUCAUCAAAUUUUUAGGGGCAUCUCCUCUUACGACGAAAAUAGAUGAAAAGACCCCCAUUUUUUUUUUUUUUUAAGUCAAGGGCUUGAGUCAUUUCACGAGAAGAGAUAAUGUUUUUCAUUGUCUCUUCUGAAAUGACUUGGAAUUUUCAUUGUCUAACUAAGAAUUUAGUGAGUUACUUAAUAAGUAAAAGUCCAGGACAUUAAUUUCAGGUACAAAUAGUUGCUCCCAAAACUUUUCUCAAAUUUGAACACAGUAUUCCCAAAUGCUAUCACAUGUAUCCUUUUUUUUUUUUUUUCAGUUUUUUCCCUAAAGAUAAGUUACUCAGUAAUUACUUUCUUCACCCAAGACAUUAGAAGUGUUUGCUUGGCAGUUGCCAGUAUUGGAAGAAAUACCACAGUUGUUGUAUAAUACCAGUAGUCAUUUUCUGGCCAUAUGAAUACACAUGAUGUUUUAACUUCUGCCAAUGUACAGAACACCUUCAAUAGCUGAACUAACAAUUGUAUGGUUGAAAUCCUAACGCUUGUCUAAACAGACAAGACAUUAAAUUGUUCUUAAUUGCGGUGGUUGUUGUAUUGCAUCUAUCAAAAACUGUGGUAUAUUAAAGCACACUUGGAGAAAUUGUAUCCAGAAAUUUGUAUAUCAAAAAAUCCAAGCACUUGGAGAAUAUGAGGAACUGAUCAAUCGCUUUAUGUCAUUUUUAGCCUCUUUGUUAAUGUUCUCAGUUUUUGUUUCUAAAUUUAUGAAAUGCAAUUGUAAUUGGAGGAAGGUUUUUUACCCCCCAGAAAGUUUCCUUCUUCUUACAAAAUUAGAGUGGCCACUCGAAUUUUUUUAAAAAAAAAAGAUAUUUAGAAAGAGUGAUUAUCCUAUAAAAAAAAUAUUUGAAUAUCGCAAUAAACACAUAUUUCAUACAACCAGUCUAGAUCAACUGAGCGAAAAAUAAAAUUAAAAAAAAAAAGGCAAUACUAUGGCAAGGCAAGGUGAUUUAGUUAAUAAUAAUAGUACUUACCCAUGACACAACUCCAAAAUCUGAUAGAGCCAACACUGUUUCCAUCACCUUCGGUCCUUCGAGCACUUGAAUGCUUUGCAGUUUGUCAGGACUAAUCUUGGGCACGCGGCUGGUUUUGUUCUGGCAAACAUCAAAUACCCUCUCGGGAGAAGAUUUUAUUUCUGUCUGGAGCUCAAGCUUACGAAGUUGAGCCAUUGUUGUACUACUAUUUUCUUGACUUUUUUGGGCUAUGUAAAAAGGAAUAACUUUGCUAACUUGAUAUCAAGACGUCUAGAAUGUGGCCUAUUAGUAAUGUCAAAAGAAGAUUGCCUGCUUUAUUAGAUGAAUCAUUCCAUACUGGUUUUGGGUUCCAAAAGAAGCUAUAAAGUACAAAAUAAUUUCAGAUUCAAAAAACGCACCUUAGCUUAUAAUAAUGGUACCGCAUGCGGUACAACAGAAUCCCUAAUAAUCGAAUGACAUUAAUAACACUAAACUCAUUUAUAUUUUCAUAUUUACCGGUCAAUAAUCAAAUGGUUAACCUGGUUCUUGAUGUAGAAAUAUCUAGAGAUGGCAAAAGAUCAGGUUUGGGGUGGGAGAUGACCCUUUUUACAAAAAUUCUCCUCGCUCUCUGCCCCAUCCCCCGCACGCCCUGCCCUAUCCCACUAUUAAUUUUAUUUUGAUAAAUUACCUUUUAUCUCGAUAUGAUUUGGUGUUUUAUCACGUAGCUCUUUUAUGAUUUAGAAAUCUAUAUAUAACUCUCUCAUGAUAUACGUUAAAGUGCCAUCAUUAAACUAAUAAAUUGACAAAUUCACCAUUUCGUCACUUUUUUUUUCUUUUUUCUUUUUUCCUUCUCUCUCUCUCUCUCUCUCUCUCUCUCUCUCUCUCUCUCUCUCGUCAAGAGACGAGAUGAUUUUGAAAACUUAUAUUUUGGCCUACAAAAUCUUAAUUUUCUUCAAAUACAAAAGAGAUAGAAGAGAAAUAAAAAGUAAAUAAAUAAAUAAACAAAAAAAGAUGGAAGGAAAAUAUAAAACAAAUAAAUAAGAAACAAAAAAUAUCAAAUGCUUUUUUUACUACAAAUAUCAUUAUAGGUUUUUAAACGAAAUCUUAAUGGUAUUUACUAGUUCUUAUUUAUUUAUUUUUUAUUUCAGUUUCUGCUUUUUUAUGUUUGGAGGAAAAAAGAAGUAAUGAAAGUGUAAUUUUAUCAAUCUAUUAAUUUGACUUUGACUUUGACUUUUUAUUAUUGAUCAUUAGUUUUAAUAGAAAUAUUAAUGAUGAUACUUUAACUCAAUCCACGAAGGAGUUACAUAUAGAUUUUUAAACCAUAUGAAAGUUAUAUGAUAAGAGUAAAAGUUUUCUCUUCUGUAUUGGGAAUAUUGAGGGUUCAAUCAACAAACAAGUUCGGUAAAGUUCUCUCUUUAUUGUAAGCAGUUCCACCAUUUUGAAAAUAUUAUCUUCUGUCCUAAUCAAAAUUUAAUUUUUGCGUAAACAAACAAUAAGAAAGAAUUCUUCAAACCUUAUUUUUUGGUUACCAAAAUGUUGAGUGGGAGCACCAUUUGACUUUUAUCUCGUUUUGAAAAACCUGCUUAGCAAUUGACUCAUCUCUUGUUAGUUUUAUUUGUUAAUUACCAAGAAAUUAAGGCAGAUCUAUAAAAAUCCUUGAUACAACGACACGGGUACCAACAUGUCGGCUGCCUUUUUUCUUUCUUAAGUGAGAGGUCUUAAAUUCAAAGUUUCUUAUUUAUACCUCCCAUUUAGAAUCUCUCUACAGUAUAAGAUAUUGUGAUGAUUUUGACAAGUUGGUAAACUGUGUAUAUUUGUCAUGCAAGUGAGCAUAUUUAUUUUUCCCAUAUAUAUGUGUUGUAGAUAAAUCGAACCGCUCGCGAGCGGCUCGAGUCGAAUUCAAGCUGGUCGAGUCGAAUUCGAACUCGAACUCAAGUUUAAAAUAUUGAGCUCGUUAGUUCUCGAGAUUGAGUAGAUAUAUAUUUUUCGAGCUAUUAUAUAUAUAUAUAUAUAUAUAUAUAUAUAUAUUUUAAAAUAUUGAGCUCGUAUAGUAAUAUUUUUUAUUUUUUAUUUUUCGAGCUAUUCAAGCCGAGCUCAAGUUUCAAAAUUAUCAACUUAUCGAUCUCGAACUCGAGUUAGAGUUCGAUAAAACUAAGUCAAUGCUCGAUUCGAUUUGAUCAAAUCUUAAUUCAUUUUGAUUCGUUUGCAGCCCUAGUUGUAAACUACAAUAUAACUAACGUUGUGGAGAUAAUUCACCCCAGUAUUGUCUUUCUCCUCGCUUAGUUCGCCUCUCUGGCGACAUUUAGCAGGAAGUCAAGACAGGAUAACUCGAGCAGAGUAGAGCAGGGACAAUUGAUCUGAACAGUGUAAUAUUUUUUGAACGUUUUAUAAUUCUAUAUAAACUUCUUAUACAUCCUUACAAUAGAGGUGUGAUAUUUUGUUACUAUUUAUGUGAGUCUCAUAUGUAAUAAUUGUGUGUUUGGUGUUAAAUUUUAUAACUAGUUCAUGUAGAAUUACGCCUUAUUCAAAAAUAUUAUUUCAUUCAGAACGAUUGUUAUUAACAACCAUCGGGGCCAUUAGUCCGCCGACCAAGAAGGUAUGACAACUGAGCAGGGACACAAUCAUAAUUUGCCAUGGCCCCUACCAAAGUCCAUCUCACCAAAUUUUUUUUUUUUUUCCUCACCAAAUUUCUACGAUAAAUCUCAGGAGAUAAAGCAAAUUUUUAUCAUAUUACUUGACGAAAUUGUGAGCUAACUAAAGUUUUGCUCAUGUUCCUUUCUGUACAUGAUCAAUUAACGUGUUUGUUAUCAAAAGAUUGCUCAUACAAUUUACAGAUCCUAAAAAGCACGAGGCGUUUAAAUAGAGAAAACUAAUGACAUCCCUGAACUUUGAAGGUUCAAUAUGGCGAACCAGUGCAGUGAGCAUUUAUAUCUUCAUCAAGCCAAAAAAACACUAAUAGAUAUAAAGCCACACAAAACAUUCAUUUUAGAUUUUAUCAUUACACGUAGAAUUGAUAUAAAUUACAACGAUGCACUGGCAGGAGAGCUUAUUUUUAGAGGCUUCACUAAGCCCAGACAAUGGAAUACCUUUAGUGAUUAUCAUAUAUUGUAUUACAUAUCUUUUUUUUCCCCUAGUAUUAACAUGUAUAUGGACCUUAACCAUCGACCGACAUUCAUAUAGGAUCAGUUCCAAUUUUCUGUGCAUUUGUGAUAGUUGGACUAAUAUCUUCAAUCUUUGUCAAUUAUGUUUUAAAUUUAUGCAGCUGUACCAUCAUACCCCAAAUUUUCAACAUUGAUUAGACUUAAAUUUGAUUAGGUUUAUUGCGCUUGAAUUCGUCUUGCUAUCCUUUGCUUUAGUCAAGAGAAAAUUGUGUGUCAUAAGUACCAGCUUUUAACUAAUUUCAAGAGUUGGGUAGUUAACUAAUCUAUGAGGUUAGGAGCUGGGUAGUUAAAUUCUCAAAUUUAUCUCAAGAGUUGUCGUCUUUUGAGAUUAAAUUUGAGAUUAAAUUUAACUAAUCAAUUUCAAAAAUCUGAAAAAAAAAAAAAAAGUACCAGCUUUUAAUGAGAUGUGGUCAAUUAUCUUUGAUGUAAAUAUAGGAGACAACUAGUCACAGAUUCAAAUUAAGGGGCAGAUAAAGUGUCACAGCAAUCGAAGAAAACUCAUUGUACCAUAUACUUUUUAAUAGACCAGAGAUUCUAUCCUUCCACCUGUCUCCAUUUAUUUGCAAAAUGAAAGUAUUAAUGAUUUGAUGUCACCUAUUUUCAGCAAUUAGAUCCCAUUUCAUCAAUCAAUCUUUCAGUCACAAGUCUCCUUUUUCAGACCAACCAUGACAUAGGAGCAAACCUUGGUACGAUUUUCCAAUUCCAAACUGAUUAUGCCACACAACCUCAUGGCCAUCUGCUUGAAGUUCAUCGAAUACAAUAAUUUUAUCCACAAAAGAAAGCAGUAGGUGCCCAGUUCAUCUCAUCCUUGAUGUAAAGUUUUGGUCAAGAAAAUUGCUGGAGUAACAUCAAUCAGCCUCUGAAAAUAACCACAUCACACCUUCUUCUUCAUCAAGGCCAAUCCAUCCACCAUCUGAAAAUAAAUAUUUGUCCAAUUCUUCGCAAUAUUGCCAAUUAAAAGGUUUACCAAAAUUUCUUGGCUACAAUGUUUUUCUCCAGCACCAAAAAGCAUCUGUAACUCCCAAAUUGAGUUCUUUGUUUUUUUAAUCUAUGAAGUAUCCCUUUUUCUGAUAAAUAGACAAGAAGUUAAAUCAUGGCAACAUUUAUAAAGGUUAACUGGUUUACGUGCUUAGAUAUUUUUAUCAAUUCGGUCCUAUAAAAUGUUUUGAAUGGAAAUAAUAAUAUCGUUUCCUUGUUUAAAGAAUGGGAAUAAAUUUUUUCAUGAAUCUGAAAACAAAGUUAGUUCUACAAGAUUGGCACUAUGUGCUGCUAUUUCUCACUAGUUGUUUACUAGACGUUCUAAGUAAGUACAAAUUUCUCGGUCCUUUUUUGAUGUUAAAAAUGGAGAAAGGAAAAAAAAAAAGCAGUAGGAAGUGCUUUGUCUGUUGUUACUAAGGAUAUAAUUAGUAUCUAAUCCUCUUGAUAAUAGAACGUUACUUUUUCGAGUACUAUUUCUAUAAAAUUAAAAAAAAAAAAACAUAUGUUUACUUGAACCAAAUUGGCGAGCUACAUCGCUUAGUUUGCCCAUACAAACAACUGAAGUAUCAUAAAUUACGCUUGCGGGAAACCCAAAGGAGUUAUUCGUAUAGUAGAAAAUUUAUACAAUGAAAUUUUAUUGAAAAAUGAAGAAAAAACUCCUUCAUUUUUAUCCCAUGAACAACUUUGUCAUUCCAAACCCUUGGAGUGAACCAAAAUAUGUUCAGUCUAACAUAAGAAGGACUGAAAAGUUUAAGCAACAAAUUUUCUACUGAAAUGUGUAAAAUGAUAUCAAUUAAUUAAGCAAUGCAUCACUCAUGAUUUGAGCUUAAAAGCAUUUGAAUCCCGGGGAUUUAUUAGUUGAGUUUACCAACAAAAAGCGAUUAAAAAAAUUAUGACAUGCCCACGCGAUAGAUAUAUAAAUAUGUAAAUUCCCAAAAUCAAAGAGGUGGAUCAUCAUUUAUUUUGUUUCUGUCGUAUAAGUCAUAUAAUGGCUUAAAGUCGGAUUUUCCCUAUUAGUUUUUCAAACUUACCCCAUCUUUGUUAAUUUUUUUUAUCGUAUAUCAAGUACCUCCACCAAUUUGCACAGACGAAACCAAACCAAAGAAAAAUAAAGACUUUCAUAAUUACAAGCCCAAACCAACAAAACCAUACUUCACAACAACACUGCAAGCAAGAAUGAAACACAUGGACGAAGAGGCAUGCUGUUAAGCAGUUAUCGAAAUAUACACAAAAUCAAAAUCACUGCCGAUGAUCUCAAUUAAUUUUUCUGUGCUUUGAGAAGGUAAGCAUCCACGUCUCUAGAGCAACUUAUCAGAAAAUCAAGAUGGGAAUGUGGGGUUGGGAUAUCUUCUCUUGCUUUCUCGUACUCUAGAGUCCAUUUCACCAUGUUUACAUCGCCUUGGGCAAUUGCCUGGAGAGUGGCUUUGAAGCUCUUGAAAUAGCUUGUAACUUCACCUCCUAUAAGCUCAAAUGUGAUGGUUUUGUUUUCCAUGUCAAUAGCAUCAAUCUUAUCUUUUGCAACCACAGGUGUCUCUGUUUUACCAAAACAUAGGUCUAACUUUAAUUGAAAAUAAAAGUAAAUAUCAAAAUGGUGGAAUUAAAACAAGCAACCAUAAGCCGGAAUUCGACCACAAAAUUUUUAUAAAAAAAAUGAAUAAACCGGUUAAUUUGUUAAGGGCAAAUAGUAAUUUACAAGGCUAUAAAACUAUGUUCAUCCUAGAGUCUGGCCAUUAAUCAUUUGGAGUCCAAGAUAGUCCAGCAUAACUCGAUAUAUUUCUCAGUAAACCGUCAUUACUUAAUUAGUUUUAUGGGUAUCGUUUCGUUACCACGAAAACUGAUGAAAUGAUUUUUUGUUUUUUCUCUUUUCUUAAAAUGCCAUUGACUGGAGUCAUUUCUGAAGAGACAAUAUAAUGAUAGUAACUUUUAAGUCAUCAAAGUUUCCUUUGCUGUAAAAUUGUUUGCCUACAAAUUUUUCUCAAAACAAAAACAGAGUCUUCAUAAAUGCUGUCAUACAUUUGUCUGCUUUUUCUACUACUGAGUAAUUACUUUCUUCACCCAAGACAGUAGAACUAUUUGCUUGCCAGUAUUGGAAGAAAUACCACAGUUGUUGUACAAUACCAGUUGUCAUUUUCUGGCCAUAUGAAUACACACGAUGUUUUAACUUCUGCCAAUGUACAAAACACCUCCAAACAAUUGUCUGGUUGAAAUCCUACCGCUUGUCUAAACAGACAAGACAUUAAAUUGUUCUUAAUCGCGGUGGUUGUUGUAUUGCAUCUAUCAAAACCUGUGGUAUAUUAAAGCACACUGCCCAGGACAAGUUUUUGAUUAAUUUUAUCCAGAAAUUUGUACAUCAAAAAAUCCAAGCACUUGGACAAUAUGAGGAGCUGAUCAAUCAUAUAUUGGUUUUUUUUUUAACCAAAAAAAAAAAAGGCAAUACUAUUGUAAUAUAGUACUUACCCAUGAAAUAGGUCCAAAGUCUGAUAGAGCCAACACUCUUGCCAUCCCCCUCGAGCACUUGAAUGCUUUGCAGUUUGUCAGGACUAAUCUUGGGCAUGAGGCUGGUUUUGUUCUUGUAAACAUCAAAUACCCUAUCAGGAGAUGAUUUCAUCUCUGUUUGGAGCUCAAGCUUACAAAGUUGAGCCAUAGUUCUACUACUAUUUUCUUGACUUUUUUGGGCUACGGAAAAGGGAAAUAAUUUUGCUAACUUGAUAUCAAGACGUCUAGAACGUGGCCUAUUUAUAACGUCAAAAGAAGAGUGUGUGUUUUAUCAGAUUCUCGUGCAUUUGCAUAGCUUUGGCUCAGGCAAUGAUUUAGAUGAAUCAUUCCUUGCUGCUUUUGGGUUCCGGAAGAAGCCACAAGGUACAGACUAAUUUCUGAUUUUAAAAAACGCACCAUGGCUUAUCAUAAUGGUACCGCAUUUGGUACAACAGAAUCCCUAGUAAUCGAAUGACAUUAGCAACACUAAACUCAUUUAUAUUUUCAUAUUUACCAGUCACCAAUCAAAUGGUUAACCUGUUCUUGAUUCUGAAAUAUCUAGAGAUGGUAAGUAGUCGGAUCUGGGGUAGGAGAGACCCUGUUCUACCAAAAAAAAAUAUAUAUUCUCCUCAUCCCCGCUAUUAUUUUUAUUUUUUAUUUGAACUUAUUUUUCAAUAUAUAUAACACUAAUAAUAAUUUUACUAAUAAUUUCUUUUUUGAAAUUUUAGCCAAAAAAAUUGAAGGUAAAGUAAAGUUUAAAUAUCACUUUGAUCUUUUUAAUUUAUUUCUUCAUAUUUGAUACAAUAUAGAAUUUAAACUAAUUGCUACUAUUUCUUUUAAUAAACCUGCAAUAUGUGGAAAAAAAAAAGAAAAAUAAACUAAGAUAAUAAAAUGAUCAUUUUACGACAAUAAAUUGAUAAUAAAAAUUGCAUCAUUUUAUCACAAAAAAAAAAUAUCAUGUCCAUCAUAUAUCAUAUUAUAUAUUAUAUAUGAUAAUAUCAUAGUAUUUAUUUCAUAUUAUACAUAUAUAAAUAUAUUACACAAUUAUCAAAUCAUAAGUGGGGGCUAAAGCAGGAGUAUCCUCUCGCAACCUGUAAUUAAAGUAGGGGGAGAAAAUUCUCCCGACCUCGCCCCCUUCCCUACCCAGCUGCUUCCAGCAGAGCGAUGCCUCCGUUGCCAUCCCUACAACUAUCUUUCCACAGAACAAAAUUGAGGAUCUUUUCUGCUCAUUCUUUUCUGCCCUUCUACUCCGUCAUUUAGUACCAAUGGACAACGAAAAUUAUGGUAACUGAAAACAUAACCAAUACGUCAAGGUACCUAAUGUUUUCUCCCAACAGUAUGGCCAGAAGGGAAUUGGAUUAGAAGCUAGUUGGCCAUUAAUGGAGCACAAUUCUAGAUAUCUUUCCGGAUGAUGAAAACGACAAAACGCAUUUUCCUACAGGUAAAAAAAAAAAAAAUUGAUGGAAUCAAGUUUAAAGGAGCUGCAAUGAAUAUAACCUGGCACAUGGGAAUAUUUGAGGGUUUCAAUCAACAAACAAGUUCCAUAAAGUUUUCUUUUUAUACUGCAAAAGCUAUUCCAUAAUUGUGUAACUUUAGUAAGUUUGAACAAUUGGGGGUUAACCAACUCCCUCUGGAAGGAGUUGACCACCACAUUAAUUGUGUGGCGGGAGAUCAAGGAUUCAAACCCAUAUGAUCUUAUAGUAAUUUAUUCCCUGUCAGGUUCCCUCGACUUAGUUGAAUCACUCCUUUAGAAUAAGCUCCCCCAAUAGGAGUAGAACUAAGCUAGGUUAGACUUAGUUAUGCAUACUCACUAUUCAUUUCUUGGUCUGCUUGAUAAAAUAACUUCAAUUGCAAGAAUCAUUUUCAGAACUGAUCCUCCAGGCAAGUGGAAAAUUGUGGUGGCGUCUCUUCAUAAACCGGCUGAUCACUUCAACGCUUUUUGGAGACGUAUCAAAACACUUGAACUCUACUUCAUUUUGAACUUUAAAUACAUGCUUUACAACUUUGAAGGACCAAACUUAAAAUGAAAUACAGGUUGUGUUUUGUACAGUACUGAAAAAAGAAGCACAACCCAUUCCCUCCCACAUUGGAUGCCUCCAGUUAUCAACAAAAUAAGAGUAAAUACCAAUUUAACAAAAAUAGUGUGGACCCACUGUAAAGGUAAGGAGACUGGGUGAAGGUUAGCACAAAUUGGGGUUGUGGUUUGGCGGCGUUUAGGUUCAACAAAACAUCAGCGCAGUGGCGAACUACAGAUGACAUGAAGCUCAAAACCAAACUGUUCAAUUCAAUGGCAAGUAUGCCAUUUCAUUGCAUGGCCAUCAUCUACAUAAAGAGGAACAUCAGUUGAUCAGAUCUAAAAUAUAAAUAUUCCAAUUUGUUGAUGCCUGUAUUUGUCUAUUUAUGUCACAUAAUUAGUUGAAUGGUCAUAUCUCCAUCUAGUGCGGCCAUACUAAAACUCUCUCUUGCGCAUGCGGCAACAAAACUGUUGUGUAUCCUGGGUCAGGUGUGAAAAUACAAGCUCAAGCUACAAGUCUCACUUCUUUAAUAAGGUACGUGAAUCAUUUCUAGAAUUGACAAGAACUGAAGGGGUAGACAACAUGUUUUCCUUAUCUGGUGGAUCGCCGCCUUUCUCGAUGCUUCUUUCAUCUUUUUGCGAUGUAGUGGAAGACGAUGCUCCUUGUAUCUGUACUGUUAAGCUUCCACCUAAAAUUGAACGGUAUAGAUAUGGUAAGCAUCUUCGCAACAAGUGUUUUGGAGCAUGUGGGGUUAGGGGAGAGCAAAAGCACAGGCAAACUCAAGUUUCUGCGGGGCAAAAAAGAUGUUACUCUGAUGCUCACAAACUGUAAGUGCUAUAGUCAUUUUAAGAACCAGUUGAUUUUCUUAGUCAAUUAACCUGUCCAUUUAAGUAGUUAAAAUGAAAUAGAUGGCACAGACAAUAGCCAGAAAGGAGAUGAGGAAUAGACACACCAGGUACGGAAAGCAAAUCUGAAGAGGAUCAACUUGCCAAAAGCAUCAGUUUUAAAGUUACCAUUGCGAAAUAAUCAGUCACCAGUAAUUUAUUCUGGCAUGUAUUGCUACAAAUGGACAAUCACACUACAAUAUAGGCCACGUCAGAAAUAAUAAUUGUGAAGAUUAGCAAAACAAAAAGCGAUUCACUUGGAAAACUCCAAGGGGUCAACAAAAUGUCCCUGAAGCACUAUAGCAUCACAGAUACCUUGAUGGCAAGACAGCCUGAGUUGUAACAUUGUUAAAAACUUGUCCUUCUUUCAUCAAGUAGUUAUUUUGCUAGAAGUCAAUUAAUUGAGUCAAUUGACUACAUGUUUCUACCAUGCACGGUUGGAUUUUAGAAAUCAUAUAGCAGAUGGAAGAUGUCUUAUACCUAGAACAAGAGCAGCUCCAAUCCAUCCAUUGACACCCCAUCUCUCUCCAAGAAGAAACCAUGCAAAUGCAGCACCCCAGAGCGGCUCCAACCCAUAGAUUAUUGCAGUUUCUGUGGCUGAAACAUCUCGCAUGGCCGCAAUCUGUAUUAUAAUGCUAGGUGAUUAGAUCAAGACUAGCUAGCAAAACCUGCUUAAAGUAGAGAAGAACAAUGAUCUUUGUUUAAGAAUCACCAAUACCGAAUAAGCAUAUAUUGGUUGUCUUGGUUUCAACGAUUUAUUUAUUGAAAAAAAUAAAAAGCUAAAUUUUGCAACUAUAGUUCACAAUCAAGGUCUUUUCUUUAAAAUAAAAUUCAUCUAAAACACUUCAGACAGUCAAACCAAAUUCCAUACCUAUUAGUAUUAUCUAAUAUUGCAGCAGAAAUCAUGUAGUGAAUUAUUCUGAUUUCUACCAAUUAGAAAUUGUAACAAGAAUUGUGGUAUGGAAGUGGUAGAAGAAAAUCAAUAGUUUCUCAUCAUGGGAAGUAACAUCUUAUUAGACAGGUAGUUUGAAUCAUCUACUCUUGGACUGAGAUAGAGAGCACUUGUUUUGAUAGACGAGACAACAGAUAUGAUUGAUGCAGUAAGAAAGAGAAGGAAUUGGAUACCAUUACCAUCACAGACUGAAAAGACAAGACAUAACAAACCAAAACAUUCCAAGGCAAGAUGCUCAAGAACAACCAGUACCUGGCACGCCCUGGAAUAGCCCAAGCCUCUGAUUCUGCAUUCUCCAAUUCAGCUUUUAUUUAGGUAAACCUUGGUUUUGGUCUUAGUUUUCUUGUCAGUCAUUUCAGCAGUUAACUUUCCCUUCUCACAAAGUUAUCAUCUGAGGUAAACAUCUAGUUCCUAAAUUUUGAAAAUAUGUAGGAAACUCCUUUGUAUAUUUAUGUGACCAGAGUAACAUAAUAAAAUGCAGGAGCUAAAAAUAUUUCUAACUGCAAAAUAACAAGUAAUUUUUUCUGAUUAAAAAAAGGUUUAACAUAAUGCAUAUACUAAAAUACUUUUGGUUCUUUUAUGAAUACAAGGAAAAAUACCAUUGCCUCUUCUAUUCUUAUCAGAUUAGCAGUAAACCUUUAUUUCCAUCUAGCCUUCCUUUAAAUACUUAAGGAGAGAAUUUAUAUUUCAGUUUAACAGACAAACUUUAGACUACAACAAAUAGAUGAGUACGCGCAAUUCAAUUCAAUCAACAGAACAGGAUUGCAUAGAUGGAACCAUAUGGAAAGUUGCUCAAGAUAUGAGCACAAAGGCAUGCAAAAGAAGAACUUUCACAAGUAAACACUCAACGUAGAAAACCAAUACUUUAAGGUGGCCAUACCUCUACCCAUAGACAUAAUCCUGUGGAGACAACACCAGUAUAAAUUGCAGGUACCCAUGGGAAUGCUACCAUCCAAUCCGCAAAUUUUGCCCAUGUCCAGGAUGAUGGGUUUAAUGCUUGAGUGCCACCAGAACAAACUCCAAGGACAUACCAGAGUGUUGAUAAAAAAGCAACCACACAUACCUAAAGGAAAAAAUGUCCCAAUAAUUCAUGUAAACUGAAAAUACAAAGCCAACGGAUUGAGGUGGCACUGAGAGUAAUUCAAUUCCUUCUAAACUAACCUCAUAUCCGAGGAGAGGUAAGAGGUUCUCUUUGGUAGUAGCUCUAGAAAUAUGUUCUGUUCUUAGCAUGUGAACCCCAAAAAAUACGGCACUUAAGAAAUUCAACAAGUCCCCAACCUGAAAGGUCACACCAAACUGGUGAGUACUCUUGCAUGUCUGUCUUCUGUCGAAUGACAAAUAAUGGUUUCCAGUAAACAUAUUCACUUGAGAAGUCAAAGUUAACCUCUUCACACUUGCAUGUAAAAAUUUUGAGGAAGCAAAUAAACCAGGAAAUGUAGAAGACACUUACACAAGGAGGUGAGCCACUGGAUUCUAGCAUUCCAACUCCUACUAUAGACAUGAGGGCUCCAAACCAAGUACGUGCAGGGAUCUUCGAUCCUAGGAUACCAUCAAGCAAAGGAACCACAAUCACCUGAAGAAUUGUACCAAAAUUUUGGAAUGCUGGCUUAUAUAUCUAUCAGUGUCAAAAUAAAAUGGCAAAAAAUUUGUGAAUUGAAUGAGAUCCUUGCAUAUUUUCUUACAGUGAACAUUGUGAGGAAAGAUGCCCGUCCUGCACCCGAUGUCUGCAAUCCAAGGGCUUGCAUAAGGUAGCCAAGGCUGACCCAAAAUCCCAAUUCUAUCCCAGCAUUCCGGGUUUGAACAUCAUCUCUUGCUUUCAAAACAAAUGGCGAAAAUGCAAUUGCAGACAAAACAAAUCUGACAAUAGUGAAUGUGCCAGGAUCAAUAAAUGCUUCCACUUCUUUCACUAUAGGAAUAUUGCUAGCUGCACAAAAGAAAUGAUGAUAUUAGUUAAGCACAAUACCAAAGGCCACAAAAGAACUAUUUGCUACACAACAAAUUUUGGCCUCAUUUGUCAGCCUCAGAAAAACUAUGAAAAAGCAAGCAUCAUAGAUUCAUAAGGCUUGCAAAGAAUUAGAGAAUGCAUUUGCAUACUAUGAUCCCAGCCAUUCGCAAGCCAUUAAGAAAUGUUUCUAGAACAGUCAGAGCUCUUUCUCAUCACAUAGGAUUGAAGAGAAUCUCUACAGUGUAUUUAUCAUAUACAAGUGACGCGAAAUUCAGGAAAGUUUACAUAAAUGAAGACAUGUUUAUGUAAUUAGCUUUCUGUAACGCGAAAUGAUACAAUUGAAGAUCUCAAAGUAACAUGGUAAACAGUCGAAAUGAAAACUCAACUAGAAAAAAAAUUCUUUCUCAACCAAAGUUUGAUUCAACAUGUCCCGUGAUUUUCUGAAAUAUCUCGAUGUGACUCCUCUUGAUGCUCUCAAAUGUCAUCAUUAGCUCAAAAAUGAGCUCCACUUAAAGAUUUCCAUCCUACGUUAUAUACAUUCUCCCUUUAACAAGUUCAAAUAAGAAUCUAGAAUUACUUCAAGAAAAGCAUAAUAACGACUAGGAAUCUUGGCCUAUCACUCUGUGUAUGGAGAUCAGUCAUCCUUUCUACGACUACAUCCACCUCAUAGAUCAUCAAACUCAAAUCAAGAUUACAUUUUUCCUUUUUUCUUUUACUAGUAUUUUUCCUUGAACCGACACAACCUACCAAUUUCUCCUGACUCAUAAGCACAAUAUCAUAUUUUUGCAUCAUAGUAGUUAAUUCAUUACCUUAAAAAUUAGAGUAAACCUUUCCUAUGGAUAGUGUAUAUACUAUCAUCUUUGCAUUCAUGACAUGUGGCUAAAAAUUAAAUUUUAAAUUUAAAUUCAUCUAAUAAUAAUGCUGAUAAUGUAUAUACUAAAGAUUAAUUCUAAAAAUUAACCGUUAAAACUAGAAAAGAUUUUCAGAAAAGUUUUGAAGAAAAAACUGACCGUAAAUUAUUGUGAUGGCAUUGAGCAAGAGAAUGCUCCUCACUUUCUCCGAUGCGAAUAAAAUCUUUCUCCAUAGCGCUUUCCGUUCAAAGCUUCGACUUUCCGGCAAACUAACGCCUUUUUUAGAUAAGUCGGGCUCCUUUUCACUAUUUGAGAAAUCGCCAUCUCGUAAUUUAACUAAGAAUUUCGGCUCGCGUGAUUGUUUCUGUUUAACGCUUGUUCCAUGCGACGUCGUAGUAAGUUUGUUAUCCGUCGGACCGGAACUACUACGGUGGCAAGUGAAAGAAGAAAAGAGGUGAAAACGACGUCGGAUCGGGGAAUAGUAGUGACCGAGCUUGAUUGCUGCAGCAGAGGUGCAGUGAAACGGACAUGAAGGUGCAGCCAUGGUAGAAUGGGGUGCAGCCGCAGGUGAACACAGACAGAUUUCUCCAUGUCUUAUUUUUUUUGUAUACUUAAAUUUGGAGAACUUGAGGGGAAAUUGGACCAGUGAUGUACUGACGCGUGUACAUUUGUUUUGGGAUGCAGAGUGUGGAACUUUACGUGGCGAGUGUUGAUUGGCUUGUUGUAGGGUCGGCAGUAGGUACAGAAGAAGACGGAAAUGGUAGGAUAGACGUCAAAGAAGCCUGUGUCAAUCUAAAGAUUGAGAGGUUUCGUUCUCCUUAGUGUCUCAACGUUGUCCAAGCGCAUGACGUUGAACUUCAAGAUCAGGAUAUCUUUGUUUGUACUUCAAGAUUAAUUUUCCGUAAACACAUUUUUUCCUUAAUUUUUUUUAUAUAUCAAAUCGUUAUAUUAUAUUUUUUUUUUUAGAAAAAAAAGCUUAUGAAAAUACCAAUUCAAGCGGACUCUUAAUUUCUUAUAUAUUGUCUGUGUGAUAUUUAGAAAUGCAAACUAAUCAUAAGGAAUAGCAUCAAACUAAAUAAGUAAAUAAACGUGAGCGUGUAUAUUGUAUAAUUAAAAAUAUCAAAUUGUGUGUUAUUAACAAAUGCUAUCGGAGCUCUCAAAAUAAUCUCGAAGUGGAAAAAAAAAAAUUUAGCAUAUGACUUUAUUCUUUUGAGAUAAAUUAGGGUGAGGGGAAAUGAAGUAAAAAUUGCAAUUAUGUAUGAAAUUUCGAUGUAAAGUGGUAAUCAUAAGCCACAUUUUGCACACCCAUAUUCUAUUGCUCUCUAUGUAUCUGUCACGCUAGGUACAUAUUGUAUUUCGAUAGAGUUGAUAUUACAUUUUAAACUACUCGUGUAACAAAAAUUUUACAUUCUCACCGUAUAAGAAGUUUUUUUUGGAGUGAGUAAUUUCUUUUUUCUUUUUUUAAUUAAACCGGAUUGAUUAAUACUAAGUUCACAAUUCCUCUAUUGCAAGAAAAAAUGCUUUAAAGGGAUUCAACAUGAGAUUGGUUUGUUACCUCCCAAAAAAAAAAAACAAAAAAAAAACCAAAAAAGGGAGAGAGAGAGAGGCAUGAGUUUGGUUUGUGGAAUGUCCAACUUGAACGUGGUUCGGGCGACACACCCUGAUAUAGCAACGCUUAUGGAAGUUGUAACUCAUUAAACCAUAUCAGGCCUGUCAACGGGUCGGGUCUAGACCCGGAUCCGAACCGGAUCCGUGAAAUUAUUGCGGGUAUGGGUAGGGAUUUAAUUCCGUUUCUCGAAUCCGAAUUCGGGUCCGUUUUGUCAAAUAAAAAAACGGGUCGGAUACGGAAUAUAGUAUUCCGGCCCGUAUUAGACCCGGAUCCGGAUAUAAAUGAAUUAAUAAUUUAAAAAAUAUAUAUUUAUCAAUAUAAUUUGAUUAGGGUGAUGUAUUUUAAUAAAGUUAAUUUGAUUUCUUUUCUUAUUUGAUUUUUUCUUUGCAUUAGUUAGAAAUUAGUUUACUAGUAUAUUUUUUUCUCAUUUUUAUUAGAAAUUUAAAAAUUUGGUAAAUUUGUUCGGGUAGACCCGGAUCCGGAUUCGGGACCGCCGGAUCCAGAUCCGAAACGUAGAAUAAAAGACCCGUCGGGUAAACGGAUCGGAUCGGGUCCGGCAGAGUAAUUCAGGUCCGGGUUCGGAAUAAUGAAUUUCGACCCGGACCCGACCCGUUGACAGCCCUAACCAUAUGGCAUUCAAUCUGGGCUUAAGUCUCUUCUUACCCGUUCUCUUGAGUUUGUAACGUUGUCCAUUGGUGCCCAAUUGACAUCUAAGUGUUGUUUUUGGGCCCAUUUAUCGCAUAUUUUGAACCAUUUCAUUUACUUCCCUUAUCAAUAAAUGCUUCCCCUAUUAAUAAAUGGGUUAAAUUACCUUUGACAAUUCCUUCCAAAAAUAAAAGUUCCAAGAAAAUUUUUCUUGGAACUUCACAUCUCUCUAUAUAAUGCAUGAGCAAUGAAAUUGGUGUUAAAAAAAUCUGUCAUUAUUUGUUAUUCCAAUUUUACCCUUACAUAAUAGAAUAAUAUACGACCACCUCAUGUUUCAAAUUCAUGUUUACAUAUUUAUCCCAAAGUCUUCCUCCCAACUUCAUUGAAAAAAAAAAGUAGAAAAAAUCUCAUAAUAUAUUUUUUCCAUUAUUUGUUUUCCCUUGUAUCAUGCACAGCCGUAGGUAUGCCUCGCCCACUAGGAUUAAUAAUAUCUUAUCACAAUUUUUUUUUUCGGCAACGAUAACAACUGGAUAAUCUAUUCUAUCCUAAUCUAUAGGGAGGGGAAGUGUAAGGAGACUUGUGUAUUAGAGACUAAUAGAUAUGCAAAGCUAACUAUACCAAAGGAGUGCUAUAAGACCAUCCAUGAAUUUUUUUUGUUGUAGUGAACCCCCCACAUACAGACCAAAGAGGACUUAAAUCCCUUCCUGGUGGCCACUGAGCUAAGCUCCGUGGUUAUCUUAUCACAAUUCAAUUGCUAAGAUCAUCAAUCUAACUUCUUCUUCUUAGUCGUGUCUCAUUAGUCGUAGCUGUUAUGAAAACCAAGUCGCUGGCUAAGAUUAAAUCCGCUGCAAGGAAGUCCAUACGAAAAUUGUGGAGCAAUUUAGGAGUCAUAAUUUCGAGUCUUAUGCUCUCACUUCUUUACGCUAAUUAGCCUUUUCUAACCUGUUCACGUCAGUCAAAGCAUGAGAAUAAUUCCAUUUAAGGUUCGUACAGACGAUAGACAUCAGGCUUAGCAUGGGACUAUUUGCACUCAAUGUCCAAUUCAUGCAUUUGAGGUACAAUGAUUUUAUGGACGAGGAGAAACAAGGAUACUGAAAUGAUCGUUGGGUGGACAUCGAAAUUCGUUAUUCAUUUUCUGGUUUGCCCAUUAUUUACUUUCUCAUCCCGCAAAACUGUUUAAUGUAACAACAUUUAUACUACUUUGAGUUGCAAAAACUCUCUUCCUUCUCUCUUAAAAAAACUCUCUAGCCAAAAUAUUCUCCAGCUUUCCCAUGAAGAAAAAUCUAGCCAAAACGUCUUCCAACCCUUUCAUGGGAGAGAGAUUAGAUCUUUCUUCUGAUAUUUCCCCAUGAAAGGAGCCUCUCUCUAGUUUUAUUUUUGUUUGUGUCAAUAAAGUCUCUCCUAAGAUUUUUUACCAAGAGUUUCUUCUCUCUUGGACUUCGUUUGGGAGUGGAGGAUUUGGACAAAAAAGAAAGGGAAAAAAGAGAAAGUUAAGUUUUCGUUCAUUUGUUGGUUUUUAGUAGGAAAGAAAAGAAAGAAAAUGGAAGGAUUUAAAAGAAUGAAUGGUAGCCAAAAUUUUUCCUCCCAAAUUGGAAAAUAAAUGGGAAGAAAGUUUGAUGAUCCUUGUCAAUUUUUUUAAAAUGCCUAUUUUGUCCUUAAAAAGGUCUUCAACAAAUUUUUAAUGACUUUCAUAUCCAAAAUCUUUCUACUAAUUCUCAAAACUCCUAAACAACAUAACAAUCUCUUUUCUUCUCUUCUCUCAUAACUUAGUUUUCCCUUCUUUUCUUUUCUAUCCUAAACUCCCAAACUAAGCCUUAGGGUUAGCGAGUGAGAGUUCUCUUCUCUCCUAAACUUUUUUAGUAAGAAUUUUAUUCUCUUUUAAGUUAGGUAGUUUUUCAUUUUUUUUUUUCUAUUGUUAGAUUUGACGUUUUUUUUUUUUAGAUUUUGAUUGUCAAAUCUAAAAUUUCUUAGGUCUAUUCGGCAAAUCUCACCAUAAUAUUUGAAUUUGAAAUAGCUAAUCAGUAGAUUUGACGAUUAAAAACAUACACACUUGUUCAUGGGGCCACAAUUAUUUUAUCUUAAUUUUUAUUUGUUUUUCAUAUUUGUAAUAUCCAUUCUUUGAUAUCCAUGUAUUAUCAUAUCUGUUUUUUUGACAUCUAUAUAUGAUUGUAUACGAUUGAUGAUGCAACUUCUGCCACUAAUUAAUCCAAAUUUUAAUGAAAUUAUAAUGUUUUAUCAAAAAAAAAAAAAAAAUUAAACACAUCUAUGGAAUUGCACAUUCAAAUGAGAAAGUCUGGUUCCAUGAAUAUGAAUCUCAGGAUAACCAAACACAUUUACUCCUGCUUGCUAAACUUAAAAAUCAAGGUUAAUUUUUAUCUUUCACGUAAAAUUAUUUCACUAUUAGAAUUGUACAUUCAAAUCUGUUCGUCAUUGGCAUCAUUAUUUUGCACAAUUAAUUUAGUUCGCCAAUGGAAUCACUUAUUUUCCUUUUGUUAUGAAGCAAAUUAUAUUCAGCAAAAUAAUAUUAUAAAGGGCCGACAUCAGAACUAGGAAAAAGCGUAGGGAUAAGGUUAAGUUAGCUAGACGGAUCCUACGUAGAGCGCAACUGUUCAAUUCAAUGGCAAGUAUGCCAUUUCAUAGCAUGGCCAUCAUCUACGCAGAGCGGAACAUCAGUUGAUCAGAUCGAAAGUACAUAUAUUCCAAUUUGUUGAUGCCUGUAUUUGUCUAUUUGUGUUACAUAGUUAGUUGAAUGGUCAUAUCUCCAUCUAGUGCGGCUAUACUAAAACAUUCUCUUGCGCAUGCAGCAACAAAACUGUUGUGCAUCCUGGGUCAGGUGUGAUAAUACAAGCUCAAGCCACAAGCCUCACUUCUUUAAUAAGGUACGGGAAUCAUUUCUAGAAUUGACAAGAACUGGACGGGUAGACAACUUGUUUUCCUUAUCUGGUGCAUCGCCGCUUUUCUCGAUGCUUCUUUCAUCUUUUUGCGAUGUAGUGGAAGACGAUGCUCCUUGUAUCUGUACUGUUAAGCUUCCACCUAAAAUUGAACGGUAUAGAUAUGGUAAGCAUCUUCGCAGCAAAUGUUUUGGAGCACUAUAGCAGCACAGAUACCUUGAUGGCUAGACAGCCUAAGUUAUAAUGUAAUAUGCAGGUUGAAACAUUGUUAAAAACUUGUCCUCCUUUCAUCAAGUAGUUAUUUGGCUAGAAGUCAAUUAAUUAAGUCAAUUGACUACAUGUUUCUACCAUGCACGGUUGGAUUUUAGAAAUCAUAUAACAGAUUGAAGAUGUCUCAUACCUAGAACAAGAGCAGCUCCAAUCCAUCCAUUGACACCCCAUCUCUCUCCAAGAAAAAACCAUGCAAAUGCAGCACCCCAGACCGGCUGCAACCCAUAGAUUAUUGCGGUUUCUGUGGCUGAAACAUCUCGCAUGGCCGCUAUCUGUAUUAUAAUACUAGGUGAUUAGAUCAAGACUUGCUAGCAAAACCUGCUUAGAGAAUAAGCAUAUAUUGGUUAAGUCUUGGUUUCAAGUACUUAUUUAUUGAAAUGAAUAAAAAGCUAAAUUUUCCAACUGUAGGUCAUGAUCAAGGUCUAUUCUUUAAAAUGAAAUGCAUCUCAAACACUUCAGACAGUCAAACUAAAUUCCGUACCUAUUAGUAUUAUCUAAUAUUGCAGCAGAAAUCAUGUAGCGAAUUAUUCUGAUGUCUAACAAUUAGAAUUGUAACACGAAUUGUGGAAUGGAAGUGCUAGAAGAGAAUCACUAGUUUCUCAUCAUGGGAAGUAACAUCUUAUUAGCCAGGUAGUUUGAAUCAUCUACUCUUGGACUGAAACAGAGAGCACUUGUUUUCAUUGGCGAGACAACAGAUAUGAUUGAUGAAGUAAGAAAGAGAAGGAAUAGGAUGCCAUCCCCAUCACAGACUGAAAAGACAAGACAUAACAAACCGAACAAGUUACCAACCUUUUUUAACAUUCCAGGGCAAGAUGCUCAAGAACGACCAGUAACUUGGCAUGCCCUGGAAUAGCCCAAGCCUCUGAUUCUGCACUCUCCAAUUCAGCUUUUAUAUAGGUAAACCUUGGUUUUGGUCUUAGUUUUCUUGUCAGUCAUUUCAGCAGUUAACUUCCCCUUCUCACAAAAUCAUCAUCUGAGGUAAACAUCUAGUUCCUAAAUUUUGAAAAUUUGCAGGAAACUCCCUUGUAUAUUUAUGUGACCAGAGUAACAUAAUAAAGUGCAGGAGCUAAAAAUAUUUCUAACUGCAACAUAACAAGUAAUUUUAUCUGAUUAAAAAAAGUUUUAACAUAAUGCAUAUACUAAAAUACUUUUGGUUCUUUUAUGAAUACAAGGAAAAAUACCAUUGCCUCUUCUAUUCUUAUCAGAUUAGCAGUAAACCUUUAUUUCCAUCUAGCCUUCCUUUAAAUACUUAAGGAGAGAAUUUAUAUUUCAGUUUAACAGACAAACUUUAGACUACAACAAAUAGAUGAGUACGCGCAAUUCAAUUCAAUCAACAGAACAGGAUUGCAUAGAUGGAACCAUAUGGAAAGUUGCUCAAGAUAUGAGCACAAAGGCAUUCAAAAGAAGAACUUUCACAAGUAAACACUCAAGGUAGAAAACCAAUACUUUAAGGUGGCCAUACCUCUACCCAUAGACAUAAUCCUGUGGAGACCACACCAGUAUAAAUUGCAGGUACCCAUGGGAAUUCUACCAUCCAAUCCGCAAAUUUUGCCCAUGUCCAGGAUGAUGGAUUUAAUGCUUGAGUGCCACCAGAACAAACUCCAAGGACAUACCAGAGUGUUGAUAAAAAAGCAACCACACAUACCUAAAGGAAAAAAUGUCCCAAUAAUUCAUGUAAACUGAAAAUACAAAGCCAACAGAUUGAGGUGGCACUGAGAGUAAUUCAAUUCCUUCUAAACUAACCUCAUAUCCGAGGAGAGGUAAGAGGUUCUCUUUGGUAGUAGCUCUAGAAAUAUGUUCUGUUCUUAGCAUGUGAACCCCAAAAAAUACGGCACUUAAGAAAUUCAACAAGUCCCCAACCUGAAAGGUCACACUAAACUAGUGAGUACUCUUGCAUGUCUGUCUUCUGUUGAAUGACAAACAAUGGUUUCCAGUAAACAUAUUCACUUGAGAAGUCAAAGUUAACCUCUUCACACUCGCAUGUAAUAAUUUUGAGGAAGCAAAUAAACCAGGAAAUGUAGAAGACACUUACACAAGGAGGUGAGCCACUGGAUUCUAGCAUUCCAACUCCUACUAUAGACAUGAGGGCUCCAAACCAAGUACGUGCAGGGAUCUUCGAUCCUAGGAUACCAGCAAGCAAAGGAACCACAAUCACCUGAAGAAUUGUACCAAAAUUUUGGAAUGCUGGCUUAUAUGUGUAUCAGUGUAAAAUAAAAUGGCAAAAAAUUUGUGAAUUGAACGAGAUCCUUGCAUAUUUUCUUACAGUGAACAUUGUGAGAAAAGAUGCCCGUCCUGCAUCGGACGUCUGCAAUCCAAGUGCUUGCAUAAGGUAGGCGAGGCUGACCCAAAAUCCCAAUUCUAUCCCAGCAUUCCGAGUUUGAACAUCAUCUCUUGCUUUCAAAACAAAUGGCGAAAAUGCGAUUGCAGACAAAACAAAUCUGACAAUAGUGAAUGCUUCAGGAUCAAUAAAUGCUUCCACUUCUUUCACUAUAGGAAUAUUGCUAGCUGCAAAAAGAAAUGAUGAUAUUAGUUAAGCACAAUACCGAAGGCCACAAAAGAACUAUGUUGCUACACAACAAAUUUUGGCCUCAUAUGUCAGCCUCAGAAAAACUAUGAAAAAGCAAGCAUCAUAGAUUCAUAAGGCUUGCAAAGAAUUAGAGAAUGCAUAUGCAUACUAUGAUCCCAGCCAUUCGCAAGCCAUUAAGAAAAGUUUCUAGACCAGUUAGAGCUCUUUCCCAUCACAUAGGAUUGAAGAGAAUCUCUACAGUGUAUUUACCAUAUACAAGUGACACAAAAUUCGGGAAAGAUUACAUAAAUGAAGAUAUGUUUAUGUAAUUAGCUUUCUGUUACGCCAAAUGAUACAAUUGAAGAUCUCAAAGUGACAUGGUAAACAGCCAAAAUGAAAGCUCAACUAGAAAAACAUUCUUUCUCAACCAAAGUUUGAUUCAACAUGUCCCGUGAUUUUCUGAAAUAUCUCGAUGUGACUCCUCUUGAUGCUCUCAAAUGUCAUCAUGAGCUAAAAAAUGAGCUCCACUCAAAGAUUUCCAUCCUACGUUUUAUACAUUCUUCCUUUAACAAGUUCAAAUAAGAAUCUAGAAUUACUUCAAGAAAAGCAUAAUAACGACUAGGAAUCUUGGCCUAUCACUCUGUGUAUGGAGAUCAGUCAUCCUUUCUCCGACAACAUCCACCUCAUAGAUAAUCAAGAUUACAUUUUUCCUUUUUUCUUUUACUAGUAUUUUUCCUUGAACCGACACAACCUACCAAUUUCUCCUGACUAAUAAGCACGAUAUCACAUUUUUGCAUCAUAGUAGUUAAUUCAUUACCUUAAAAAUUAAUCGUUAAAACUAGAAAAGAUUUUCAGAAAAGUUUUCAAUAACAAACUGACCGUAAAUUAUUGUGACGACAUUGAGCAAGAGAAUGCCCCUCACUUUCUUCGAUGCGAAUAAAAUCUUUCUCCAUAGCGCUUUCCGUUCAAAGCUUCGACUUUCCGGUAAACCAACGCUUUUUUCAGAUAAGUCGGGCGCCUUUUCACUAUUUGAGGAAUCGCUAUCUCGAAAUUUAACUAAGAAUUUCGGCUCGCGUGAUUGUUUCUGCUUAAUGUUUGUUCCAUGCGACGUCGAAGCAAGUUUGUUAUUCGUCGGACCGGAACUACUAUGGUGGCAAGUGAAAGAAGAAGAGAGGUGAAAACGACGCCGGUUGGGGAAAUAGUAGUGAGCGAGCGUGAUUGCUGCGGCAGAGCUGCAGCGAAACGGAGAUGAAGGUGCAGCCAUGGUACAAUGGGGUGCAGCCGCAGCCGCAGCCGAACACAGACAGAUUUCUCCUUGUCUAAUUUUUUUGUAUAUUUAAAUUUGGGGAACUGGGGAGGAAAUUGGACAAGUGGUUUACUGACGCGUGUACGAUUUUUGGACUGGGAUGGGGAGGGUGGAAUGAAAAUAGAGCCGUCUGCAUUACGUGUCGGUUGUUGAUUGGCUGGUUCUGUGCUCCGGCGUAGGUACAGAAGAAGAAGAAAAUGGUUGGACAGAGAUCAAAGAAGCCUGCGUCAAUCUAAAAGAUUGAGUGGCUUCGUUCUCCUUAGUAGUUAGUAUCACAACGCUGUCCACGUACAGGACGUUGAACCUCAAGAUUAGGAUAUCUUUGUUUGAACUUCCAUAAGCACAUUUCUUUCUUAUUAUCUUUUCUUCGUAUAUCAUUAUAUUAUAUUUUUUUAUCAAAAUAAAAAGGCUUCAGAAAAUAACAAUCAAAACGGCCUCUUAACUGCUUAUAUAUUAUUGUUUGUGUGAUAUUUGGAAAUGCGAAAUAAUCAUAAGAAAUCGCAUCAAACUAAAUAAGUUAAUAAACGUGAGCGCGUAUAUUGUAUAAUUAAAAAUAUCAAAUUGUGUUUAAUAACAAAUGCUGUCGGAGCUCUCAAAUUAAUCUCGAAGUAAAACAAGUUUAGUAUAUGACUGUAUUCUUUUGAGAUAAACUAGGGUAAAGGGAAUUGAAGUAAAAAUUGUGAUAAUAUAUGAAAUUUCGAUAUAAAGUGGUAAGGGAAAUUUGUCAAAUUGGUCCCUAACAUUUACCAAAAACACUUUUUUAGUCAUUUACAUAUAAAAUCAGCCAAAAUGGUCCUUCACAUUUAAAUUGUGAGCCAAUGUGGUCCUAUUGCUCGUUUUUGCUCAUUUUUCCGGCUAAAAAUAGCACGCCUCUCUCACGUGAUCAUAUUUUUAGGGGCAAAACCGGAAACACAUUUCAUUACCUGUUAAAAGUAAAAGGUGUAGACAACCACCAAAAUACACAUUUCACCUUUGGCCCUCAAAGUUUCAAGAAACCCUAAAUUGCAUCCCCGAAUGGUGGCGAAAAUUAUUUUGUAAUUCUCCUGUAUAAGUGAUGUGCUUGAUGAAUCCAUAGAUCUGGUUCUUGUUUAUUUAUAUCCGAAAGUCCUAACCUUUCCAUUCUAAGUGAGAGUCUAACAAGUCCAGGACAUUUGUGCAACAUCGAUCCCACGAAUCCAAUUUGGGCCUUAGCUGGAACCCUAAGCCUCAGCUCCUCCGCCGCCCGCCAAAGCCGCUUACUUGUGUCCCUCCAUCCUUUGCAAACCCUGGCCGCCGACAACAGUGUUGGAGGCGGGAGCCUCCUCAACACCUCCCACAGACAACUCAUCGGCAGCUUCCCGGACCCGGCAAGAUCCGAUUCGGGGCUCCAGCUCGAGAAGCUCCUCCUCAUCUUCCUGGUGCUCUUCCUCAUCCUCUCCCUCGUCUUGCGAGUCCCUCGCAUCAAUAUCAUCGUCGAAGGAGAGAGCUCGCCGGAGGUUGGAGAAAUGUUGGCGAUGAGGAGGGGGAGGGGGAGGACGGACAAUGGAGAGAGGAGAAGGGAUAGCGAGGGAGGAGGUGGCUGAGUCAGUUGAGGGCGUGGCGGUGGGAUGCAAUUUAGGGUUUCUUGAAACUUUGAGGGCCAAAGGUGAAAUGUGUAUUUUGGUGGUUGUCCACACCUUUUACUUUUAACAGGUAAUGAAAUGUGUUUCCGGUUUUGCCCCUAAAAAUAUGACCACGUGAGAGAGGCGUGCUAUUUUUAGCCGGAGAAAUGAGCAAAAACGAGCAAUAGGACCACAUUGGCUCACAAUUUAAAUGUGAAGGACCAUUUUGGCUGAUUUUAUAUGUAAAGGACUAAAAAAGUGUUUUUGGUAAAUGUUAGGGACCAAUUUGGCAAAUUUCCCAAGUGGUAAUCAUCAACUACAUUUUGCACGCCCAUAUUCAACUUCUCUAUAUAUUUGUGAUGCUAGGUACAUAUUGUACUGAGCAAAUUGCGGGAAAUGCUGCUAAAUUAUUGCGAGGUGUCGAUUUUGGCCACUAAACUUUUUUAUUAGUCAAAAAUGUCACUGAACUAAUAAAUAUGUGUCGUUUUGAUCACUCUACGUACUAAUGCCGUUGGAAGAGAUGGAAAGUAACUUUUUGUUGAGAGGCAAUUUCGUCUGCACAACCUUUUCCUUGAACCUCUCUAACUUAAAUCCUCUCCCUCCAAUUCUGUCGGUCUCUCACCUCCUGGCUCCAUCUCCCUUUUCCCCCAUCCCAACAUUAUACUAUUAUAUAAAUUUCUAUUCUACUACUAUUGCUGCUACGAAAAUCUUCCCCCCUCAUCUUCCCCCUUCUCGUCCCCGGAGAAAAGGGGGGAAAAAACUUCUCCCUCCUCCUACUACAUUUUCAAUUUACUCCCAUCCAAAAGUUAAAAAAAAAAAAAACAAAAAAUGAGGGAAAUCUUGCACAUUCAAGGAGGUCAAUGUGAGAAUCAAAUUGGUUCCAAAUUCUGGGAAGUAAUCUGCGACGAGCACGAGGUUGAUCCAAUCGGCCAUUACAGGGGAUAUGGCUCCAAUGUUCUUCAACUGGAACGCAUCAAUGUCUAUUUCAAUGAGGCUUCCGGUGGCCGUUAUGCUCCUUGGGCUGUCCUCAUGGAUCUCGAGCCGGCACCAUGAACAGCAUCAGAUUUGGCCCUUAUGGCCAGAUCUUCGGCCCCAACAACUUCGUCUUUGGUCAGUCUGGUGCCGAUAACAACUGGACUAAGGGACAUUACACUGAGGGUGCUGACUUGAUCAAUGCCAUUCUCAACGUCGUGCGUAAAGAAGCCGAAAAUGGUGACUGCUUGCAAGGUUUCUUUAUUAUUACAUUGACCCUAGAGGGGAUUUGAACCAUGGACUGGUAGAACUUCAAACGGAUGGAAAUAUUAGACAAUUUUGUAGUUGGAUUUAUGAGUACAAGUUGAUGGAAGUAUACUGUCAUCAUAUAACGGUUGAGGAAAUAUAUAACUUGCAGAAGAAUAAACAACUGGAAGAGUCCUCACAGAGAAAGAGUUCAGUUGUAAUAUAGAAGAUCUCGGAUGAUGGUGAAAUUUUUACACAACAGACUACAACACCUCAUAUUGAACUUACACCUCAUAUUGAACUUGUGAGUUGUCAGAUACAUUUGAGAGAAUUUAUGUUGGAGAGCUUCAAGGAAAAGGUUGUGUAGAUGAAAUUGUCCCUCAAAAAGUUACUUUCUGUCUCUCCUAAAGGCAUAAGUACAUGGAGUGACCAAAACGGUAUAGAUUUACUAGUUCAGUGAUAUUUUUUGCUAAUAAAAUAAUUUAAUAACCAAAAUCGUCACCUUGCAAUACUUUAGUGAUAUUUCGCGCAAUUUGCUCUAUUGUAUUUCAAUAGAGCUGAUAUUACAUUUUAAACUACUCAUGUAAGAAAAAUUUUACAUUCUCACCAUAGAAGAAGUGUUUUUUUUUCUUGGAUUGAUUAAUUUCUUUUUUCUUUUUUUUAAUUAAACCAGAUUUAUUAAUACUGAAGGAUUUAAAUUUACAAUUCCUCUACUGCAAGAAAAAAUGCUUUAAAGGGAUUCAACAUGAGAUUGGUUUUUUACAACAACCCCCCUUCCCGCCCCCCAAAAAAAAGAAAAAACAAAAAAAAAGGGAGAGAGAGAGAGAUGAUUUUGGUUUGUAUGAUGUCCAAUUUGAACUUGGGUCGGGCCAAACACCCUGAUAUGGUAAGGUAUGUGGAAGUUGUAAGUCAGUAAACACUGGGCUCAAGUCUCUUCUUACCUGUUUUCUUGAGUUUAUAAUGUUGUCCAUUAUUGCCCAAUUGACAUCUAAGUGUUGUUUUUGGGCCCAUUUAUCACAAAUUUUGAACCAUCUCAUUUACUUCCCUCAUCAAUAAGUUUCCCCUAAUUUUCUUUAUCAACAAAUGCUUCCCCUAUUAAUAAAUGGGUUAAAUCAUUUUUGACAAUUCCUUCCAAAAAUAAAAGAAAAAAGAAAAAAUUUCUUCGAACUUCACAUCUUCCUAUAUAAUGCAUGAGUAAUGGAUUUAGUGUUAAAAAAAAUCUAUCGUUAUUUGUUAUUCUAAUUUUACCCUUACAUGAUAGAAUAAUAUACGAACGACAACUUCAUAUUUCAAGUUCAUGUUUAUAUAACUGCUAUACCGCAUUACCGCUCUACUACGAUUCUUAUCUACUACUGCGUUUACAUAACCACUACUCCUAUACCUAUCUACUAUUACUAUAUUUAUCUCAAUGUCUUCCUACCAACUUAAAUAAAAAAAUUUUCAUAAUAUAUUUUUUUUUCCAUUAUUUGUUUUCCCCAAUAAUAUGCACAGCUGUAGGGUGUGCCUCACCCACUAGUUUUAAUAAUAUCUAUCACAAUUCGAUUGCUAAGAUCAUCAAUCUAACUUCAUCUUUGUUUUUUUUCCCCCUCAAUCUAGCUUCUUCUGGUCGUGUCUCAUAAGUCAUAGCUGUUAUGAAAACCAGUUCGCUCGCUAGAUUAAAUCCGCUGUAAAGAAGUCCAUGCAACAAUUGUGGAGUAAUUUAGGAAUCAUAAUUUUGAGUCUUAUAUGCUCUCACUUCUUUACACUAAUUAGCCUUUUCUAACCUGUUCACGUCAGUCAAAGCAUGAGAAUAAUUCGACUUAAGGUUUGUAGAGGCGACAGACUUCAGGCUUAGCAUGCGAAUAAUUGCACUCGAAGUCCAAUUCAUGCAUUUGAGGUACAAUGAUUUCAUGGACGAGGAGAAGCAAGGAUACUGAAAUGAUCGUUGGGUGGACAACGAAAAUUCGUUAUUUAUUUUCUGGUUUGCCCGUUGUUUACAUUCUCAUCCUACAAAACUGAGUAAUGUAACAACAUUUAUUCUACUUAACAACAGGAGUUGCAAAGACUCUCUUCCUUCUCUCUUGAAAAACCUCUCUAGCCAAAAUGUUCUCCAGCUCUCCAUGAAGAAAAAUCUAGCCAAAACGUCUUCCAACCCUUUUAUGGGAGAGAAAUCCGAUCUUUCUUCUGAUAUUUCCCCUUGAGAGGAAUCUCUCUCUAGUUUGUUUUUGUUUGUGUCAAUAAAGUCUCUCCUAAGAUUUUCUACUGAGAGUUUAUUCUCUCUUAGGGUUAGUGAGUGAGAGUUUUUACUCUCCUAAACUUUUUCAGUAAGAAGUUUAUUCUCUUAUAAGUUAUGUACUUUUUUUUUUCUUUUUUUAGAUUUUGAUUGUCAAAUCUAAAAUUUCUUAGGUCUAUUUGAUAGAUCUCACCAUAAUAUCUGAAUUUGAAAUAACUAAUCAGUAGAUUUGACGAUUAAAAACAUGGACAAUUGUUGAUGGGGCUACUAUUAUUUUAUCUUAAUUUUUAUUUGUUCUUCAAAUUUGUAAUAUCCAUUCUUUUCAAAUCUAUUCUUUGAUAUCCAUGUAUUAUCAUAUCUUUUUUUUUUUUUGACAUCUAUAAAUGAUUGUAUACGAAUGAUGAUGCAACUUCUGCCACUAAUUAAUGCAAAUUUUAAUGAAAUUAUGAUGUUUUAUCAAAAAAAAAAAAAAAAUUAACCACAUCUAUGGUAUUGCACAUUCACAUAAGAAGUCUAGUUCCAUGAAUAUGAAUCUCAGGAUAACCAAACACAUUUACUCCUGCUUGCUAAACUUAAAAAUCAAGGUUAAUUUUCAUCUUUCACGUAAGAUUAUUUCUCUAUUGGAAUCGUAAAUUCAAAUCAGUUCGUCAUUGGCAUCAUUAUUUUGCACACUUAAUUUAGUUCGCCAAUGGAAUCAAUUAUUUUCUUUUUGUUACGGAGCAAAUUAUAUUCAGCAAAAUAAUAAAAUAACAAAGGGCCAAUAUCAGAACUAGGAAAAAGCGUAGGGAUAAGGUCAAGUUAGCCAGACGGAUCCUAGGGGAGUCCUAAUAUCAUCCGUCAAUUAACUUCCCCAGAGGACCAUGAAACAUUCUCCCGGUAUGGCAUUGCCAGCUUUAAGCAUAGUUGAACCAAAACAAUGAGGGCAACCGUGACCACAUUCAUUAAGACAAAUCCAUGGAAGCCUCUUCUCUUUAGCUAGUUGUCCUUGGCGUGAUAAAGUUAGCCUUCUAAAUAUCUUCUCAAUUAAUGCAUGGCUUGUUUUAAUAGAAAGAGGGAGGUAUCUAAUUAAAGACAUUAGAGUAAAUGGCAAAACCAUCACUCAACUAUUUAAAAUUACAUAUUUUGGUCACCUUUUUUUUUUUUGUCAAAAAGGUCACCAAAUUCUUAGAAGUGUACGUACAUUUUUUUGGUCAUUUUAUUGGAUUCUAGUGCUAAGAUGGUUGGAAAUAUAUCCAUGAGAGCAGUACCUUCAAAAUUUUCAAGAAUAAAAAUGUCUCACAAUUUGGCACGUAUUAAAAAAGAUUAAGGACCUCUUGAGUUUUCAAACUUUACUAAUUUUCUCUAGAUAUUGACCAAAAUUCCUAAGCAUUGUUAACUAUUACAAUCAUAAUCUAGAGAAAAUUAGUAAAAUUUAAAAAUUGAGAAGGCCCUUUAUCGUUUUUUAAUGCACGCUAUAAUUUGUGAGAUAUUUUUAUCAUUGAAAACCUAAGCAUACUGCUCCAGCUGUGAUUACAUUUCUAGCCGUCUUAACACUGAAAUUCGAUGGAGUAAUCAAAAAACAUAUACAUUUAUGAGUUCAGUGAAUUUUUCAGCUAAAAAAACGUUUGGCGAUUGAACAGUACAAUUUUAAAUAAUUGCAUCACCUUUUUUUUUGUCAUUUAUUCAAGAUAUUACAUUGACACCACGUUAUCUUGUGUAGUUGAUAAAAAUUUAAGUGAACUUAUGGCGAAGUAGGAUGAAUUUGUAUGGACUGGACCUUUUCGUGGCCAUUAUGGCUUUCUCAAUUGGUGAUAUGAACGUCAAUGAAUAUACAAUGAAGAUGUUGCUGGAUUUGAAUGUCAUGCCAAUAAAUUGUGAGCCAGCUAGCCAGCAAAGAUGGCAAUGACUUGGGUGGGUGGCUGCAAUAAAGAUUUGUUUCAUGUAAGCUGGCAAAUGGAAGGAUGAGGCUGUUGGGCCAAUAUCACAGUCUAAUUUACUCGCAUUUGUACACUCUGCCUUGCCAUCGUCUUCAAGCAAACAUUCAUUUCGUGGGAGAAACCAUUUUCUUGGCCCUGGCACAAAACAAGAGAUGCCCUACACAGCAUCUAUGAAUUCUCUCGCUCCUAGAAUCUUUUGAACUAUGUAAAACUUUUUGUAUCGAGAAAAAAACUUUCACUUCUCUAACUGUUUCUGGGGAUUUUUAGAUGAUUUUGGCUGAAAAAAACUCAUUCCAAAGAAGUUUCCUGUCUGCAUUUUAGAUCCCACCUUGAGAACAUGGAAAUUGUUGAAAAAUAUAAAAAGUUGUAACAUUGGAAGAACAAAACUAAGUAUUUUACCUGUUUCGCUUUUUGGAGACAGCAUGCAUAUCAAUGUUCACAUACACAGAUGAAGACGUAGAUUUAGUAUUUUAAUGCAACGUUUUUGAGAAAUAAGUACACCAACUGCUCUGAGUGAAAAAAUAGUUUAAAAAAGAAAUUGAAAGGUUGCUGUAAAUCCGGGGAAUACUGGAGUCUGCAUUUUCUUGAAUCAACUCUAGAAUGCCUGGCAAAUUAUCGAUGAUCCCAAAUGAUAGUGAAUUUCUAACAGAACAUAUGACCAAAGUUUCGACUGCCAAGCUCCUCCAUUCAAUACGAAAUUUGGGUUAAAUAUUGAAUUUGACAUGGAUUAUAUGUACCACAUUCUUAAGAUUUGAAUCACAUAAGCCACAUUAUUGAGAGAUUUGUUGCCUAUAGUUGAAUCAAAAUAUUCAUACGUGAUUAUUAAUCAAAUAACAUUGUAGUACUAAUAUUUGAGUAAGCAAGAAUCAUUAUAAAAUAAUAAUGAAGCUGGAAGCAAUUAAUAGACGUUGUGGUACAGCGUUCUAAGGCUUGAGAAUGCGUGUUGGCCCAGCAAGGACAGGCAUCCCCAUUGAUAAAAACGGAGCAUUUAAGUGAAAUAAAACAGAUAGGGACUUCUAGGAAUAAUCAAUCAGGAGCCCCCACCCCAGCUCAUAAUAAAGGCUCUGGACACAGAUCCAAACUAGGCACUUACUACACACUUACUCUCUCUUAGCCCUUAGGACAUCUCUAAUUCUUGUGGUUGACUCGAGAACAUGCUAGGUGAUGCUAUGGUCAAAAUCACUUUCCUCAAUUCGUUAUGAAAUUUAUGUCAAUCGUCAUUCAAGAAAAUCAUCGAGUAGUAUUAUGAUGGAGCUAUAACAUGAUAAACUGACUUGGGAUCUUUAGGUUUCACUCCCAGUGUAGGCGCAACGAAACUACCUCAAUACAAUAAUAGUGGUGCGGCAUGAGUACAUUGUUAUUAGUUAAGUAUACCCCUAAUUCCCAAGAAACAUACUUUGCCCAAAUUACAACAGAUGUAGCUUUGGUUUCCUUUUCCUUUUUGGGAAGUGAACCUAUUGAAAAAACAUGAUGUCAAAUGAAUAUCCAUGCAUGUGCCUGCCUGAACUUUUUCCAUGUUUUGUUUCAUCAUCCCUGUCUACCCUUUCUGGUUCUGAGAACUGAUGACUGAACCUAAUAAAAGGGGUAGCAGUGAAACUGUUCAGAGCUGAAAUUAUUCAGAUACCUGGGCCGUUUAGUCCUGAAGUUUAACUAAUAUCAAACAUCGUGACUAUAAAUGGAGAAGAAUCAGAAUGAUCCCUCAUUCCAUGCUCCACAAAAAUAUAACUGUGUUCAUCAGUUCUUUAGUACUUAAGGUCUUAUUAGCAUUCGAAGGUUUGCAGUACUGCCGUUGGCUUGCUGAGGGUUUUCUCAAUUAGUCACUGGUCACUAGCAUGUUUCAUGAUGACUGACUGAUCAUGAACCAUGAAUAUUGCUGGCAAAAGAAAUUGAAAAGAUCCAAAAGAAUAUGAAGUAGAUGAACAAAAGUAACUACAACAAUUAAUACAACGGACAGAAGUUUCAGCAGAAGGUACAGAAGGAGAAAUACCGAGAAGUAAACAAGAGCAUUGAUACCAUUGCCAGCCUAGCCCUCUUGCUUAUCAGCUCUUUUUUCUCAAAACUUGCCGGACUUUCCCCACUACCCCCUUAACACAUGACUGAAAAAGCUAAAAGCUUUGCUACCAUUAAUUCUAAUUCAGGAAACUAAAUAAUGACAAUAAUAGACUGAAACUUUUACAAUUAUUUCUUGACUGAAUAUUAAUGAAAAACUAACCCUUAGAAUCAAUUGUAGCAAAGCUCUCGCUUUUUUUUUUUUUGGUCACUAAUUGUGAAGAGGGUUCGGACCAGUAUGCACUAUUCUCUCAUCAUCUCCGUAUAUGAUAUCAGAGCUGGUGUUCUGAUGAUAUCUUCCAAGAUUUACAUUAUUUGUUCUUGAAGCUGCAUGGAAUGAUGAAGAUACCUUAUGGAAAAAACGUGCCUUUCUUGCUGGUGACCAAUGCGACGGAGCAAUGUCAUCAUUAUUCUCAGCUGAAGAAGAUAAACAAAACUGAGGAAAAAUUAGGAGUAAUCCAAGAAAGAAAGCUGCUGCUUUAGACGAAUCAUAUCUCUGUCUUCUUCUUGUUGUUCUUGCUGUUUCUGCUUCAAUGUUUGGAAGUUUCAUUGGAUAGCCUGCAGUGGGAUUUUUCACCUGGGAAUUUGGAUGUUUUUCUAGGUGAAUAUGACCAUUUGAAAGUUGUUGAGACUUGAGAGAUCUCUGACUGAAAUUUGGUAGUAUUAUGGAAGAAUUUAGAAACUUUUGACCCUUUUUAGUGCGUGGUGUGCGUGUUUGGGGGAGAAGAAAAAGAGAGGAAAAAGACAAGGUGAGAGAGUUCUAUGCUUCCUUAUCUUGUGCGUUUAGUCACAUGAUCUUGACCCUUGAUUCCUGGAACCUUCUUAUAUUUUCUCUUCUGAAUUCUGAAUCUUCGAACUCUGAACCCUCUUAGUUAAACACUAAAGUGCAAAGGGUUUUGGUGCUUAUGUGGUGAUUUCUUGAUGGAAAUGCAUAUGUUUGUGCUUGGAAGUUGUGGAGGGUGAUGGGACUGUCCAGUAUUAAUAGCCGUUGUCUGCGGACUAUUGCAACUUUUAAAUCUAUGAAAAGGGUGGGCUGCCUAUGUCAAACAGAGAUUUAGAUGUUUGAUUGUUGUUCUUAAGUUAAUGUUAUAGACAUCUUGGUCUUUCAUCUUUAGUUUAGUAUAACGUUAUCUCAUAAUUAAUUAAGGUAAUCUAUGCUUUCUGCGCAUAUGUGAGUGUGGAAUUGUGUUGGCUUCUGGUCUUGCUAAAUUAAUUUUUGUUUUCAGUGAGCCUAACAUAUAGUCACUAGUGAGCUAAUUUGCAUCUAAAACUAUCAUAACUUAAUCUGUCAAUCCACAAAACUCUGGUUUGACUAAUUCAAGAAGUGACCUACGUGUAGUUUCGAGUUUAAUUUAUCUUCAUUCAUAGUAUAGAUUACUUACUUCUUAGAUACAACUAGUAGUAGGAGGUUUGAAGCUGGCAAUUCUUAGAUACCUAUUCUAUUAGGUGAUUUAUAGUAACCAUCUAAAAGUUCUCUGGUCCAAUGACUUAAAACAUAGUAGAAGAGUAAUUAAACCAGGUCUAGGACUCUAUAUAGGGGGGAUAAAAACAAAAUAAAAUAGACUCUAAAUUCUUUUUUUUUUUUCCUUUUGUUUUCAAUUUAGAUAAGAGUUCAUGUGCACUGCAGUUUACACAAUUAGUUGGAGUUAAUCAACAAAAAUGUGGAUUUCUGGGAUAUGUUGUCUAGCUAGGUUUCAGCCUCAAGCUUUGCAUAUGGUGCAAAAGCUUUGAACACUUAUAAAUGCAAAAGCACAUCCAUGGAGUUAGAAUGUGUAUAUCAGAACUUAUUCAACCACCAGCCUUUGAGCUGGUGGCUAUCACCAGUGCAUUAAGACGUGGUGGGAGUGGGAGGCAAGGGUUUAAUUAAAUGUGGUCUUGGUUUAAAAAUUUAGACGGAUGCGUAGUGCACUCGUCUGAUCCGGUAGUGAUUCAGUCCCCUUCGGAUUACCCCAAAAUCUCUUCAGGUCCUCCCCCUCCCCAUAGUAUAGAAAGCUAUCGUAUCGAAAAAAAAAAAAGUAUAUCAGAACUUAUUCAUUGCGUACGAAUCACAUAUGUGAUAUAUAUAACCGGUAAAAAUUCAUGUGUAGCUCACAUUUAAAGCCUGUCUGUGCAAUAACUGUUGCACAAGGUACAAUCUCAUGAAGAGAUAAAAGAUUACAUGGAUUACAUAGUACCUAGUACAAUGUGGAAUUAAAUGAAAGAUGUUCCUGGAUUAAAAACAAUCAACUAAUAUGGUUGCGGAAAUUUAAAAUCAGAAUUGAACUUCCCUCCAACAAUUAUAGUUCAAAAUCGGUGGAGUAAUGGAGAUAUUUUAUUGGCAUAUUAAGUCAGCCGUAAUGCUUUUAGAAGUUUCCUAUAUGAUUAUUUAGCAUUUUUUUUUGGGGUCAAUUUUCUUAUUGUUUUAGCCUUUUAGGCAAGUUCCUAUUGUAUUUGUUUCCCAUUUACCUCAUCAUAUAGACUAUAUACAGGAUAUUUGAAAGUUGAGAAGAGUGAAAGUUUGGAAGCCUUAUUAUCGAUAUUAUUUCUCUCCUCCUCUAAUUAAGGGCUUGUUCUGUUAGCUGGAGUUGCCUCGUCAUGAAUUACAGACAGAGGUUUUGCCAGAACUGUCCCACUUUUAUGAGUGAACGACAUUUAGAUACAAACAAAAUACUACUAGCAAAAUAGAGCUUCCUAGCAGAAGAACAGAUAUGGAAUAGUAGAGUUACUUAGGAUGACCAAUGAAUUGAAGAAUGGCAGCUUGAGAUGCGUUGACAAAUUAAUGCAGUCACAGAUUAUCAUGUGCUCUUCUGUAAUAGUCAGUUAAUUGCUCCACUGAUUUGUACUGGCACUGCUAAUGAAAAUGCAUAAUUUCACAAUAAUUUAGUUCUGACUUUUGACUUGACUUGAGAACCUGCUAUAAAGGAGAUAUAGUAAGAGAUAUUGAUAUACAAAUGUAUAGUCUUUGUCAUUAGCAAACAUGGAGUAAAUUCCUCACAAUGCAAUUUUUGAUAUUCACAAAAAAGCUAGCCUAGGAAAAGAGGAAAGGAAAAGUUUUACCAUAUUUCAUAGUCGAUCCCCAUAUAUUAUCUUACGUGGUUCACAGAAAUUUUUACAUUGGAGCUAAAUAGAUGCGACGAGAACCAGAAAAGAAGAGAAAGGAAAGUGCAGGUAAUUAAGACUUCAAAAAUGGAAGUCCGUGGUAGAUUUUGCCAAAGGAGAGGUAAACUUUGCACAUCAUCUUUCCUUGUUCAAUUUAUUCACCUUCUACAUCCAAUUUUUUUCUUUUCUUAUCCUCUUGCUCGAAACGGGACAUGACUAUUAAGAAAAUCCACCUCAAAAGCUAGUCGUUAAAUUAGAACUUCUCACCACAAUUCCGUUUGAAUUACUAUUUUCUGGAGUUUUUACAGAAAAAAAUAUAUUAAAGCAAUUUGAUGUCUACGAAAUAAAAAUAUGCUCACGGAAAACAUAAAAAUGUUGACGGGAAAAAUGGUAAUCCAAAAAAGGGCGACCAAUUGCAACUGAGAGGGAUGGAUGGUUCUAACACUAAUCUAUACCUGUAUGAACAUUGAAUCAAACCUACUUCAAAAGCUAAACAUUGAAGUGGGAGAAACCAAAAUCAUAUUCAUCACAAACUAGAAUCUCAUACUUCUAAUAUAAAAUUCAAGUCCAAACCUUGCAAUUAUUCCAUAACACAAUGAUACUAGCGUCCUGAAUGGGUUUAUUGGAGUGUGUAGCUAGGAUCGAAAGCUUUGAAGUUGACCAAUCUCUCAACUUUUGUCACUCAUGCCUAGUUUAACACUCUUUUCUCAGGGAAAAAUACACUUCACGCCCUUGAACUAUCAUGUAAUCGCCUAAUCAACAAUUACUUCCAUGAAUUAAUCCAUCGAAUUAUUGAACUAAAUAGCAACAUCUUUGCCAUUCGCUGAGGAGAUUUUUCUAGAGAUCUAUUAAUGCUUGGCUUCAUCCAGAACAAAAAGAAUACGCCCAAACCUAUAUUUACUUCUCAUGGAAAACUUGGUUGGUCAGAGUCUGAUGGUGCAAAUAUGAAGCAGCCUUUACCAAGUCCAGAACAUAUACCUAGACGGCUAUCUGGCUUAUGCUUGCACAAAUUUUUGCCAGUUUUACUUCGACUUCUUUAUAGGAUAAUUUUCCAGUUUGUCUAAUAUAAAACCAACUUUCCCUGAUCUGAUUCUGACUACUCAGUGGAUCCCAAGUUGAAAAAAGGAACAAGUUUUUGCUUCAGAAUUGGCCAUACUAACUAAAAUUAGCCCUAGAAAGAACAGGCAAUGGUAACUAAAAAUGGUUUCGUGAACCAGCUUGUGAACACCACCCUAGCUAGCCCUUAGUAGAAAAGUACUGAGAAAUCAUUGAUUCGACCAUGCCAAAACUCAGAACUUGUCUACGUUAAAACAUCAUAAAGUCUUCCUCCGACUGUCAUGCAUUUCCAUAACAGCAAUAUUUGUCCCUAUGCAAAAUUACAAAGUACCGACAUCAUAUUCUUGAGAUCACUGUUAGAACAGUGUUGUUCAGACGAAUGAAUUGAGAAUGACAGCUAAAAUUUCGUCGAUGAAUUAAUGCAGUCAAAUAUAUAUUACUCCAUCAUGCAUGUUUUUUUUUUUUUACUCCAUCACCUUGCUCAUUUGGUACACUACAGGAAUUUACAAAAGGGUCCUCCUUUGAUUAUUUUUUUUUCCUUUUUUGUGUCAUUCCCUAGCUAGUAUUCUCUUAUCUAGGCCUUGAAAAAUUUUUAAAUAAGUAAAUACGGGGACUUUAUAAUUGCUUGCUUGGCAAUGGACAUGGCUAAGGAGAGCUAGCUAUUCGAACUGCCAUCGACCAGAUCAUUGUAUUCAAUUAAUCAGCUAUGAAUCUUUUGGCAAUAAGUGAAGCUGCAUUGUUGUGUGUACGUGCAAUUACAACUGCAAUUCACUUAUUUUCAAAAACGAAAUGGUCUGAGACGAGCUUUGCACUGUGGUGUUAUUGGAAAUGAAAAACUCUUCGGAACUAUUUCACGCAAAGUUGAAUUGUUUGAGCUUUUCGCUUUGGUACUUAUUUGAUUACCAAAUUCUAUAUGAUACGGGUAAUGGGAUAUUUGCACUGUUCCCAUCUUUUGCUCUCAAAAUAAGUUUUGAACAAUCAACAUUAAUUUGUUAGCAUAAAAACCAAAGUGAGAAUUUGAAGCAUGCCUAAGAUGAAUUUAAUAGGAUGAAAAAUAGAGGUAAAUUUUGUAUACGCUGACAAUCUAUAUAUACACUAGUGGAUAUAGGUUCAUACUAUCUAAUUUGAAUUUUAAUUCUUGCAAAUGUGCCAUGCAUUCAUAUCUAUUAGUAUGUAUUUUGUUAGUUAGUGUAUAAAAAAUUAAUACAAAAAAAAUAAGGUCUAAUAAUUAUUAUAAAAAAAAGGUCUAAUAAAAACCGUACUUCAUGACAAUCCAUUGUAGUGGGCUUGGUCUUAAUCUUCUACUUUGGGCUUGGAAGAAACCGUAUAUAGAGCGGAUGCCUUUUGGGCCCAGGAAAGUCCAUAUUCAAGAAUACCAUUCAAAUACAAAAUCAAAAUGAGAUAAAAGAAACUUCACUCUACAUAUUAUUGAGUUUAAACUUAUAAAACACUCGGAUUAAGCUUUUUUAACACAAUUAGUCUAGGAAUUUUUUUACACUAAUAAAUAUAAAUACAUGAAAUACGUGCAAAGAAAAUUUUCAAAACUAAAUAGAAGUUAUGUCUCAUGCAUUCCAUGUGCUAGUUUUUUUUUUAAAAAAUUUAUACUAACAAUGUAAGAACGAUUAAUCUAAAAUACUUUACUAUGAAAAGUUCGUAAUAAACUAUUGAUUAAUUGUUACUACAUUUCUGGUAUAAAAUUUUUUUUACGUUAAUGAGUUUGGAUGCAUGAUACAUAAACUUCAUUGAAAUUUGAGAUUUUGUUUUCAACAUUUUAUUGGUAGUGCAAAAAACAAAAAAAAAAGAAAUCAUUAACAACAUACAAAUCUAUAAAGAAUAGUAAAAAAAAAAUGGUAGGCAUGUUUCUAAAUUCAACAAAAAAUUAAUCUAAAUAUGAAAACUCCUGUAUUCACUCUACCACGAAUGUUUUAGAUUGCCUAAACGUUAAUAAAUAUGGAUUUUGGCCCCUUCAGGGUUCAAGAGAAAUAUAUCAUCAUCUCAUAAUUAGCCAAAAUAGGACUAAAUUUAAAAUUCUCUAGUUGGUUCCACAAGCUGAAAUUGUCAGACAAAAGAGUCCAACUUGAAAUUCUAAAAGGAUAAAAUGUUAUUUGCAUUCUCAUUACUCUAUUUUCAUUUUGAUGAAAUCAUAUUAUUGCUGUCCUAAUCUCUUUUCCUUGUCCAUGAGCUAAUUUUACCAAAUUUUCUCUUACAUUCUAAAACCAAUUAAUUAUUCCAUUACACAUUAAAAUGGCUAAUUUAAAAUUGUCGCUAAUAUGUAUUAUGUAUUUUUCUACAAAAUUUCACGAAAUUAUAUGAUGCCAAAGAUCAAUCUAACAAUAUAAUAUGAACAGAUUCCAAACUUCAAGACCAAAAUAAAUAAAUAAAUAAAUCCCAAACUUCAAAGAUGACAAAAAAUUGAGUACAACUAUAAUGUCUCAUAAAUAGGAUACUAAUAUUUCAAAAAAUCUGUUAAGAAUAUCUCAUAUGACCACAAUAAAGGAAGUGAAGUUUUCUGGUAUAUUUCAUCAAUCUCUUCUGGAGAAUUGUUUUCCAUAGUUUGAAAGCCCUAAAAUUUUUUAUGAAAGAGAAAAAAAGUGGAGUUUAAAAUUUCUUUUAAAAGAAAAGAAAGUGAAGUUGAUGUUUGCUGCUCCAAAGUUGUCUAUAAGUGAUAGAGCACAAAUUAGAGUGAGGGUAAUAUGUGAACAGCAUAUAGAUAAUGUGAACGCAAUAUAGGACAAGAGUAAAAAUUAGAGUAUCUUGUCAAAAUAAAUAGGAUAGUAAAAAUGCAAAUAACACAGGAGAGUUCAAAAAAUAACACAUUACCCUUCUAAAAUUACACGAAAAGACAAAAGGCAACAAAACACCUAAGCCGUCAAAAGCCAAAAUCAGAAACAAAACACAAUCAACGGAUUUUGUAGGAAAGUAGACUUGCGUAUGCUUGGAAAAAACACCCCGAAUAUGCUGAUACUUUUUGUAAGUAAGUGCCUGUUUUUUUGAGGAAGAUUCCCCCCCUCAUUCGCAUAUCCUUUUUCCAUAAAUACCCUUACCUUUUCGCCUUGUAUUUUUUCAAACCAUAAUCUGCAGCUUCAAAGAAAAACAGCAAAAAGAAGAAAAAAAGAAAAAUCCCAGCUGACUUCAGAUAGAUUGCUGCAAUCCCUUUUCUCCAGGUUCUUUAAUUUUACCUAUUUGUAGCUUUUUAAGCAAUCUCCUUUUUUCAUUUAAGUAGCUGAUUUUCUUGAUUGUUGUUCCGUUAAUGUUUUCUGGUGAUUUCUUCAUUUUGUGUUGCUUGGUUUUGUUUUCAAUUGAGAACCCUGAUGGGAUUUUGCAUCUUUUCAUUCCUUUCUGUGUGUUGAUCAUGGGCGCAUUUUUUAAAAAGUUGAAGACUUUAAUCGAUUGCAAGACUGGUUUGUUGAAGGGAUUUCAUUGCUUGCCUGAAGUUCUUGAUGGAUAUGAAGUUUACCUUUUUAUAUUUAUUAUCAUCAAACGAAAGAAUCAGUUUUAUUUAAGAGUUUUUAGUACCAUGCAGGAAGUAGCUCAGAAAAUCUUUAAUGCAAUGUGCAGAAGGAUAUCUAGGAUUUAAGUUUUUUCUACGGGAUAUUUUAUGCAAUAGUUGAUUUUGCAUAGAUAUAUCUGAUCAGGUGGUAAAAUUUAGUCUAGUUUUAGUUUGGUAAUUUUUGGCUGGAUUUAGAGACUGCUUUUUAUUGUUCGUUCUCGCUAAUUAGAUUAAAAUCUUGUAGCAGUAACCUUAAAAAAAAAAAAAAGAAUUUGUAGCAGUAACUGAAAAAUGGAAUUAAUAAAGAAAUAAAAUACAAGGUAAUACUUAAGGAUAUGAGUUUCUUUUUAUUUUCUCCUUUUUCUUGAGAUGGAAAUGAAUUGGUGAAAGCUUACAUGCAGUGCUGCUGGUCCUGAAGCCUUUUGUAUGCUUUACAUAUGUAUAAGAUCAGCACUGGUGUUUUGAACUCUUAUUGUGAUGAUUUAGUGACAUAAUUUCUAAUGACUUUAGGAUUUUUUAAUUCUGUUUUCUAAGUUGUUUCUGUUGGAUCUUUAUUCUUUACAUUUAGACAUUCUUGAACAUAAUGGAUAUUACAUUUGUUACAGGGAUUGGGAAUAGGUUUUCUGCUGCAUCCUGAGCUCUUUCUUUACCAGGGCAUUCAUGUCCUGCUGGCAGUCAGUCAGUUGACUGAUUGCCAACAGAGCACAUGAGUGACCAAAGUGCAUUAAUGCCUAUCAAAGCCUUGGAGGGUAUACACGGAGUACAACUGGUUCCUAAUUCACCAUUUACAUUUGAAGUGAUAAAACAUGAGGAUUUACAGCAGUCAACCUGCGAAAGUUUGACUGUUGGGACUAGCCAACAGCUAAUAUUGCAGUAAGUCGAGAAGAAUUCGUGUUCUCUAUCAAUAUAUGCUUCUGUUUUCAAUUCAACUUAAAAUGCUGAGCUGAUAAUUGUUUUUGACAAGCAUUAUAUAGCUGACAACAGCAAUCUAUUUAUCAGGAGAGCAUGGCAGCAAAGGCCUCCUUGUCUUAGGCCUAUUCACUCUUGCGCAUCUGGUAAUUUUAGAACUUCAUGUGUAUUUUUUAAUCAAUGGUAUUGCGGUGCAUGCUUCCUUGAACUUUGAUUUUUUUUUUCUUUUCUAAAACUUUUAUUUCUGUAUUUUAGGUGAUAAGACUAUUGUAGAGAGGAUAGCUAAUGUGCUUACAUCACUUCCUUUUAUUGCUCUUGGGCUUCAGGCACCAAGGUAGAGGCUUUCCCUUAAUCCUGCAUGUGUUUGGUGGAUAAAUGUGUAUACUAUAUUAUGUGAGUAAUUCGGCUUUUGGGAUGUUACAACAAAAUCCAUCCCCCAAAUGAACAGAACAGAAACAGUGAGGGGUCUGGGAGGUUGAAGAUAAUGGUUGAGACCUAAAUGCUUUUUGCUGAUGAUGCAGGAAGAAUCUAAACUGUAAACUUUAUGCCAAUUCCUUAAUUGGAGUAGGGCUUGCCUCCAGCUUGUACCAUGCUUCGAGAGGAAAACUAAGGAAAUAUCUGAGAUGGGCUGACUACACAAUGAUAGCCACAACAACAGUGGUAUGCCAUGACUAUAUAGUUGUCUUUGGAUGUAUGCAUUAUAUUUGCUAGAGUUCCGUAAGUUGAAUCGAGUAGAAUAAAUUUGUUCAGCCUUCAGUAUCAAUACUUCCAUCUAAGAAAAUUUUCUUGGCAUAGAAACAUAGUGGACAAGUACAUGCAAAUUGUGGCAGAUUGGUUUUCUAAUCCAUCAGAAAGUAAUAAGUGGAUGUUUUGAAACCUUUGGAGUGUCCUUGGAUAUUUUCUAUGUGCCAUUGCCUUUGUCAGGGGCAUCAAAAAUUCUGACAGACUAAUUUUUUGACAUUCACAGCAUCCCUCUGUUAUUCCCCCCCUUAAGUUACAUGCCUUUAAAUUGUUCUGUCUUUUUUCUUUAAUUUUAAGAAUUAGUGGCUUGCAACAGCAUCAACAUGACCAUUUCUUCUACUUAUUGUAAUUUGUCCUUUUGAUUGAGUGUAUCUGCUCAGCCUGUCUGUGUCUCCAGUUUAAAAAAGUUUACUUUCUAAAUAUGCAUCACUGGAUGUCUGUGAAUUCAGAACAUGUAUGCUCUAAUUUAUCCUGGAUUUUCAUCUCUUAUUUUUGUACUAUAAUACCUUGCUGAAUGUCUUAACAUAUAAUGACAAGCUUGUAUCCUGCAAUGAUGACUUGACUAAGUAAGGCUGAUAACAGAAAUUAUCAGAUUACGUUAUAUGUAACAAUGACUUUCUUGUGUGUCUAUUUGGAAAAGAAGCUUUUGACUCAGGUAUUCUGCACUCGUCUAGCAGCUAAAUAGGGUGAGCAACUUGCUUCACAAAGGGAAAGGGAAAGAUAUUAAAAACUAAAAAAAAUCUAAUCAUUGAUUUUAUGGACCUUUGCCUUUUUGCUGACAAGUUACUCAAAGGAAAAGAGAACUCUUGUGCUUAGAUAUGUCCACUCAUACAGCAUAUUGGUUUAAUGCAGCUCACCAUGCAUUGUUUGAUUUGUUGCUUUUCACUUUAUCUCUAGCAUGAGGAACAGAGGAAAUGGAAAGAUUAGGAUAUUCCUGUUGUAUAAAAAGUAGCGUUCGAUUGCAGUUUGUAUUUUUUCUGCUACAAGUUCAGUUAGGUUGAUUCAAUACCUGUAAGAAUUUCUCAAUAGUAUUUAUCCCAAGCAUUUUCUAGAUGCUAGCUAACCAGUAAACCUUCAUUGAAUAACCUAGAUCUGGAUUACAUUUUACUCUUUUAGUUUUCUAAUUGACAUUUAUUACUGAUUCCUUUGUAGUGUUUGUCAAGCGCACUGCGCACUGAGAACCCAAAGUUGCUCAUGGCAGCCUCUGCUGUAUUCCUGCCAAUCCAGCCUUUGAUGGUUUCUGCAGUACAUACUGGGAUGAUGGAGGUAAUAGACGUACAUGCAUAUCUAUGAGUUGAUUCAUAAGCCAGAAUGCAGUCUGUUCUAAGUCUUGUCUUUUGACUCUCUUAAGUGUAACUGAGGUCUGGGAGGCCUCAGGAACGAGCUAAAAGAGUUCAGACCCAAUCCUCUCCGUUGUGGCGUGCAUUCUGUGUUCCAAGUCUUAUCUUUAUACUUAUUACUUGACUGGCAUAAUAUACAUAUGUAGCUUACUAUUGCCAGUUAGGUAUGCAAGAUUGAAGUUGUAGUUCCUUGGAGUAGGGAAUCAUUCUGGUUAACAUAAUUAUAGAGCUGGAAUUAGUGGAAGCUGAAACACAGUUUACUACAUAGCUUGUAGUGCUUUAAUUUUCUUGGUUGUUUAUGCUCAUGUCCUCAUCUAGCAUGAGACACAUUGAAGAUUUGUUGUUCUUCUGGUGAUAGGAGGAGAGAGGAGGCAAAGGGAAUGUUGCUCAUGCCUUGGCUUGACCUAAAGUGUCUCUCACUUGUUUGAAAUCUAAUAUUGUCCAAAGUAGGUUAUUUUAGCAUUUGGUCGGAUUGUAAUUGAUUAGUAGACAAUAGAUCCAUAUGCUACUGAUUAUUGAUUCAUGAAUUUGUCUUUACAUCAUCAAUGACCUCCGCAUCCUUUUUAGAACCCAAAAAGAUGAAGCCAAGUUAGCUGCCCAAGUGAUCUGUCAAAUGUGUUUCCUAGUCCUACCAUCAUAAUACCUGAGAAGUAUAAAAUAUUGUCCACAAUUGACCUUCCUUGGGCCUUCUCAGUUGCUGCACACGCUGUCCUGGAUCCAUUGAGAUUCCAUAGCUUGCAACAUGCGAGUUAAAACACACCAAAGAGAACAUUGAGAAAAGCAUGCACUGGUUUACUAUAUGUAAUACACAACACUUGAACUUCUUCAUCCAUUUUUGAGAGGUCUCAUUUAUCCUACCUUAGUUUCGAAACUUGCUGUAACUAAAGAUGCCUAGCCACCCUUCCAUUUUUAUCCAAACAGUCCAAUCUCAAAUACUCAAGUAGCCGAGACAAAUUGGUAACGUUACCUUUUUUAUUCCCCAUGCAUCUGUCCAGGUUGCUUUUGCAAAAAGAGCAUUUCAAGAUCCAGAACUGAGGAUGGCACACAAUGUACAUAAGAUGUCAUCACUUUUGGGUGGUGCACUUUUCAUUGCUGAUGAUGUCUUCCCUGAAACUCCCUUCCUUCAUGCUGGUUGGCAUCUAGCUGCUGCUGUUGGAGUUGGCACUUGUAACAAGCUUUUAGAGCAACUUCAGAAUUAAUAAAUUAAUUUGUCGAAAAUACUUCAAUUCCUGAUAUAGAGCGUAGUUUAUCAUUGAUCAGAAAGCUGAAACUUGUUCAAUAUCCCCAUAAUCUUCAGAUUAAAAUGUAAUAAUAUAUUUAUUAGGUUAGGGGUACCGUCAGCAGUGGGUUCUGUAGUAUGCCUUUAUAGUCUAAAACGGUGGCAAUCUUCGUUGCCUUGUACUUUACAAAAUCAGUGGAUUCAUCGAAGAAACGAAUUAUUUGUACUUGCCCUUCUGUUUGUAUUUUGGUGAAGCAUGUAAGAUUUCUCAUGUUCUGCAAUUAACUGUACGUUUCGCUUGAGAAAAGAUUGUCCAACUCUUUUGGGCAAAUCAGCUAUUUGGUCUUCAAUGUAGAACCAUCCUUUGGAGACUAAUCAGGAAAAUAUAAAUAAAUUGGUAUUUCUGGGCGUCUGUGGCUAUGUUCUUUGGCUAUUCAAGUAGAAAUAAGGAAAUGAAGAUUUGAAAUCAGAGUUCUUCACCAGCUUCCCGUAUUGCUUUUAUCUCUUUCACAUUAGUUGCUUUAAAGAAUUAAAGAAAAGUAGCAUAAACUUUGCUCUUGCGUAUAUUUUUUUCCUUGUUUCACUCUCACAUGAUAAGGGUACGAAACCUAAUUGAGGGUAAAGGAUAAACAUGUCCAAAUGCAACACUGUUGGAAGGACUGUCCUCAAUGCCAAAACAGAAAGCUAGUUUGCUAGGAAUUCUAGAGUCUAGACAUAAGAUUUGUGGCAAGCCGAAAAAAGCAACCAAAUGAACGUGUUUCUCGAUCUUCAGGCAUCAUUUAGUAUUCGGGUCCUAGCUAGCAAAGACAGUAGUAAAUCAACUAAUAUAUCUUGUUGAUUGUACUGCAUUGGACAUGCACUAAGCUAAAAGUUUUGUUUCUUUUAUUUAGCUUCUUCAAUCCAAUGAAUGAGUAUCUGACUUGCAAUUUGAUUUCAGCACUAUUCAGGUUGUGGAUCACCGAUUGUGGAACUGCAGAAAACUAUUUCAAGCAGUUGACUAUUGAACCACACCGCUCUCUGCUCAAAAGUCUUCGGUGCUCUAUUUUGAACAUGAAGCAAUAAUUGGUCCAACGAAGGCUGCAAAGAAGUCUUAUGAACGUGUACAUCACUUGUGAAUCACUUUGCUGCUAACUAAUAAGUAUAUCACUUAUGAAAGUGAUAAACUGAACUCAUUGAGGCUGUUUUAAAAUCAAAGACAUACAAAGGGGAGACAGUUUAGAAAUAAGAAGUGUGAAAGGCACUGGAGCAUGAAUAGGUAGUAAAACGAGAAGGAAAAAGAAAAUGAAGUGUGAUGAGGGGCUGAGGCAGAUGGCAUGGUUUGAAGUAGUAGAAUGUGGAAUGCAAAAAUCAAGUCUUAUUGAGUUUUGAAACUUCUCUCAUCAUUGACAUGUCGCUUUUACAUCUCUUCCCCCAAUAUCUCCCAGAAUUUCACGCUUUCUUUUCAAUCCUCCCUAGUUUGCUUUGUCCUUCUCUUUUUUCUCUGACCACACUGCACAGCUGCAUAGCAUGGUCUACCUAUUGAUGAAGUACUCUUAUCUCUUGUUGUUUCUUCUAUAAACAAAAACCAUUCUCCUUUACUUCACUGCCCCCCAUCCCUUUUUUCCCCCUCGUUCCAUCUCUAUCACUGAAACUCAAGAAUUUCAAUGUCCCUUCCAGUACAGUAUUAACCUUGGGGCUGCAGAAUUCCUUUUUCACCUAAGCUUUUAUAACCGACCCACGAGAGAGAGAAGCAAGAAAAGCAAACACAGAAAAGAGCAUUCAAUAAUUGCACUAAUCUUGCAUCUGUACAUGUAAACACAUGCAUUAAAUUCAUGACAUAUGUUAGCAUUUUUGCAUAAGACCACCCAUCCCCAACCCUGGCCCUUCCUCCUUGCUUGCCUUUUCAUUUCAGCAGCAUGCUACUGGACCAUAUUGUCAACUAGUACUUGCUCCAUAAAUCUCUCCCAUCUUUCACCUUCCAAUCCCUUCUUCGGACACCUAGUGAACAACCUAUUAUGUGGUUGAAAAAUUGUGAGGAUGGUGUCAAGGAAUCUAGAUAUGAUGCAUUAUACAAUCAGCGAAUUCGCCAUAUCUUCCCAAAAUCUAAUGCUUCAAUGAGCAAUUGUGCUCCAUGUUGCUUGAUACCAUCUAAUUACUCCAGUCACAUUGGCAACGGGAUUGGAUUUCCCAUGAACUACCAUCAAAGUAUGUCACAAUUUUUUGUUAGUUUUUCUUCUGUUUUACUUAUUUGUGUGAUGAGUUAUGAAUGUCUUGUAGCUUGCGUUAAUCAUGAUGAAGAAAUUAAAGAUGAGAACCACAUGGAACCCAUAGUGAGUUCAAGGUGGAAUCCAACACCGGAGCAGCUAAUGGCCUUAGAGGAAAUGUAUCGACGCGGAGUAAGAACUCCCUCAGCUGAAGAGAUCAAGCUCAUUGCUGCAAAGCUUCGCCAGUUUGGUAAGAUUGAAGGGAAGAAUGUGUUCUAUUGGUUUCAAAACCACAAAGCAAGAGAACGACAGAAAAGACGUCGCCAACCGGACUCAAAUUCUAGCAAAAAUGCCACUGACGUUGAAACCCUAGAUGCAAAAGAGACAGGUAAGUAGGGUUUGUAUCGCACCAUGAUGCUAAUGCAAUAAACAGUUUUUCUUGACAUGAAAUAGGGUUUUCUUCUUUUAACUAUUUUCUUUACAGGAUUUAGCUGCAAAGCUUUGGAAGGUGAACACAAUAAGAAGUUGGUUACUACAAUUCCAGCAUACAGUUCAACUUCAAAGGUCUGUAUCCAUUCCUUUGAGUGAUAGGCCUUUGUGUCUUUUUCUUCUUCUCGUCUUAAAACAAAAACAAGAGAAGAUAUUUUAUGAGGUAAUGAAGGGAACAUUUUCUUCCUUCUCUCUUUUCUUUUUACAAAAGUAGGUCAAUUAAUUUUUCAAAAGGGCAAAAGUGACAAAUGCAAGAGGGAGGAAAGCUUUUAUAUGAUGGGAAAAACAAUAAGAGUUGAAAUUGGAAAAGCUGCAUUCUAUACUUUCUGGUAGUUAGGCCUGUUGGUCUAAUUCCUGAAAGGGUGUUAGUAUUAUUGGGGAUAGUGCAAAUUGACAGUGCCUUAAAUACUUGUUCAUUUCAGGAGUCUGCAUCAAUGCAAAGAUCAAUGGUAACAGAAAGUGGAACAGAUGGAUGGACUCAUUUGGAUGAGAGAGAACUGCAGAAGAGGAGCCAAAGGAAAAUAGCAAAGGGUGCAACUUCCCUGAUGGAUAUGUCUUGUAUGGCUCCCAACUCUGACCUAUUAAACACCAUAACUGCACCUUCCACACUUGAAUCUUCAGGGGAAAAUCAGCAGAUAACUGCAUUAAAUUCCAGCGUAGUUUCCCCAUCCUGCGGUGAAGAUAUGAUCAACUAUGAAGAUGGAAGAAGAAACCAUCACACACUUCAGCUAUUUCCACUGCGAAGCGACGAUCAUUGCUCCAUUAAAGCAUCAGAGACAGAGUUUAAAGAGCUUAGGACAACGAUAAGUUCCAAACUUCCUCCAAAACAGUUCUAUGAGUUCCUCUAGGAGCAGCAUAAGGAUGCUUAUCUUAUGUGCUACUUAGAAUGAAUAAGUUCAGCAUUCUUACUAGUAAGAUUGCAGCACUGAAUAGUUUAGCGUUUGCCAAAAAUUGAAUCUAACAAGCUAUCCAAAAUGGAGAGCUAGCUAGUCAGUAGCAGCCAAUGGAGACUGUGGAGUAGUAAUUGAUAUGAGAGGAAAACGACAGAAACUCUGGACUGAUGUGAAAUACCUUUGAUGUGAUGUAAUCUGGUACCAAGGAUGGGAGAAUGUUACAUUUUCCAUGCGUAUUAUUUUGGAAAUUUCACUAUUUAUAUAUGGCAUUUACGUUUUACAGUCAGAUCCAUAUAAAACUGAGAAGAAGAUGACUAAGAUAUUGAGUUGUACAGUGUUUUAUUUCUCUAAUACCUAUAUAGACUUUGUUCUAACUGGCUAAACAAUUAUGACAGGUCAAGUCAUAAUGCACAUUUUGAAGUAACUAAAAAUGGGUUAAGCUAAUUUGCCAAUCUAGUUAAUGUUAAAGUUUAAGAGAUUUUGGCUAUAAUAGGAUAACGUGUUAAAAAAUAUAUCUAUAUUACAUACAGAUUAUGUCUCCUAGUGUUCUUUCUAAAUUAUCCUUAAUAACUACCCACUGUCAACAUGUUCUUCUAUCAAGUAACAUAUAUUUCUUAUUAUUCCAUUUCUUAACUUAUUUAAUAAAUAUUGUUUUUUAGCAACUACUAGCUAUCAUUAUGCCUUACCACCAAAUAAUUAUUUGUUUAUACAUUUUAUUUUGAUAGAUUUUCUACAUAUCUAUAGUCAAAUAUAAAAUCAGUUCUCUUGAAAAUGAUUUCAACAAAUAUAUUUAAAAAAUCUUAUAAAUAUUGUUCUAUUAAUUGCAUACGCAUUGUUGUGUUCCUUGAAUACUAGUAAAUAUAGGUGGUGGACAUACUCUAAAUUUCGAAUACUUUAACAAGUAUACAUCCCAUAUGAACUUUACUCCAAAGCCAUUAUCGAGGAAACAAUAAAAAAAAAAUUGAAAACUCAAGUAUUUGCAAAGUAAGUGGUUCAUACUUCAAAGAUAUGAGACCUUAAAACGUGAACAUAAAACUCUUGUCAACCCUUUGGCUAUGCAGAAUUUAAUCGAAUUUAAAAACUAUCAAACAUAAAAUGCUGAUCGAGUUUGGAUCGAUUAGUUAGCAAAUCAAGCUUGAACCAACUGUUAUCAAAUCGGAUUCAAUUUGAGUAUUGAAUAGUUUGAUUCAUCUUUCAACCCUGACCAUAACAUAAAAACUAGUUAAAAAGGGUUGGAAGAAUGCCCAAGAUAUUAGAGUAUAAAAAAGACAUUAAUAUACAUUUUGUAUUGCUAACUCUCAUUUGCUUCUGUAUUCCAGGGAAAUUAGGCCAAUCCCUCUACAGCUAGUUAGUCAGAAAAUAUGUUUACCAAAAUAAAUGCAUAACCAAUCCCACUGGUUCUGUUGCUGCAUCAUUGGCCUUAGGUUCUGUGUUAGCGUCAUUCCCGUUGUAUAUAGGGCACGCAAAAUAUUAGUACAACUGCGAUGAGAACUAAAGUUGUCCACAAACACAAAGCCCACCAAAAAAAAAAAAAAGAAAAAGAAAAAAAAAUUGCAUUUCAAAACCUCCAAAUGAUAUUCACAAUGAUGUGUGCUGGCUUGUGCAAUUGUACAAACUAUGAGCAACUGACUGUGGACAUGCACGUUACACACUAGACUCAGAGAUCAAGGGGCCCUUUAACAGUUGAUCAGGCCCUUUUCCAUUUCGCAGAAUUUUAUGGCCAGGAUUUAGCUACAUCAAGGUACCAUGGUUCAAUUUAGUGUAUAAAUGGAUUUAUUCAAGCAAAUAUACAUCAACCCUUGUCCUUAAUUGGACCACAAAUCACAGUGACGAAAGUAGUGCAUACAGCUCUGUCCUUGACUGGGGCGAAUGUUAGUUCCUAAUGGUUUAGGAUCUCAAGUGUUAGGAUAGUCCAAAUAUAAUUAGAAUAAAUCUUAUAUACGCUGACAGUAUAUAUAUUAUCACUUUUUGAUUCAUGAUAUAUGUGAAAAAAUUGAAUUUCAAAUUUAAAUUUUACAUAAUUAUCAUUUAUCCAACGCUGAUAUCGUAUACACUGUCAGUGUAAAAAGAUUAAUCCAUAUAAUUAAGGCAAAAAAAAAAAAAACUCAAACACUUUAUCCCUUUUUUCUUUUUUACUUUAAAAUGGAGGUUGAAGUCCUCACACUUAAAAGAUGUUAUAUAUGAAUUAAUCGUGUAUAUCUAUGUUUUAAUCAUUACAAUACAAUUAUCAAAUAUUCGAGAUCUCAAUAGUUGUCAUCACUAGUUCAAAAUCAAAGACUCGAGAUCUCAACAAUAGUCACUAGUUCAAAACCCGCGGUGUUGAGCUCUUUAUAUUGAUUAUCUCCCAAAAUAUAUUGUUGUUUGCUACAAAAUACCCAUGCAGCUUUGGAGCAUUGAAUUAAUAAUGUUUGGUAAAUGCAUGUAGAGGUAUGAUAAAAAGCUAUGGAAGACACAGGAGAAGAAAGAAAAGAAUGUACUGAACAACCAAAAAAGGAGCCUAUUGCCGAGGAACCGACCGUAUGAUCUUAGACCGAAUCUAAGGUGGGAAGAGAUAUUUAAUUCCAUGGACUAAAAAGGCUGCUGCCUUUGGUUGGAUUGGUUGCUCUCUUUUAUUCUGCUUUGCCUAGUCCCAACAAGACAAUACACUUUACAUUUUAUGCAAAACCCUCCGAAGUCCAAACAACCCAAUGAGUCAGUGUGUACUUUGUAGUCCCCAUUAAUGGUUCUUGCUUCUUCAAGUCUCCCUUCUUAAAAUCAUGUUGUACCCUCUGUUGCUUCGAUUCAACUAAUUGGUACCUGUUUUCAAUUUUCUUGUCGAUUUUUGUUGGAAAAGUCAAAUUCAUGCAUCAUACUGCAAUGAUUUUUCUCUUGUUAACAGUAUCAAAAGAGUAUUAAAGUCAGCGAAAUUUUUUUACUUAUUUUGACUAUUGAGGAGGUCACGAUCAUGAUCUGAUAACAAUUGUCAUUUGAGAAAACUUGAAAACUAGAUUAGUUUAAUUUAAGGAACAAGAGCUAAUUCAUGACCAUUUUAUAAAUAGCAAAGUUUCAGUUCAUAGAAUACAAAAUGAAGACUUUGACUAGCACAAGCAAUUGCUUGUCUCUCUAUUUAGUUUUUCAUUCCUACUAAUAACAAGCCCAACCCUGAAGAAAUUUUAUGCCUCAGAUGACUUUUGCUUUAUUUGAGAUGAUUAUUAUAGUAUUUUUUAUAAUAUGACAUAUGUAAGAUAAAUAUAAACAGUAACACAACAAAAUUUUCUCACUUCUUCAAAUUUGUACCGAAAAUUUAUGUUAGUAUCCACGUUGUCAUUUCAUUAUCUACAUUUAUAUAUGCUGACUGGUUUUUCUUGUUUGACUUUUUUGUCAAUGGUCAAUGUUUAUGUCAAACAAAAAUUUUAAUCGGAAGCAUAAUGUUUGAAGAUAUAUUAAAUAGGACAACAUUUUGCACCGAAAAAAGAAACAUAAGAGACAAUCUUAUAUAGGCUGUCCUUUUGGAGUCUAGAUUAGAGAGUCAUUGUUUAGGUAGCUGUGCUUGUUUAGUCUAUAUAUAAGGGGAAUUGACACAUCAAACCUAGGUUUUACCAGACCUAUAUACAAGGUCUGUACUGAAACUUUUCGAGCACCCAUAAAGAGGAUCAAAGAUCACUGCAGAAAUUUGAUACAAUUCCCGGGACAGAUGAAUAAAUAAGUGCAGAAGCUGCUGUGAUCUGAUCAUUUACGUAAUUAGCUGCAUUUGGAAGAAUGAUAUCUAAAACAUCAUAGCUUCACAGCUAAACCUAGCUCCAAAGAAUGCUUACUCAUGCGGUAAUAAGGAUUCGUCUAUUGUGGGAACUCUGGACUGUGCGCACCAUAGGAAGUGGAAGGAGACCCUGGCACGUAUGGAGCUUGUCAAUCCAGGGCACCUGCAUUCCAAAUUGCACAGGCAAGACCCACAGCCAUGGUUAGAUACUAAGCAUGAAAAAGUAAAAAGAAGAAAAGCACAAAUGAAUUAGGAAAUGGUUAUGGGGUUGACCGAUAACCAAAUAAAUACACAUGGGGUGCUAGUUUGAAAUAUAAAAUAAGGGGAUUAUGGUAACUUAUUUACAAUUACUUCAUUUAAUAAAGCUUUUAGUAAUAACAUUUAAGUAUUUAAUAAGUACUUAAGGCCCCUUUUGAGGUCGUGUUACAUUUACCAAACAAAAAACCCUUUUGAACACUAAAAGUACUUCUGCCGUGUUUGGAAACUAAUUUUUCGUAACUUAAGGAACUCAGUUUUUAAUAAUUUGAAAAUUCUUUUGUUAAAAACACUUGUGUCAGAAGUAUUUCUGUAUAAGCCACCACAACUGCAAAUAGGGCCUAAGUGCUUUUAAGUAUAUUAUUUGGGUACAUAGUCAAAUAAGUACUUAUUGUAUUACAUAAUGUGUAAUUUAAAAAUUUUAAACAUAUUUAUCUCUUUAUUUAAUUCAUAAUAUAGGACAAAAUGAUUAAAUCUAAUAUUUUAUUUUUUAAAGACUCAAAAACAUUUUUAAAGCACCAAAUUAAAGUUUUUUUUUUAUAAAAGUGUUUUUCACACCAAAAGUUUUAUUUUUAAUUUUAUGGGGUGAUGUUUACCAAACACUUCAAAAAUCUUUUUGACACCUAAAAGUACUUUUUUUUUGGUUUACCGAAAGCAUCGAAGCAACGAACGGAUCCUAGGUAUAAUUUAUAAUUCUUGGGGAUUGUUGAACAAUUUUGACAAGGCAGUGACAGUGCAAUUAAAUUGGGGAUGUGGAAGUAAUAACAAAUUAUUUGAAGAGUUAGUAAUGAGUGUGAGAAAUCAUGCAAGGUCAAUAACAGCAAAAGAAAUAAUAACAAUUUGGAUGGGACAGGCAUAAAUCCCUUGUUACGUAGUUUAGUCACUAAUAUGGCAACCACUAAUUUGAGAGGUUGGGUUGGGUAAGUUGGGUAUUAGGUUAAUUUUGGAUUGGGUAAUAAAAAUUCAUAUAUAUUUUGGAUGGUUUGGGUAUUUGUGUUGGGCACCUAUUACUAACUUAAAUUUAAAAAAAAAACAAAUUAACAAAUUAAAAUCAAGAAACAAAAAAAAAAUGACCAGCCUUGUUGGAUCAAGCAAAACCCAUUUAUGUACUGGUAUGUAUAAUUAUCAUAUGUAUACUACUACUAGACACUGACAAGGAUGAUCAACGAGUAAUGCUUAAAAAGAACAAAAAUUGAGAAAUGAACGGUGCAGCACAAAUGUCAGUAGGAUUUUUUUUGAAAAAAAGAAAAAAAAAAAAAAGAAAAUCCUUGUGCUCUUCGCUCUUCACAUCCAUCCUUUUGCCGAGUUCCGGAAAAAUGCAUCCUAUUGUUCUUCUAUUUCUUUUUCUUUUUUUCAUUCAAAAUGAAAAAACAAGUCCCCCCCCCCCCAUUUAUUGAUCACUUCAUCGAGAUCUCUUAGUUUUGUUCCACCCAAAAUUGUUGCUUCGGUCUCUUAGUUUGGACCAAAACUAUACCCAAUUUGAAAAUCCUUAUUUGUAUAAAAAAUAGUGAGUUCAUCCAAAUAGUUUAAAUAGUUAGUAUGUGUGUGUAUUUGUGAAAGUAUAUUAGUUUGUAUUGUAAUGUGUUUGUAUUUCAAAAGAGUUUAAGAAGUGAGUGUGUGUGUUUAUGAGUGUUUUAGUGUAUAAAAAUAUGUCUAUCUAUGUGAAAAUGUAUGUGAAAAUGUAUUUGAGAGAGUUUAUGUAUUAAAAUCUAUUAAUUAAUAUAUUAGGUCAUAUUUGGGUCAUGGGUUUGAGAUGACCCAAUAUGACCCAACCCAAAAUUAACCUAAUCUAAAGUUGGGCGGAUUGGGUGUCACCUAUUUAAAUGAAAAUCAAGUAUCAAUCCGCCCAACCCGCCCAAUUGCCAGGUAUAGUAACCAACAAUUUAAAAAUAUAUAUUCAUAUAUUGAGGCAUAAUUUUUUAUUUGGUUAAAAAAACCUUUAAAAUAGAAAAACAGUAGAGAACUGUGUCCAUUUCUGUGCUUGCUUUUAAAAGAAUUUUGGCUUGUAUAUCAAAGAAUUGACAUCACAUUCCGUGUCAAUUUCUUGUCCAAACACGCACUCACUUCGUAUAGCAGGAACUUCCGUACAGUUCCGACCCUAGACUGAUCCUUUACGUAUGCAUUUGUGGGAAAACAAAAAAUUUGGUCAAGCUUUUGUUGAGAUACACACUCUAAAGCAGUAUUCUGCACUCUAAAUGAAAAUUUGAAAGUAAUUUUCAAGUCAUAUCAUCAAUAAUUGAAAUAUAAUUUAAGUAGUAUAAAUUAGUUCACAUCUCAUUUUGCAUUUACUUCUGGGAUAAUAUCAGAAAUCUCCCUUGAGAUUUAUUUUAAUAUCACUUGGCACUCUUGAGAUUUUAAAAAUAUCACUUACCUCUCCUAGUAAUUGUAAAAGGACUAUAUUAACAUUCAUUUGACACAUAAUUCACAACAAAUCAAAUAAAUGGAACUUAAAAAUUAAAAAAGAAAUGAAAGUUACUUUCUUCUUUCUUUUUCUCUAUCAUUCUCUCUUACUCAAAUUUUUUUGGAUGACUAUGUAAUAUUUUAUUUGUAAAUUAUAAUAAAUUGAAUUUUGUUUAUCUUUUACUUUUUAUGAUUGUGAUAAAGUUGGUUGUGAUUUAUUUGCUUAUUUUGAGUUGAUUUUUAUAAUAAUUGGUAUAAUUUAAUGGUUUGAGCAAGAGUUGAGAAGAUGUUGGAAAAAAUAUAAAUUCAUAAGAAAUCGAUUUUGAGCAUAUAGAAUUAAAUUGAUGCAAUUGUAUUUCUUUUCAAAUAUCUUUUUAUUUUUCAAAUUUAUAUUUUUUUUGGAGUAUAACAUUGUGAUAUGAUAGUACUACAAGAGAUUGUUUUUGAGGUGAUAGUUUUCUUAAAGUGAACAAAGUGGUUUAGGAAUAUUUUUAUUUAGCAAGCACAAGGGCAGUUUAGGAUUUUUAAAAAUUAUGUUACACAAAUAACAAAAGUAAGAGAGGUAAGUGAUAUUUUUAAAACUUUAGAGUAUCAGGUGAUAUUAAGAGAAAUCUUAGGGCAGGUUUAUGAUAUUAUCCCUUUAUUUUUACCAAGAAAUUAUAAACAAAUGUAUGUUGUGAAGUCCGAUAAAUUUUUAGCAUAUAUUUGGUUAUGAUUUUUUGCUUAUCAACAAAUGAUUAUAUUUGUGGUUUCAAAUUUAAAUUGGUAAAAAAUUGGAUUGCAAGACAGCUUGAAUGUUAUAAAAUGGACCACCUAUCUAGUAAUGGAAAAUUUGUAGCAAAGCGUCAAAUGCAAAUAUAGAAUUGAUUGUUUUUUUUCAUAGCUUCACCUUUGACUUUAAUGAAUUGUCCAUAAAAUAUUUUUCCAAAUAAUCUCUCUCUGUUUCAAUUAAAAAAAAAAUCUUGCUGUUUCAACCACAUUCUUCGUGCUUCUUUUUCAAAACUUCAUUGCUUUAUGCCAUUGUUAUAGCUUUCCAAGCCUUUGGGAUCAAGACCACAUUGUAACCAAACUAUUGGUGGAGACUUAUUAUCAACGUAGCUAUAGAACACUACAACAAAAAUGACCUUUCCUGACAUGCCUAUAAGGACAUUUGCUGGUUUGUGCCAUUAUAGUAAACAUAUCAUGACACUUAUUAAUAAAUUCAAUAAUAUGUACUAUAAUUUUUUUAUUUUAUCAUGAUAUACAAAUAAUAAUGUGCCUUUAGGCUACCUAUGAUGACACUCUGGAAACUGUGAGAUGAACCAAAAAAAAAAUCGAAAAAACAUAGAAAACGACAUCGUUUUAUUUUGGCUCCAAAACACUUGCUGAAGUACUGUGAAGUUUCAUUUUGCCAGCAAAAGGACUUGGUGAAAAUUUUCUUCUUUUCAUCUCUCUCACCUCUCAGCAUACAAGCUAUCUCGGCCAGUCCAGAAUGUUGGUAGCAAUCGAAGCUAUCUCCGCAAACAACCAUCUUUAUCUUUUCUAACCUCAACUUUAAAUCCCUCGGCUAAGACAUCUGGAAGGGCAGGCAGGAAGUAAAAGCUGAAGAACGGAGCUCUACAUUGGGAAAGCGGGAAGAUACUUCAGGUGCGCAUAUCUUGUUCCAAAAUUGAAGUGGUAAACACAAUGAAGCUGUUGCCCAUAACCUGUUCGAUAAAAUGUCAAUUCCCCUAUGUUUUUCAUUUUUUUCUGUGAAUCUCUUUUAAUGUUAAUAUAUGAAACAUAGUUGUAAUUGAAGCUCUGUUUAGGCUAUGAAUAGAAAUCGACUUGGAAGCUCUUUGAUGAAGAUCAAAAUAGCAAUGGGGUGACUGGAAUGACCUUUUUGCAAGACAAGUGCAAAAGUUUAAGAAAUAGCUAGGUUGAUGAAAAUUAAUAUUUAAGGACUUAAUUAAUGGACUUCUUGUUGAACUGCACAUUGGUCAUAGAUGACAUAGCACCCUUACUAAUUUGGCCAUAGUGUGGUAUACCCAGCUAGCAAAACUAAAGUUUGAAAGAUGAAUUGAAGGAAAUACUCGAAAGAUUGAAUCAAGAAGAAACUUUUGGAGAAGAAUGAAACUUUGGAUGCUUUGGAAAGUAGGGAAAGAGAGGGAUUUAUAGGAGAAAGGGAGGUGAAGGAGUGCAACUACCCCAACGAACUUUUAAUUGUGAUGGCGCGUAGGCAUUGAAUUUACCAGACAAGAAAAUAGCAGGAUUUCGUGUAAAACUGUAUUGUAUUUUUUAGUCUUUUUUCUUUUUUUUCUUCCCCUAUCCAUUUUCUUGUCGAACUUCCACCCCUCCCAGUUCAGGAUGACAUAGCACCCUUACGGGUUCUGUUUUUUUUUCUCAAUUUAGUCCUGUUUCUAGAUCAAUUAGCUGAACAGUCAUAGCAACUUAAAAGAAUCCUGGGACAAUCCUGGGACCAAAAGAAUCCUGAACAAUCAUGCUCAUGUGUUUGUUUAACCUUUGACAUUUCAGAUUGAAGUUAGGAGUUUUGCGAAGACGCGAGUGCAGGAGUUGGUGCGAAGGGCUUUGUUCUGGUAUUAGGUAAAUAUAAUUUCUAUCCGCUUGCUUGCAAAUUCUGUUUUUACAGAUUGUUGAGAAAUUUUACAUUUUGUUGAUUUCCUUUAUUUGCUGGGCUGCUUUAUUUAGUAGACUGUAAAUUCUUGAACUUGAAAUUAGGGACUUGUAAGCCAUGGCCUGAGUUUAAAAAAUCAGGGCGCUUCUUAUUCUCAAUGAUUUUAUGGGAUUUGUCUAGUUUUCUAAGUACUAAUGUGUAGUUGUUGUUUUCAUGCUCUUGGAAGCUUGUUGGAGGACAUUUAUUUAUAUUCAAAGUAUGGAUAAAAGAUGGAUGGAUUUUCCAAGAACAAGUGAAAAGUACGAGACAGGACUUCAAAUGUUUCUAAACUUUGCAUUUUCCAGAUCAAGUUGUGACGGAAAGAUUUUGUGUCCUUGCAAAGAUUGCGGCAUGGGUGUUUGUGUGACAAAAAUGGAAGCAUAUGAUCAUUUGAAAGUGGUAGGAUUUAUCAAGGAUUAUAAUAAUUGGAUAGCACAUGGAGAACUUUCAAACUACAAUGAAGCCACAUCUAAUUCUGAAAAUACAUCAAUUGGGGUUUCAAAUGGGACUAAUGACAUGCAAGACUUGGUCCAUGAUGUAUUUGGGAUACCAUAUGGAACAAAUGAAUUGAAUAGAGAAGGGGACAUUCCUGUUUCAGAUGCUGAAAAAUUUUACAAAUUGAUUGAUGAUUCUCAACAGGAUUUGUACAGUGGUUGCAAAAAUUUCUUGAAAUUGUCUUUCAUUAUUCGUUUGCUUCACCUAAAAUGCCUGGGUAAGAUGAGUAACAAGAUUUUUAAUACGCUUGUUGAGCUGUUGAGAGAAGCAUUUCCAAAGGCCAUGACUAAUUUGCCUUCUUCUUACUAUGAGGCUGAGAAAUUGAUGAAUACAUUGGGGCUGGGUUAUGAAAAGAUCGAUGCAUGUCCUAAUGAUUGUUCUCUUUAUUGGGGUAGUGCUGAAAAAAGAACUUCAUGCGAAACAUGUAACGAGCUUAGGUGGGUUGCUUCAGAAAAUGAUCCAACUGGCGAAAAAAGGAAAAUUCCUCAAAAAGUGUUGUGGCAUUUUCCCUUAAAACCUAGAUUACAAAGACUAUUUAUGUCUUCUAAAAUUGCGUCUCAAAUGAGAUGGCAUGAGGAAAAACGUACAAAAGAUGGUUGUAUGAGACAUCCAGCUGAUUUUCCAGCUUGGCAAACUUUUGACCAUCUACAUCCAGAAUUUGCUAAGGAUUGUCGAAAUGUUAGAUUGGGGUUGGCAUCUGACGGGUUUAAUCCAUUCAACAACAUGAGUUCUACACACAGUACUUGGCCUGUAGUUUUAAUACCAUAUAACUUACCUCCGUGGAUGUGUAUGAAGCAACCGUACUUCAUGUUGUCCUUGUUAAUACCCGGACCAUCCUCUCCUGGGAAUAAUAUUGAUGUUUAUCUACAGCCUCUAGUUAAAGAAUUGACCGAAUUGUGGGAUUUUGGCAUUCAAACUUAUGAUGCAUCCCAAAAAGAAAAUUUUCAAUUGCAUGCAGCUCUGUUGUGGACCAUUAGUGAUUUCCCUGGAUAUGCAAUGUUAUCUGGCUGGAGCACUAAAGGUGAAUAUGCUUGUCCUGUUUGUCACAAGUUCACUCAUGCACGAUGGUUGACUCAUAGUUUCAAAUAUUGCUAUAUGGGUCAUCGGAGAUUCUUAGAUAGUAAGCAUAAAUUUAGAAAGCAAGCCCAAUUCUUUGAUGGCACCGAAGAACAUGGAAAGCGACCACCUUUGCAAACCGGGGAUAUGAUUGUGAGUGAAUUGGGAGACUUGCAAAUUAAAAUUGGAAAACUUGUGAAAGGUAAUCCGAAGCUGCCUUUCAAUUGGAAAAAGAGGAGUAUUUUCUUUGACUUGCCAUAUUGGAAAGAUAAUGUCUUAAGACACAAUCUUGACUUCAUGCACAUUGAGAAGAAUGUUUGUGAAAAUAUUUGGGGGACAUUGCUGGAUAUUGAGGAUAAAGCAAAGGACCAUUAUAAUUCCCGCCGUGAUUUGAGAGAAAUGGGAAUAAGAAAAGAGCUGCAUCCCAUUGAGACAGAACCUGGAAAGGUGUACUUACCUCCAUCUUCCUUUGCAAUGGAUAAAAAACAGAAAACUAUGUUUUGCAAUGUGCUAAAAAAAGUGAAAGUUCCAGAUGGUUAUGCAGCUAAUGUCUCAAGAUGCGUUCGAGUAAAACCACCAAGAAUUUCAGGGCUUAAAAGUCAUGAUAAUCAUAUCCUAAUGCAGCAAUUGAUGCCUAUAGCUUUGAGAAAGACUUUGCCAAAAUCAGUGCGCUAUCCUUUGAUUCGAUUGAGUAGAUACUUCAGGCAGCUUUGUUCUAAAGUUAUUUGUCCUCAAGAUGUGGUUCGUUUGGAAAGUGAAAUUGCCGUCAUACUCUGCGAUCUUGAGAAAUGCUUCCCACCAACCUUCUUCGAUGUCAUGGUGCAUUUAGUUGUUCAUUUGGCAACUGAAGUGAAAUUAGGUGGGCCGGUGUAUUAUCGUUGGAUGUAUCCUAUAGAGAGGUACUGCUUGUAAUUCUCAUUAUGCCUUAAAUGUUUAUUCCUUUUUUGCUUUCUUUGAUUUGUGGAACUAAUUAGAGAGGUUGGAAUGAUGAUACUUUAGGUACUUAGGAACAUUAAAAUCUUAUGUUCGAAAUAAAAGUAGGCCUGAAGGUUCGAUUGCUCAAGGCUACUUGGCAGAAGAAUGCAUUAACUUUUGCUCAUUGUAUCUUGCGGACUAUGUUGAGACAAAAUUCAAUCGUCCAAGCAGAAAUGAAGAAGUACAUAAGGAAAUUGAAGAUGGUUUAGAUAUAUUCUCUGAAUCAGGACAUCCUUUGGGGAGGGGCAAGCCAACAGUCUUUGAUGCUCAUAUCUUGAGUAAAGCACAUCAGUAUAUUUUAUUUAAUUGUGAUGCUGUCACACCUUACAUAGAGUAAGUUCAACUACAACUUGAUGCAUUAAAAUUUUAUUGUAGAAUUCAAUGUAUGAUUACAAUUUUGACUCAUGUACUUCUAGGCAGCAUCGUAGAUUGAUAGAAGAAGGACAUCCUCAAAUUCCACAGCAUCUAAAAGAGCGCUUGCACUGCGAAAAUUUUGCGUGUUGGUUUGCUGAACAUGUAAGUAAAAUUCUGAAUAUUAAGUACAAUUUGAAUUGUAGGACUUCAAAUAUAGUUUCAUCUUCUUUUAUUUAUUUAUUUAUUUAUUUAUUUUUUACAGAUUGACAAGUUAGAACUUCCUCAAAAUGUUUCGGUGUUGAGAGAGUUGAGGUUCCUUGCUAAAGGUCCAGAUGUUGUUGGAAUCCAACAUGACAGGUAUGUUGUUAAUGGAUUUCGGUUUCACACCAAAGAAGUUGAGAAGAAAAGAAAAACGCAGAAUAGUGGUGUUACAGUCAAUGCAACAACAUCCAGUUUUGCAAGUAUAAGGGAUCAAAAUCCAGUUUUGAGUGAACUAGUUUACUUCGGCGUCUUGAAAAAUAUGAUUGAAUUAAUUUACGGAGGUCGUUGGGUGGUGUUAUUCGAAUGUGAUUGGAUAUCAAAUGGUUCGAGAAUGAAACAAGAUGCUGAUGGGUUUACUUUAGCCAAUUUUGCAAACGUGAGGCCUCAUGUUGAGCCAUUUAUACUCGCUUCAUAAGCAUCACAGGUUUUUUAUGUGGAAGAUCCAACUGAUAAGGAUUGGCAAGUGAUUAUCUCUACCACUGCAAGAGCUGGAUAUAACAUGGGCACAACCAUGGAUGUUGAGACAUAUUUGCAAAGUGAUGUUGGCAAUCCUGUUGUUGAGAAUGAAAAUGAGGAAAUUAGUUGGGUUCGUGAGAAUGGACUUGGGAUUGAAGUUGAUUUGUCCCAAUAUAAUCUGAUUUAGAAUCUUUUAUAGCUUUGAAGCUUACUGGCCCUAUUCUUCUCUGUUUCAAUUGCUAGGCCUAGGCUUUAUUUCCUUUUGUCGAUGGGUUUUGCAUUUUUUUUUUGUAUUUUACUAAUAUGACCGACAUUCUUAGUUUUGAAGGCAUUUACAAAGCUUUGAGUUUAGUGCUCUCGGUGUCAUGUUAAGCCUUCUGACAGAUGUGAUAAAAGACUUGGUGCUAUUAGUUAAAACUAGUGUAUUAAUUUGCCUCUUUAAGGCCUUUCUUCAUUGAUACUCCCCUGGUCCAGUUUUUGGAUUUCUAGUCUUGGUUAGUAAUCGUCAGUCUUAUUCAUAAAAAUGGUAUUGGAAUGAUUUUUCUUUUAAUGGCAUGACAACAAUUGGCAAUCGAGGCUAUGAUUUGGGGAGAACAAUUGGCAACGUACGGAAUGUGCAAAUCAUUUCAGACCAAACAUAAAACUAUCCAACUUUCCAAGGAACCCAUUACUCAUUUUAAGAGCCCAAUGGGCUGCAUAAAUACUGGUCAUUAUUUUAUAAGCAAUUCCAUUAAUUGUAAGCUGUAAUAUUACAUUUGUGAAUCAUUAUAUUAUGGCCAAUUCUUUUUUCCAGUAACCCGAGGUCUAAUUUUUUAUCAAUAGAAAUAUUUUGAAACUUUAAUCUAUAAAUUUCUUAAAUAAUUUUUUAAUACCAUGAAAAAAUUAUUUUUUAAACCAAUAACAAUACAAAAAGUUAAUUCCGAUAGAGUUUUCUAGUCCAACUGAUCUUUGAUCGAAUUUAAUCGGUUUAGUCACAAUUUUAGAUUAUCCUUCAAAGUGAAAAUGAGACACGAUCGAACCGAUCAAGCACAAUCAAAUCGAUCAAACCGAUCAUACUAUAUGUUUAUGUUCAAUCAAUGUGUUGUAAGUGUAAACCUAAGGUUAAUCAUUGAAAAGUUCAAUAUUAAGAUCUUGUAAGUGAUAGUAAGCUUCUAAUUAACACAAAGUUCAAUGGCAAUUGCUUUGGAAUUGAAAACAUUGAAUACAUAUAUAUAUGUAUGUUUAUGUUCAAUCAAUGCAUUGUAAGUGUAAGCCUAAGGUUAAUCAUUGAAAAGUACAAUAUUAAGAUCUUGUAAGUGAUAGUAAGCUUCUAAUUAACACAAAGUUCAAUGGCAAUUGCUUUGGAAUUGAAAACAUUGAAUAUAUAUAUAUAUAUAUAUGUAUGUUUAUGUUCAAUCAAUGCGUUGUAAGUGUAAGCCUAAGGUUAAUCAUUGAAAAGUUCAAUAUUAAGAUCUUGUAAGUGAUAGUAAGCUUCUAAUUAACACAAAGUUCAAUGGCAAUUACUUUGGAAUUGAAAACAUUGAAUAUAUAUAUAUAUGUUCAAUCAAUUCUAAUCCCAAUGUUUGUCAAUGAAAACUUCAUGUAUUCACAAGUUAAUUUUCUUGUUUCAUAAACUAAUUCGAUCCUUCCAAUGGCUUGUUAGACUACAAGCCGUACAUAAUUGCAUGCAGCAUAAAAUAAAUUGAGUAAGCGAAAACAUUUUGAUUAAAAGAAUGUUUUUAAUUAUUUUUAUAUUUUUAGUUGUUAUAUAGCUAUAACAAAUUUUUUGAUUGUUAUAUUAUAUUGUAUAUAGCUCUUGCAAAAUUUUUAUUUGUUAUAUUUUUAGUUGUUAUAUAUAGCUGUAACAAAUUUUUUGAUUGUUAUAUUAUAUUGUAUAUAGCUCUUGCAAAAUUUUUAUUUGUUACAUUUUUAGUUGUUAUAUAGCUUUAACAAAAUUUUUAGUUGUUAUAUUAUAUUGUAUAUAGCUUUAACAAGAUUUUUAGCCUUUAUAUUUUUAGUUGUUAUAUUAUAUUGUAUAUAGCUUUAACCAAGUUUUUAGUUGUUAUAUAGCUUUAACGAAAUUUUGCCCAAACACAAAAAAAUUGCUAUUAGUAGCGCAGCAAAUUGAAAAAUUCAAGAGGCUUGACUAAUUUACUUUGGCGUCAUUAGUACCGCCUUUAUUUCAGACAUUUUCUCUCUCUCUUGUUGUCCUCUGCCUUUGUCCUCUCUCUCUGUUUCAAGCUCGCACCACCAAUUUGAGUCAAUUGCCGUCCAUGAACUCGCACCCAUUUGGGUAACUUGGUUGAGCUCGCACCAGGCAAAUCCUUAAUUCGGCUGUUGUGUUGGCUUGGUGGCAACAAAUCAGAAAUUAGGGCUUCAAAGCUUGGGUGGUGGGUGGAGUUCAGAUCUUGAAGCUUGGGGAAACCGAGAAGUUAGGGAUUCAAGCCAUAGUUUGAGGUAAUUUCAGUAUUUUGUGUCUAAUUUUGCAUUGCAUGGUAGACAUGUUCUUGCAUUGCAUGGUAGAUUUAGUUUUCAGGCUAUUCGAUUCCCAUCUCUGACAAGCAUCUUCUCCGUUUCUGAGAAGCACAUUUCUAGGUAGAGUGUUUGCUUUGGGGGGUGGUGGUGGUGUGAAAAGCUUUUGGGGGUGGUGGCGGUGUGAAAAGCACAUUUCUGAGAAGCACCAAUCUAUUAGUGAACCUGGUCGAAUGGAGACUGCUACUGUGAGCUUCAUAACCAACCCGAUUGCCACCCCUAAACAUACAAAACCAAGCAUCUUCUCCGUUUCUGAGAAGCACAUCUCUGACAAGCAUAUUAGAUUUUAGGCUCUUAGAUAUUCUCUAUCUGGUUGUUUUAAAUUGUACACGUGCAAAAGCAGAUGCUUGUGUUUUGUUAUCUGAAAUUGCAGUUAUUUGGCAUAAAAUAAGCUGGCUGCCACUGAAGUACUUGUUUUUGGACUAGUCAUAUUGUUAAAUGAUAAUGAAGGACAAGGAGGGGAAAUCUCUCCAGGAUGUUUAGUUUUUUGGCAUAGGAAUGGAUAUCACUCCAGGUUGUUAGUUUUUUGGCAUCGGAAGGCUAUUUCCUUAUGCUAAGCUGAGGUGGUGAGUUUAACUAAGUAAUGGUAAUUUGAGUCGAUAUUAAAGCUGUGGGAUGUUGGGGGGUUUUUGUUUUUGGAGGGGGGGGAUAUGUUGUAUCGUUGUUGGCUUUGGUAGAGUAAGUUGUGUUUUGAAGGUGAGUAAUGUUGGAAUAUGAUACUGAUACUUGAAGCACAAUAAGACUGAUUGGGGUUCAGCACUCACAUUUUUUUGUUAGAUGUGUUUGUGUAUUAGAGCCAAGAUAAUAAAAAUAGAGUCCUUUUCAGCGACUUAAUUAAAAAGUGCAGACUGAAAUCAAUCAACCUCCAUUAUUGGUACACUGAACUAUCUCAUUAGUUUCAUUUACUAUUGAAAUAAAAAUCUGGUGAGGAGGCUACAAUAUGCAACAAAUAGGAAUCUGACUAGGAUAACAACAUGAUUCAGCAGGUUCCUCUGAAAGCUAAACUCGAAGAAUCAGAACCUAAAAAGGAGAGUAAAGUUUUAUAAAGCUUUGAAGUAAGCUUGCAGCCAGCAAGCUUUAUAAUGCUGAAUAAAAAGGAGAGUAAACUUGCUCCAUAGUCUUCCCCUGGUUUAUUCUUGAAGAAUGCCAUUUGUUACUUGUCAUGCCAGUUUAUUGUUUAAGUAGUACUUCUUUAUAAUAGCAUUUGUAAGUUAAAGAAACUAUAGGUAGAGUGUUUGCUCCUAUAAAUUUUAAACAUUUACAUUUGUCCCUUUCUUCACUCAAAUAUUAUGCAGGUAUGGCCCGUAGAGGUCGACAAUGUAAGCGCGCUGCAAAUGGAUUGAGAGAUGAACCAAUUGAGCAACCUCCCUCAUGUCAUGAAAUGGAACAAGCCAUGAAAAUGUAAUUGAACAAGUGCAAGGAGAAGCUGCUCGGGCACCUCAAUCUGCAAUUCAGAAUUCUACAUUGGGAAUAAUACAUGAAUCAGGUGACCAAGUUACUCAACAAGCUGAUGGAGGUUCCAAGUCGCAUGAGCACUGCCAGAACUCUCCAAUUCAACAAUCUCCACUUGGAACAAGGCAUGAAGCAACUGAAGAAAGUCCAAAUCAGGACUCUCAAGGUCCACAUUCCAGUGACACCACCUUUAUGUCAUGCAACUCGGACAAUGCAGGUAUUACUAACUGUUUUGAACCAAUUCCAGAAGUGCAUUUUGUUAUGUUCAUAACUUGCACCUUUUUCUUAUUUUAUACAAGAAAAGAAACUACAAAUGAUUCAAGUGAAGUACAUCAGAAAACCCGAGACCCUACAUUUAUGAAAGAAAUUUGGGCCUAAGGAAUUUUCACAGAUUGAGAUUACACUCGAUGACAAUGGGAUCCCAAUAAGUGAGAAAACCUCUUUCUCUGAAUUCUUGGGCAGUUUGGCUAGGAAUGGUAUGUAUUGUCCAGUAGAUGUUGAAACAUGGCUUAAGGUGCCAAGAAAACUUAAAAUGGACAUGUUAGAAGUGAUAAAGGUAAUGGUAGCUUUUGUAUUAUGUAUGCUUUGUACAAAAAUUACUGUGAAGUUGUGUUGAUUUUCUUGUUGCUAACUACGUUUCAGGAAAGGUUUGUUUUGCCUAUGGGACUGGAAGCUUGGACCUUAAGAUCUAUUGGCAAAAAAUGGAGAAGCUGGAAGGCAGAUUUAAAGGCUAACUAUUUUGAUCCUGCCGUGCCAAAUGCUGAAGCUCGGUUUCAAAAGGACAUAAGGGUACGGGAAGAGCAAUGGAUCAAACUUUGGGCUUAUUGGAAAAGUGAAGAAGCAAAGGUACAAAUCAGCUACAACAUUUUUCAUAAAGUUCUGUUUAUUCAAUGCUGUAAUCUUGCAUUUGAUUUUGAAAUUUAGAAACUAAGUGAGAGGAACAAGAAAGCUAGAGGGGAGAAGAAGAUGAACCACACAACCGGAAAAAAAUCAUUUGCUCAUCUUCGGAACCACUUGGUGAUACCUCAUCAACUUUUUAAUUGCUAAUCUUGUUGCUCGUACAUGUUUCAUUAUGUUAGCUUGUUUUUUAAUUAUAUGCUAAAUGCUAAAACUAUAAUUAAAACGAUUCAAUUUCUUAUAGUCCAAACAGUUGGGAAGACCUCCUACUAGAGUAGAAAUGUUCAAUAAGUUUGAUACCCAUGCCGAUGGAACUCCAUCAAGUACCAUAGUUGCUGAGAAUUUGGUAAGGAUCCCAGAACACAAGCCUAUCAAUUCUACCAUGGAUGUUUUCAAACAGUCUUUUGCAAUAACAAGUGUUUUCCUUUAUUAUGUAGGAAAAAAUGACUGAGCUGAAAAAUCAGCUUCCAUCGGAUUCGCAAGAUCCAGUUGGUCGUGAUGAUAUAUUUGCCCAGGUGGUUGGGCAAGACAAACAUGGUCAUGUUCGCUUGUUUAGUGACGGUGUGAAUCCAACGGACUUAUGGGAAGACAUUCCUAGUCGUAACACACGCUACCGUAUAAGUGUUCAGCAACAGUCAACAUUGGUCCGUUUGGAGCAAAGGCUUCAGCGACAAGAUGAUGAAAUAGCCAGCUUGAAGAAAAUGGUUUUAGUUCAACAUGGAAGGGGCUCUCCAAUUGACAGCCCGAGACAUCCUUCAUCAUCAUCUAACAAUGUGUCAAGCCAUGCUCCAUCGCGAGCCACGCGACCUAUUCGAGUAAGUAUUUACAACUUCUAUACUUUUGCAUUUGUAAUCUGGAAUUUGGCAUGAGUUUGAUUCUUGUACUUGUUGGAUGUUUGCUAAGUAGGGAAUAUGGUUUCACUAAAAAGUUUGUUUGACUCAACAAAAAUCGUGGCAAAGGGAUAUUUACGGAGUCUGAAUCCAUUGGAUGAGGUCGGGGGACAAGCUCUUGGGCCAAACUGGUGUGAAAUACAGAUACAAGUUGCAAUGACUCCACGUGAGCAAUUGAUUAGACCAUAUGGUUUACAACAAACGAUUCAAGAUGCACUUGGUGCACCAGUUGCUUGGCCUUGUCAUUUGGUGAGAUAUGCACUUAAAUACAUUGCGGAUUUUCUGGAAUUUUAGUUCUAGUUAUGAUGAUCUAAUGAUCCCCUUGGUCUUUGUGCACAGGUGGAACCAGCUGAAAAAUGAUGGGGACUUUGUGGUUAUGCCUGAGGACUCUCAACAAAAUGGAAAGUUUGGAAGCUACUUCUACUUCUUUCAACUUAUUAGGGAUGAGAGUCUUUUAUUUUGUGCUUCCGAUAGAGCUUUCAAGUUAUUGUAAAUGAGAAUCUUUCGGUACUGGUUUGAUAUUUUAGUACUUGCUUUUAGCACUUGUUUGCGAUUUUAGUAUUUGCUAUGUUUGUACUUGUUAUCGACUUUUAAUUCAAUGAAUUAUAUUUCAGUAUCGACUUCUUCUUUUACAUUGCUAUAUGCAUUCUGCUCUUUGGGAUAAAUUUACAAGUCCCCUUGGGAUUCUGGUUGAUGGAAUGUACAGCAGGGAGGACUAAUUGCAGGUUGCUUCCAUAUUAAAAAAAAAAACAGAGAAAAUUCUCCUGACAAUUAAAAGUGUCAGCAUAGCUUAACUUUCGAAAAACACUAAUAACAAAUGGGCAUGUCGUCCAACACAUUGUAGAUUCACAUGGCUAUGUGUCCUUAAAGCCGUAUAUUAAGACAACUGAAGAUGCCUUCAUAAAUUUGAUAUCCUAUUGAUUCCCUACUGAUGUCCUAAUCUAUACAGACACUUUCGAUUAUCACAAAAAAAGGAUUUUGUUGGCAGAGGUAAAGAUAUAGCAGCAUGGUUUGCCUGACACAUUUGAAUGCUGCUAAAAAUUUGAGGCUAUCCCCACAUUGGAAGGGACAACACUCGUCCUGGGUGUCUGGAUAGAUAAAGUGUCAGGUUAGAUAUUGUAUACUGACACCUUUAAAUGCCGCUAAAGGCCUUUUUUGUUGUAGUGGAAUCUGGGAAGUCGUCUUGGCGAGUUCACCCAAAAACUAGUACCCCAUCAAUUUGAAGUAUAAUGUACUAAUUAACAACAAAAUAUAAGUAAUUGUAAAAUUUGUUUGCUAUCCAAAUUACUUAUUUAACAAUAAUUUGAACCAAACUUCUUUAGUUUUGAUGCUUCAUAAAACAAAAUAGAUUUUUCUAAUAGAUGCCCAGUAGGCACUCAUCAAUACAACUAAAAAUUACCUAACCUACCAUGUAAAUAUACAUACUAAUAAUUAUUAUCCUCUCUUGCAUGCAUUUAUAUACAUUCCCUAGCUAUGUAAUCUUGCCUAUCUUGCCAUAUAUUUAUUUACUUUCUCUAAUUAAUCUUAUAUUUUCAAAAAUAUGGCACCUGAAAUAUAUCUUAGUACGAAUAUCAUAUUUAACUAAUGUAAGUUGAUCAUUCGUUGUGUUCUUAAGUCUCAAUUCAUGACAAAAGCUAAGAUUUAAUGUGGUUAGGUGAAUCAAUUAAUUUUGCUACAUAAACGUGAUUGUAUAUAUGACCCUUAGAAUAAAAAUUUUCUUUUAAUUUGCUACAGAAAUGUAUUCGUAUAUAUUGUGCUUGGCAUUCACGAAUUAAAAUGAUGAAAAGAAAUCAAGAUUUGCGGCGGAGGUGGUGGGCGGCGAUGAAUGUGUGGUGGAUCGGGGUGGCGGAGAAAGAAGAAGAAAAGAAGAAGUUUUUUUGUGUAUUAGAUAUUUUGAAGUGUGUAGAUUAAAAAAUUUGUUGAAUUUUUUUGGGUUCCUGUAGCUAAAGUUGUUAAAAAACUAGUAGUUAAAAAACUUGGUCAAAAAAACUCGAUUCCAAACAGGUCCAACAAUCAACAGAGAAUCUUUACUAUUGUUUUUAAGUUACGUUUCUUUCUAGUUUUUUUUUUUUUUUUUGGCUAGAAAAACAAAAGGAAUUUUCAUAAAUAUUGACAUUGAUCCUUUUCACACUAAAAACGCAAAAUAUGUAUAAAUUGGUCGGUGGAAUAGGCAGGAUUGGUAAGUAUACAUUCCCUUAUCAAAUCCGCUCUUGCAGGUAGCUUUUUCUUAUUAAUGGGCUAGGCUAAGCCCCUCUCCAUUGAAUUAGAUAUAAGUUCUCUCCACUCCAUUACAACACAACAAAUGAAUUUGGAAUCGACAACGUUCAAAUUAUACUUCAAUCACUUAUGUUAAUUACAUACACAAGCUGAUAUUAAAUUGACUCAAUUUUAUUUCGUUGAUUAAUCAUUGCAAAACUUUGUUAUGCGAUGAAUUUUUCACCAUUUAAAUAUUUCAAGCAAAUUGAAUGCUCGAGUAAUCUUAAAAAAAAAAUCUAUUUUUAAUAUGUUGAUCUACCCGUGAUUAAAAUAAGAAAAAAAAUUAACACAAUGAAAUGAUUCCUAAAAUGAUCUACUAGGAAUUUGAACAUAAAUAAAUGGAAAGAAACCUAGAAUAACUAGUGGAUUCCAUCCCCUUUGUCUUGAUCGAUGUCUUGUUUAUGCCACAAUUGCUUGUGCCUUUCAAUGCAUGUAAAAUUGUCCUUUUAUUACACUUUCUUUUCGUCUCCAUCACAUCCCUUGCUGUAAAGUUUCCGUCGGGCCUCUCCAUUAUUCUCCACCGUGGAAGGGGUCAUUUUCCCACGAUGACCAACAUUUCCACAUAUUUGUAUGUCCAGAAAAAACAGCAGAAAUUUUAGAUAUUAGCUUUGAUCCUUUUCACAAUGAAAAGAAAAAUAUGUAUAAAUUGGUCGGAGGAAUGUGCAAAUAGAAGAGUGGUAAGUAUACAUUCCCUUUCCUUACAUAUAUGCCUUAUUUUUAAAAUGUCCUUUUCAAAUCCACAGCCUCGUUUGGCAAAUAAACUUUUGGAUAUAUGUGUAAAAUUUUACCGUAACGUACUGUAAAAGUUGCAGGAAAAAUUUUUGAAUUGUGUAAAUUUUUGGAUAUUUUGAAAUUUAUAGUUUAAAAUUUUUAACAAGUUUUUUGAGAUUGCUAUAUGCAAAAUUGUUAAAAAAUUUGUAGCAGGCAAAUUUGGUCAAAAACUUGUUUGUCAAACAGGCCCCACUUAUGCAUGUAGCUUGCUUUCAAACCAUAAUUUUUUCUUCCUAAUGAACUAAGCUCCUCUCCAUUGAAUUAAAUAUAUUUUCUCUCCAUUCCAUUGCAUCACAGCAAAUGAACUUAAAUCCACAACGUUCAAAUUAUACUUCAAUCACUUAUGUUAGUUAAUGUAGAAACUCAUAUUAAAUUGACCCAAUUUUAUUCGUUGAUUAAUCAUUGCAAAACUUUGUUAUGUGAUGAAUUUUUCACCAUUUAUAUAUUCAAGCAAAUUGAAUGCCCAAGUAUUCUUUUUUUUUUUUUAAAUAACGAUUUUUAAUGUGUUGAUCUACUCAUGAUCAAAAUGAGAAAAAAAAACAUAAUCAGAUGAUUCUUAAAACAUUAUACAGAAAUUUGAAUAUAAAUAAAUGGAAAGACAAUUGUCUCGACGUAUUGCCUGCAUCCCUAAUGCAUGUGCCUUUCAAUGCACAUGAAAUUGUCCCUCUAUUAUCAUCUACAUCACAUCCCUUGCUGUGAAGUUUCCAUCGGCUCUCUCCAUUAUUUUCCACCAUAGAAGGGUCCUGGUAGAAAGGGUCAUUUUGCCAUAAUGUAUGUUGCCAUUAGGAUUGUUGAUCGCCGGUCAUCGGUAAUUCAGUAGAAAAAAUUUAAUUUUUUUUAUUUUUAAUAAGGUUAACAUCUAAUUACCGUUCAAACUUUUAUUUAGUAAUUGGCUUUGGACUAAACAAUCGAUAUUUCGGUAAAAUAUCCAAAGUUGUAGAUUGGUUUUCUAAUAUAGAUUAGUUAAGUAUAUUUAAAGCAUAAUUAAUAAUAAAAAAGUUAAUAAUAAAUUAAUUAAUAUGCUUUUAAGAUCACAUUUUUUUUAUAAUCAUAAAUUAUAACUUAUAACACUAUUUGACUAAUACAUUAAUAUGUAAUAUGAUAUUUUAAUAGACAUAAAAUAUUUAAUUAAAAUAUGAAAUUCGCUAAUUCAUCAGCCUCGAGAAUUCGAGAAUCGAAUUUCAACAUCCAUUUUCAAUUUAUUUUACCAAAUUUUAAGAUUAGAUCUUAAUCGUUUUUCCCGAAUUUUGUUUUACGUAUCAGCCGGUAAAUUGAGUUUUUUCCAACGUGUGAACACCCCCAGUUGCCAGUUGCCACCAUGGAAAAUCAGCUGGGUAGUGAUGGUGACUGUAACGGCCUAUGUUUAACACGCUGUAGACGUUCAUGGGCAUACCUUAGUAUCUUCGCAAGGACAUUGAUGAGUUUUUCAAAACGAGUCCUUUUUGUGAAUGGUUUUGUGGUCCAGUCAACGGAUAAAAAAUCGUAUAAUGAAGAUUGAAGACCAUGCUUUUAAAAACGAGGAUUAGUUUGUCAGUUCAGCCACCCAAAAAUAAAAGAAAAAAGACAGCAGACGUAGAAACUAGCUAAAAAAUAGAAGAUAAGCCGUUUAUUCCUUUUUUCUUCUGUCGCGUAGGGUCUUUUGUUUUAUAGAACAGCAUUUUUCUUUUGUCAAAUUUGCUUUCUGCACGAUAGGACCACUAGCUUUAUGCUUUCUCUAGACCGACUCUAUAUAUAACGCCUAUGAAAGGAAGCAUUCCCUGAAAAAUUAAGUGCACUCGAGGUUCCUCUUGUGUUUCAAUACAGAUUCCAGCUGCUAGCUAAUCAAUUUUAGUUUCCUAUUACUACUACACCCCUACUAGUUUUUCCAAGCAUGGCAUCUGGAAAUGGGAACGACUGGUCUACCGGCCUCUGUGGUUGCACCCAAGAUUGCCGUUCCUGUAAGUUCUAAGAACUCAAAUGCCCAAUAGAUACCAUCCGAUGAGGUUUCUAAGGGUCUUAAUUGUUCUACUAUGAUGCAAUCCAUGCUCCAUGUUCAUGAACAUUUUGGCUUGACAGGUUGCCUUACCUGCUGGUGCCCUUGUGUUGCCUUCGGGAGGAUUGCUGAGAUCGCGGAUAGAGGCCAAUCCUGUUAAGUACAAAACAAGAACUUUUCUUAUAGCUGUUCAUCAUUAAUCUUGCUAGCUAUCAUCAGAUAUGAAAUGCAUUCAUGAUCAUUAAUUUUCUUCUUCUUUUAAUUUUUUGAUAUAUAGCUUGCUGCCAGAUGGGGUGCGUUUUCUGUCUGCUAGGUCUACUCCUGUUGAAUCAUGGGUCCUUGUCAUGGAUUGUUAGCAUGGGCUAUCGCACCAAGAUAAGGCAACAAUACGGUAUUAUGGGAGGCUCAUGCCAUGAUUGUAUCCUUCAUUUCUGUUGCGAGCGUUGCGCCUUGUGCCAAGAGUACCGUGAACUUCAGUUCCAAGGAUAUGAUGUUUCUGCUGGUAUGAACAUUUUGCUACCCAUGUCCUCCUCCUUUUUAUAUUCUAAAUUCUGGAACAAUUUUGGAUGGUGUUUUAGCAACUUACAGAUGCGAGUCUCUGUAAAAGCAUAGAUUCUAGUAGCAUCACAGGCAGAGUUACAUGUAUAUAUAUUCACUCAGUAAUCACUUAUAUCUCUUAGGAUGAUAAAUACUCGUGAAAGUGUCUAAGAUGCAGGAUGUUAAAGACCUAAGGUAUAGAAAUUAAGAGAUAGCAUAAUGAUAUGUUUAAGAAUUUUAGUGACUAGCAAUGAUGUGUGAUUUCACAGUCACAGGUUCUAUAACAUUCUUGAGUUGAGGUACAUGUUGUGCCAAUUAGUUAUUAUAUAAUCUUCUCACCAGCUCGAAUGCUCCAGACAUCAAUCAAAAGCUAAUCUUAAUUAACCACAUACUCAAUAUUGUACCUGUAUGGACCGUCUCCCUAAAUUGUACUUUGGUUUUCAGGUUGGGAAGCAAAUGCUGCUAAAAAGACUGCUGGGGUAACUAUGGCUCCAGUUGGAAUACAGAUGACACGUUAGCUCAAAAGAUCUUCUGAAUUAUGGCCUGAACUCAUUUUGCACCUUCAAUUCGAAAACCUUAUCCUGUUAAUUUUUCCAUUAAAUUUUCUAUUUGCAAUAAUCUAGUACCUAAUAAAGCUCUUUAUCAACAAGGUGCAAAAUGAGAUUAGUACAACUUUAUCAAGUGAGCUCGUCUUCUGCCAUAUCAUUCAUCUGAUAUGAUGUAUGUUCAGUCCUUGGUUUUUUUUUUUUUUUUUUUUUUUUGGAGUGUAUGAUAUAUGUAGGUUAAAUAUUUUGUUUUGUGAUAAUAAUAAAUCGUACAAUAAUCCUCAAUCUGCCACAUGUGUACUAUUUAAUGUUGUGUGAUGUUUCUUUUAUACCCGGAUUCGAAACAAAUCUGAUGCACACUCAAUCUCCAAUUGCAGAUCAAACAUCAAGCAUUUUCGGCCUUGGAUAUACCUUGUUCCAAAACACAAUCACCAAAACCUUAUGAAUUUAUUGAUAAAGUUUGCGAGGUAAAAUUCCCAUCAUACUUUUACAUAGUAUUAGAUUAGAUUAGUCUAUAUUUAUUAAAUCAGGAUACAAACUUUUAUGUACAUUUCAAGUAGGAAUUAUUCAACUGUGAACUAACACGAAAGAAAAGUAAAUUUAAAUCUAAAUUAACCAAAGUUAAAUGUAGUUUGCAUUGUGCAAGAAUUGACUCCAUUUUUCAUCCAUGGGAGCAUCAAGCAUGAAACGAGGUUCCAACUAAUACUACACAAGCCGGCAUCAGAUUGUUAUGCAAACUGCAAAUAUGUUCAGUCAGGCCAAAAUCCAUCAUCCAUAUAUAAACGGGCUCUGGAACAACUUUUCUUCUUAUCCUGAAAGGAACAAUUGCACGAGAAAAUGUUAGGCAAAUUAUGGUAUCAAUUAUCAAAGGAAAGAAUGUUUAGAUGCACGUAAAGUGACCGGAAAAGUUUAAGUUUGAGAGCUCAGUAGGCUAUCUGGAGCAAAAAUGGCACUACUACUAACUCCCUGCUGUUGUUAGCAAAUUACUGAUUACAGAUAUAAAAUAUCCUUUUAUCUCAACUUUGAUAAGGAAGGAAAAUGAUAUUGGCGCUUCUCAAGUACUGCUUAAACUUCACCUAAUGCAAAAUAAAAAAGGAGUAUUUGAGAUUUUUUGAGAAGUGCUAGUAUCAUUUACCGAUAAGAAAAGAGGGUAAGACCAUGAAAUGGAAUAUCUUGAUCACUUUCCAAUGAGUAUGAAGAGCCAGUAAUGACUCGAUGAUACAAACAUCGUGUUGGAAUGUAUGCUCUAAAACAAUGAUUUUAUUUAAUACAUUUCUUAUUAUGUUUUGUAUUUUAAUAACUUCUUCUAUAUCUGUUAAAUGCUUGAUAUAAUUGAUAAAAUCCUUAGAAUACUUACUAAUGUGAUGGUAGUCACAAGCAUUGAUGACUAUGAGAUAUCAAUCACAUUUAUAGUAAUAUUCUUAAAUUUUAAUUGUCAUAGUACUAAUGAGAGAGAACAUCAUUAGUACGGAAAGACUAGUACACAGUUAGCCUCUACUUAAUGUAAAUAGUGGUUGUUAUCAUUAAUCAUGGUAUAUAGAGACCUAGGCUAAUGUGUAGAUGAUUUAUAAAUUACAAAUACAUUGGAAUGAUCUGCUUAGAGAUCCCAUUAGGAUAUCUAUCUAGUGCCAAUGGUUGUAUCUCUUAUGAAAAGUUAUGUAAAUGAUCCCACGACUUGAGAUCACCAUAGUAUUUUGAGUGUGAAUCACUACAUUUUGACUUUAUUACUUGUUACUGAGAGUGAUUUAGAGAAUAGAGAUUGGGUGUAGCGUGAAGCACAGAAAGAUAAUGAGUGAUCAAAAUAGGAUUCACCACUCCGAUAGUAAGAGUUGAUAUCCGGAUAGCCACCAGUAGGAAAUUAACCCUAAAAAGUCGACUAUGUUAGGUUAAUUGAAAAAUAUUUUUAAGUUAACCUAAUCUAGAGUUAAUUCUGGGAACUAGUAAAUUUAAUUAGUCAAUAGGAAAUUGGCACUCAUUCCUUAUUCCCUGACUAAUUGGAUAUCGGUGGUGAAAGGACAGUAAUUACAUGAUAACUUUUCAUGGAAAGAUUAGCUCAAAAUUCCCUUGACUAAUUCCGAGUACUUGGGUGGUCAUGACAUGUUGCUAGACACAGCUGAUGAUUUAUAAUUAUGAAUUAAUUAAUUAUUAUAAUUAAUGAUAAAAUAAAGUUAUUUAUUUUAUCUAAUUCUUUUUGGGAAUUAUAAGUCAUAAUUAUUGCCAAUGUAUUUGAAGCCUACUGGAUCACACACAUUAGAGAUUUAAUUCUAGAUUAAAUUAUGUGUCCGAGUGAAGACUUGGAAAUAAAGUAUAAGAUACUUUCGGGAUUUAAUUACAAAGAAAAUAAAUUCUAGAACUAUCUAAGCAGAUAGGAGAAAAAAGUUAUCUCCUAUCUAUCAGAUAGCUGAGAGAUGGAGAUUGUUAUUGGAUAUCUUUCGUUUUGAUCUUGAAUAAAACAAUUAGAUCCUAUCUCUUCUUUUUUUUUUUUUUUUUUUCUCUCUAUCUUACCUCUAUUAGUAUGAAAAAAAACUUAAGACUCCAAUGGGGUAUCAAAUUUUCUUUACCAAAUAGAGAGCGUAGAAUGGAAAAAUAUGUGAGACAUAUAUAGAGAGAAAAACAGCAAAGAAAAGUGAAAAGAAAGGCCGGCAACUUUCAUCACUUUCACACACAAAUUAUAAAAAUGAUCCAGAUAUCACUCUCGCGUGGAUUUUGACAAAGACAGGACAUCUUGACUGCUCAAGGGGUCAUUCGUCUUCUGCAAUACAUCAGAAAAAUGUCAUACGGAUUAAGGUAAUUUGUUUUUUCCCUUCUCCUUGAACCAUACGCAAAAACUAGGAUGAUCAUGAGUGGUUUUUGGGAAAAUUUAUGAAAUUUUCGGCUGCCUUAUUUCCCAAAAACCCAACACAUAGGUCAUAGGGUCUGGAAAGGUAAAGUCACAUGAAAGAAAGACAGUAAUUGAAGUAGUGGCCGUCAACUUUCAACUUCUCUUCUUGUAGUUGAGCUGAAACCAAUAAGCAAAAGAAGAUCGGAGUAACAAUAUGACAUGUUAGCAAAAUUCAACCACACAAAGCCUUAAUUUAUGCUAAUUGGUCGCAAACCACCAGAAGAAGUAGCCCUUGUUCUUGAUUGUUUUAGAUUUUACAAAAUCUAACUAUAAAAAUUGAUUAUGAAGAAUAAUCAAAAUCAGCAAAAAUUACUCUUUAAAUCAUUAUAGAUUUUAGCUUUUUUGGUCAUUGAAAAAUCUAUAAUUAUAAUACAAAAGCAACUGAGAACAUCAUAAAAACUGACUCUUCAAAAUCGGGAUAUAUAAUCAAUUAAAAUAAUUAAUCGAGAACAAUUCAUAGUAAUCUUUCUGAAUUGAAAUGCACAAAAUAUUCCAUCACAUCCGUCUAGAGCUUUGAUUAACAAGAAAUGGUGCAACUGUAACUACACUUUCAGAUAAAUUAUGGAUAGGCAAGUAAUUGCAUGCAGCACAUCAUUUAAGCCAGUUGCACACGACUUGAACCUUUUGUCAAGUGUCAUAUAUAAGAUUAAUACAAACUACUCAUGACGGUUUGUGUCCACAAACCUUGAAAAGCAAAUUAACAAGGUCUAAUAUUUUUAAAUAUCUAUGUGAACAAGACAAGAGGUUAUGCUAUCAAAACUGUUGAACUGUACAUUCUCAGUACAAAAUAUCCAGCUACACUAUAAAAUUUCUGACUCAUACACUAAAAAAAGGCAGGUACAUCAGCACUCUUUACACAAUCAUAAAGUAUAGCAAAGCGGGUGGAGCCAGAGUUUGCAUUGUGGAUCAGAAAUAGAACUCUUUUGAUAUACUAAGGGUACCAAUUAGAAUUUCUAGCAAAUCACCUAGCAUAUUCUAAAGGUUCAGGGAACCCAAGGGAAAUGUGCUGUUGCCCCUUCCUACAUUACUGGUAUCAUCUCUCAAAUUUUGGUUUCUGUUUCACUAUUAUCUAUUUAUGUCAAGAUGAUUAAUUAGCAUAUUAAGAAACUGGAGUUUGGCAAGAAAACUUUUUGUUCUCUAAUUGUACAUCAUCUAGGGACACGCCUACUGGAUUUUUUUUCCUAUGAUAUCACCGAGUGAUGCUUUGUAAAGUGUCCCUUUACAUUUUUUUUUUUGUGUUGCCUGCGGCGGCGGGGGGCGGGGGGGGGGGGGUGGCACAGUCUCGGAGAGUCUUCGAGUUAGCACAAAUUAUGUCCCACACAAAUUUACGUAAGGUAGAGUUUGGUUAACGACCCAAUUGCAAGGGCGGGGCUCUACCGGUUCGAUCCGAGCUCUCUUUAUAUUUUCUUUCUUUUCUCAUUUCACUUCUAGAUUCAUCUAUAUGUCCCUUGUUUUCCUGUUCCAUCAUUUAAUCUUCAUAAGAAAGUAAUUAAUUACAUUAAAAUUAUUUAAUUAGUACAAAAAUUCAUUUAUAUAGCAUAUAAGGAUGAUAUAGUCAUCUUAUUAUCAAAAUAAUCUUUUUAACUUUUUUCGAGAACAGCUAUGCAUUAUUAAAAUGACUUUUUUUUAACAGUAAAUGAGAACACAUGUGCUAUUUUUUGAUUUUUAAGAAUCAAUUUUACAAAAUCAUCCCUCACAAAAUCAAAAUCAGUUGAGAGCAUCCCAUGAUCAUUGGAUAGAAUAGGCUCUGAAGUUAAGAGUUUAUGUACUUAAUGGACAUUAAAUCAAAACAACAAUUGAUAAGAAUAAAUCACUUUUUCAUAAAAAAAAAAUCAUAUGUUUAGAUUCCAUUAUUGAUGCGAUCUGUGAAAAUCUCUAUAAGUGACCAAUGGUCUUGGAGAUUUUCUAGCCGUGAUGAUAACUGCAGUCAAAUUCACUCAAAUUUUUUCAUUCAAAAAAGUAAUAGUUUUUAGUCCUUACAAAGUUACACCCAAAUUUUAGCUUCUUAUACAUAAACAUAGGAAAUUGUAUCAAACCAACAAAGUUUAAUAAACGUGAGUGUGUUUAUUUAAAUGAAAAUUUGUGUUUAUUAACAAAUGCUUUCACAGCUCUACAAUUAAUCUUGAAAUAAAACAAAGUUAAUAUAUGAUUAUAUUAUUCUUUUCCACUACACUAGGGUUUUACGUUAUCGUCUUCUUUCAAGUAAGAGGAUUGAAGUAAAAAUUUGUGGUAAUGUAUGAUAUCUUGCUGUUUCAAUUACAACCCCAAAAAAAAAAAAAAAAAAAAAAUUCUUGCUGUUUCAACUACAUUCCUCGUGCUUCUUUUUCAAAACUUCAUUGCUUCGUGCUAUUGUUAUUGCUUUCCUAGUCUUUGAGACCAAGACCACAUUGUAACCAGGCUAUUGGUGCAGGCUUAUUAUCAACGCAGCUAUAGAAUCAGGGAGCUCGUCUUGGCAGGGUCAUGCAUGCUUCGAGCCCAUAAACUAGUACAACAUCAAUUUGAAGUCUAGUGUGCUAAUUAAUAACAAAAUAUAAGUAAUUGUAAAAUUCUUUUGCUAUCCAAAUUACUUAUUUAAGAAUAAUUUGAAUCAAACUUAUUCAGUUUUCAUGCUUCAUAUAUGAAUUAAUAAGAGCUUUAAUAUUUUAUUAGAUGAAUUCAGAUAAAUAAAGCAAGAUCUUGUGAAUCAAAACAUCACCAAUCCAUUUAAUAUUUUAAUUUUCUUAAGGACUUUAUUAUUUCCAUAUAAAAGAAAACAUUAGAGAGAAUCUUGUUAAAAUAGAAAGUCGGUAAUGAAAGUAUAUCACACUUAACUAAUUUGAGUUGAUCAUUCAUUGUGUUCUUAAGUAUGAAUUAGUUUGAAUCAUUGUAAGAGUCUCAAUUCACGAAAAAAGCUAAGAUUUAAUGUGGUUAGGUGAAUCAACCACUUUUACUGCAUAAACAUGAUUAUAUAUAUGGCCUUUAAAAUACCAUUUGAUUUUGCCACGUAAAUGUAAAUGUAAUUUUAUAUAUUAUGCUUCUCAUUCACAAAUUAAAAUGAUGAAAAGAAGAAAUCAAGAUUUGCAUAUUAGAAACUGAGCUUUAAUGUGCAAGUAAUACUGGUAAAUAAAAGUUACAUUGGGCUUAUACAAGUCCUAACUCAAGGAUGGGAAGACUAAUUAAACUAAUUAUUACCUAAUAUGGCAAAUAUAAAUGUUAAUUAGACUAACUUCUUACCUUUCUAAUACCGUGGAUCUUACUACCAACAUAGUAUUGAGGUCAAAUUAGAAAAACAACUCAAGUUACGGCAUUGGUCAAAACAAAAAACAAACAUUGUGUUUGGAUGGUAAGUUAUUACACUUUAUUUACACUUAUUUACAGACACUGAUUUACUUGCAUCAUCAACACAUUUUCUAAUCACCUUUUUAUCUCACAUACAUCAUAUCAAAAAAGUGUUACAGUACUUUUUUCACAAAAUUAUCUCAAAUAAUUUACAAUUCAAACACAAGCGAGGAGACUAAAGCUGCAAUUCCCAAAAAAAAAUCAUCUUCUUCGUUUAAAUCGUCACUGCUCUGUCAUGCACAUCCGUCAAUACGGGCUAAUUAAAACAUGGGAAUAAUUUCAGUCCUGAGAUUUCUGACAAUUUCACUGAACUCCUUUGAAGUUUGAAAAAUUGCACAUACUUUUCUUGUUAUUUAAAAUAACAAUAUUACCUUUAAAUACUUUGAUGAAAUUCCUUUGUUUGGUAUGCUUGUACUUAGAAUGACUUUAAAAUUAUUUUUUCAUUUUUUCCCUUCUUAUUCCUUUUUAUUUUCAUUUUUUGCCAAUAAAAUUGUAAAGUUACCACUAUUAUCUCUAGUUUCUAUUGUGACCAAAUGUCGAACUAAUGAUUUUUUUAAUGAGUUAACUUUAUAUGUAAUCUGAUGUUUUUUGCUAAUCUUUGUUUUCUAUUUUUUGGUAUUAAAAUUAACCAUAAAUAAAAAAAAAUUACCCAAAAUCACUACUAAAUUAUAAUAAUCCCACUACUCAAAAAAUUCAUAAACUUUGAAUCAAUUAUUUUAACGUUUUAUUUUCUAUCUUAUAAAUCUAAAUCCGUAAUAAAAUACCAUCAAAAGUAUCCUAUCAUAAUGAUAAAAUUAUUAUUAUUAUUAUUAUAGUUGUUUAUCAAAUAGUAGUAGGUAUGGACAUGAAAAUUUUGAUACCUUUUUUAUAGAGCAGUUAUUUGGCACAUUUUGCAGUGUUAUUUUGGCCUAAUUUUGGCUAUUUACUGUGCUAAGUACUGAGAUUUAACUCAUAUCUCACAUUCGUAUGAAUUGUAGGUGAUCGGCAUUAAAAAUGAUCUCGCGGGACAAAUUUCCAGAAGACUUGUCGUCCCAGGGCGUGGCCACGCCUUGGGAGGUGGACGAAACCGAAAGCCGAACCGUGGUCCACUGGAACCCGAAGCGUAGGAUCAAAACUCCAAAGGAGAUAGCUUUUGUGAGAUGAAUUGCUCCAGACGUCUCUUCCUUUGACUUCUUGUGUGCGGCGGCUAUAUAAAGAAAGGGGAAGCAAGAUUCAAAAAAAAAAACUACUUUAGCCUUAGGUUCUCAUUUUCUACUUCGAAAAAAAAAAAAAGACUUGUCAGACACUUUUGCUUUCUCUUUUGUUUUCUUCUGCGGCUCUGGGUCAGACAUUGGAGACUUUCUCUUUUGCUGUAGCUUUUGCUAUUGACUUCUGUACAAUUUUCCCUAUUCGAGUUUUGCUUCUACUUUCGCCCCAGGGGUACGAACGCGUAACCCAACAAAGGGAAGCGAAGGUUUUUCAGCCGUUCCUUCAUUAAUUCAUCUUUUCCAAUUCUUCGGUAAUUAAUUGAAUGAAUUCAAUUAAAUCACGCGAGAUUGACACAAUGAGGAGCGGCUAAUUUUCUCCUCUACCCAAAGGUUGACGCGAGGGCGCGAUCCAUCACACCUGUGAGAUUUAAUCAAGCUUUCAUUAUUUCUUCCAAUUCGUUAUUAUUCGUGCGUUUUCUGGAUUAAUUGUUCAUGGGUAUUUGAUUAAUUGAAUAUCAACGGCCGGGUAUUUGAUUUAAUUUAAUAGCCUACCGCCACGUUAGUUAAAUAGAAUCCGUAAUUGUUCAUUUAAUUGACACCCCGUGGCAACCACCAUAAUUGGCUUUAUGAUGGGGAAACGCAAGAUCUAAUUUAAAUAAACCCUCUUAGCGUGUUUAUUGGUUAGGGUUAGGUUCUUCUAUCUUUAAUGCAAUUGGGUAAUUAAAUUCCUAUGGUUGUACCUAGGGUUGUUAUCUGGUUAGAGAAGCAGUUAAUGGUCGUACCUUGACUGUCGAAAAGGUAAGGAAGAACUGGUUGUCAGAGCUUAUUGAUAACUAUAACCAACCUAGUGAUGAAUGGAUGAAAUAUCUUUGCAUCGAUAAUCAUUUAAUUGGACCGUGCCUGAGCAGUUGAUCCUUUGGGUAGAACUUUUAUUAAUUGCUAUUUUUAGUGAAUUGUGUUUUGUGAGUUAGUUUCGAAUUUAGUUCGCUUUAUCUUUAUUUUACUUUUAUUUUAUUUAUUUAUCUCCCAUUGAAAAUCCCCCAAUUUUGUUCUACUGAUUUGGAAAGAAAUAAUUUUCUACCCGCUCCCUGUGGAAUCGACCCUACUUGCCAUUGUAUGCAAAAAUUAAUAUUUUUAUAGACAAAUCCGGUAUAUCGAAUCAAGCAAACUCUUCGGGAACAUGGUGAAUCAAGUAACCCAUUGCACACCUAGGGUCCGUGCUCCAGUACUUGGAUUUGUUUUAUAACUAUUUAAUUGAGGUGGUAAUUAGGACUUUUUAGAAUUAUUAUUGCACAGGUUCGGCACCUGUCACUUUUCCUUAUAAUUACAUUAAAUAAUCUUAUAAUUCUAUACGGAAGUAAAUUAAAACUCAUUACACAAGAGCAUUUCUGAGUAUUCAUUUAAAAAUUUGAUCAAGUCAAAUAUUAUUUUAAGGUUUUGUUACUAAAACUAUCAAAUCAAGGGAGGUAUGUGUAAUUUUUCAAAUCUCAGGAAAAUCAGUGAAAUUGUCAGAAACCUUAGGAAAGGUUUCUGAAAUUAUCCCUAAAACAUGAGUAGCAAUCCACUGAGAAUCUUUAUUUUUGUUUUAAAGUUAUGUUUCUUUCUAGUUUUUGUGCUUCCUUUCUUUUUUUUUUUUUUUUUUGAGAAAACCUUGGAGGCAUUUAGACAAUUACAAGUUCCUAGUUAACCAUAGACGAUAGCAAACAUCUUCAUAUCAACAUUAGAGAUUCACAGAAAAGUUUCAACAAGAAAUGACAAGAAGCCACCCAACAUUUCCACAUAUUUGUAUGACCAGAAAAACAAAAGGAAUUCUCGUAGAUAUUAACUUUGAUCCUUUUCACACUGAAAAGCAAAGUAUGUAUAUGUAUAAAUUGGUGGGUGGAAGAGGGAGGCUUGUGCAAAUAGAUGAGUGGCAAGUAUACAUUCCCUUAUCAAAUCCACUUUUGUAGGUAGCUUGUCCAAAUCAGAAUCUUUUCUUACUAUGGACUCAGGUCCUCUCUAUUGAAUUAGAUAUAAAUUCUCUCCACUCCAUUACAUUACAACAAAUGAAUUUGAAAUCAACAGCGUUCAAAAUAUAAUUCAAUCACUCAUAUUAACUAUAUGCAGAAAUUCAUAUUAAAUUGACUUAAUUUUAUUCGUUGGUUAAUCAUUGCAAAACUUUGUUAUGUGAUGAAUUUUUCAGCAUUUAAAUAUUUCAAGCAAAUUGAAUGCCCAAGUAUUCUUAAAGCAAAUAUCGAUUUUCAAUAUGUUGAUGUAUACACCAUCAAAACGAGAAAAGAUAACAUAAUCAGAUGAUUCUCAAAAAAAUUAUAUAGUAAUUUGAAUAUAAAUAAAUGGAAAGACAAAUGGUGAGAAACCUACUGUAGCUAGUGGAUUUCAUCUAGUGCUGUUAAUCGAGCCGAAUUGAAUCGAAUAUUUGAUUCUCGAACUUGACUCGUGCCUCUGUCGAGCCAGGUUCAAGCUCGCCCGACUAAGUGGACGAGUCUUGAAGUGUGUUUGAGAUCGGUUCGAUAAAUAGGGCUUGUGACUCGAGUUCGACUUAUUUAUCACAUGUGAAUUGAGCUCGCUCAAACUCAAAAUCUCAAACAGCUUUUUUUUUUUUGUCAAUUUUUGUGAUAUUCAUAUAAAUGCCACAAUUCAAUCACAAAAGUUUUAUGAAAUGACAUAUAUGUCCUUUCUUAUUGAACCAAACGAGCUGCUUGAAUAACAAACAAGAGUUGGCCUAAUUUGUUAAUUAAUCGAGUAAAUUUUUAGCUUGAACUUGACUUGUUUAUUAAAAUUAAUGAGCCAAGUUCGCGCAUUAUCGAGCCGAGCCCAUUCGAGCUUUCGAGCUUCUUGUUUGGUUUAACAACACUAAUUGCAUCCUCUUUGUCUUGAUUCAUGUCUUGUCUAUACCAUUAUUGCAGGUGCCUUUCAAUGCACAUAAAAUUGUCUGUCUAUGACACUUCCUUUUCAUCUCCAUCGCAUCCCUUGCUGUAAAGUUUCCAUUGGCUCUCUCCAUUAUGUUCCACCAGCUAGAAGGGGUCAUUUUGCCAUGAUGUUAUGUUGCGACCAUGGGAAAUAAGCUGGGUAGUGACGGUGACUGCAACGGCCUAUGUAUGUUUAACAUGCUGUAGAUGUUCAAUCCGACGUUCAUGGGCAUACCUUAAAAUCUUCGCAAGGACGUUGAUGAGUUUUGAAACGACCCCAUUUUGUAAAUGGUUUUGUGGUACAGCCAAAUCUUUUUUUUUUUUUUUUUUUUUUGGCGGAUUACAAAUGAUUCUUUCUCUUUAGACUGACUCUUUAUAUAACGCCUAUGAAAGCAAACAUUCCCUGAAAAUUAAUUGCACUCGAGGUCCCUCUUGUGUUUCAAUAUAGAUUCUAGCUAAUAGCUAAUCAAUUUUGGUUUCCUAUUACUACCACACCCCUACUAGUUUUUCCAAGCAUGGCUUCUGGAAAUGAGAACAACGAUUGGUCUACCGGCCUCUGUGAUUGCACUGAAGAUUGCCGUUCCUGUAAGUUCCAAGAAUUCAAAUGCCCAAUAGAUACCAUUCUAUAAGGUUUCUGAGGGUCUUAAUUGUUCUAUUAUAAUGCAACCCAUGCUUCAUGUUCAUAAACAUUUUGGCUUGACAGGUUGCCUUGCCUGCUGGUGCCCUUGUGUUGCUUUUGGGAGGAUUGCUGAGAUCGUGGAUAGAGGCCAAUCCUGUUAAGUACAAAACAAGAACUUUUCUUAUAGUUGUUCAUCAUUAAUCUUGCUAGCUAUCAUCAGAUAUGAAAUGCAUUCAUGAUCAUUAAUUUUCUUCUUUUUUUUUUUAAAUUUUUUGAUAUAUAGCUUGCUGCCAGAUGGGGUGCGUUUUCUGUCUGCUAGGUCUACUCCUGUUGAAUCAUGGGUCCUUGUCAUGGAUUGUUAGCAUGGGCUAUCGCACCAAGAUAAGGCAACAAUACGGUAUUAUGGGAGGCUCAUGCCAUGAUUGUAUCCUUCAUUUCUGUUGCGAGCGUUGCGCCUUGUGCCAAGAGUACCGUGAACUCCAGUUCCAAGGAUAUGAUGUUUCUGCUGGUAUGAACAUUUUGCUGCCCAUGUCCUCCUCCUCUUUAUAUUCUAAAUUCUUGAACAAUUUUGGAUGGUGUUUUAGCAACUUACAGAUGCGAGUCUCUGUAAAAGAAUAAUCUCAUUCUUUCUCAUUAGAAGUUAGAAUUAAGUCCUGAGUUGAGGUACAUGUUGUGUCAAUUAGUUACUCUUUUCACCGACUCGAAUGCUCCAGACAUCAAUCAGAAGUUAAUCUUAAUUAUUAACCACAUACUCAAUAUUGUACCUUUGCGGACCGUUCUCCCUAAUUGCACUUUGGUUUUCAGGUUGGGAAGCAAAUGCUGCUAAAAAGAUUUCUGGGGUAACUAUGGCUCCAGUUGGAGAAAAGAUGACGCGUUAGGUCAAAAGAUCUGAAUUAUGGCCUGAAUUCAUUUUGCGCCUUCAAUUCGAAACCUUAUCCUGUAAAUCUUUCCAUCUAAUUGUCUGUUUGCAAUAAUGCAGUACCUAAAACUCUAUGUUGUACCUUCAAAACUUUGAAUGGUGCAAACUGGGAUUAGUACAACUUUAUCGAGUCAGCUCUUAUCUUCUGCCAUAUCAUCCAUCCAUCUCAGAUGUUGCUCAGACUCCCGUUACGUAUGUUCAGUUCUUUGUUUUUUUAUUUUUAUUUCUUAUUUUGAGGGUAUGAUAUAUGUAAAGCCCUGUUUGAUAAUCCAAUUCAUCAUUUAAAUUUUGACUGAUUCAAAUCUUAAGAUAUUCAAACACAGUUGAUAAUCAACAGUAAAAAAAUAUUUUGAAUGAAUUAAAUGAUACUGAAUUUUUUAAUCAAAAUUUACUCUAAAAAAACCCAUGUUUUUAAACUCAGAUUAGACCAACCAGUCAAAUCGAGAACCAGUCAAAUGUCCUGUCCGAUCGAGUUACCUUAAAAACUUAGGGUCGUAGAAACUCGAUCAAACCCAGUAAAAAAUCGGGUUUGACCGAAAAUCUUAUCUUCCAUUUUGUUGAAUUUUCUUUUUCCUUCCUUACCUCUAACUCCAAAUUUUUGUGAGCUCUUCCCUCCUCUGUAAAUCCAUUUUCACUCUUUCACUUCAAUUCAACCAUAAAAAAUCAAUGUUUUAACCUUUUUUUAAACAAGAUCUAAUUAAAUCUUGUAUUCAAAAGAAGAAAAGAUCUAAAAAAAAAUGCAAAAAACGGAGUGGAGAAGAGAAAAGUUUCAAGAAAACAGAUAAAAACUUGAUAUUUCAUGAGUUUGAAAAUAAAUAACUAACAAAAUAAGAAUGAAAAUGAAAUUUAAAAAAAAAAAAGAAGAAGAAGAAGAAAGGAGUUGCAAAAUGGCAGGAGAAAAAGGAAGAUGAAACUCUGGUUGUUGUGCUCUAUGGAAUGCGUCAGGAGUGGAGGAAGAAAUUGAAAAGUGUGAUGAGGGGUCGAAGCAUUUUAAAUAUUAUGUUUUGACCCGUCGGUUGUUAAAAAUUAUUAAUAUACGUCAAAUAUUUUAUAUUUUAUAAAUGUUAUUCUAAAAUUUGAUGUUAUUUUUCAAUCAAGUCCAUAAUUUUAAUUCUAAACUUGUUAAUGUUCAUUGAAUAACUAUUUGAUCGUUUUAAUUUUUUUGUAUUUUCUUGUUAAAUGCAUUUGAAACAUCAAAUAUAUAUAAAUAUGUCUAUAUUGAAAUUAAUAUGUUCUUAGGUAUUUUACAUACAAUAUUAUAAAUUUUAAAUAAAUUAUAUUUAUGACAUCAUCCUAAUAGACCCUCAAUUAAACUCAUUAACCCCUGAGUUUAACCGGAUCGAUAUGUAAUACACACUCAAAUAUAUUAAAUUUAACAUUUAACAAUUCAGUAACUUAACAUGUUAACUUAUUCAGACUCUGAAAACAAUUCAAUAAUUUAACGGUUUUAUCAACAGCACCCUAAGUUAAAUAUUUUGUUUUGUGAUAAUAAUGCAUCGUACAAUAAUCCAUAUCUGCCGCAAGUGUACUAUUUACUAUUAUGUGAUGCUCCUUUUCCACCCAGAUUCGAGACAAAUCUGCUGCAGACAUUUGCAAUUGUCAAUUUCAAUUAUACUAUAUUAUGCGGGCGCAACAUAUCUAAAUACUAAAAGUAUAGACAUUAGAAUAGUAACGUACCAAAAAUACAACAAAUUUCUUUACUCACAGAAGGUAGUUUCGGACAAUUAACUCCAUCCACUCAAAUUCAGAUUAUUCCAUCUGGGUCAAUAAUUAUAUGGUGCAAUUGCAGAGAGUCCUGUUCCAAAAAAAUUCUUCUAUUGUAGAUCAGACAAUCAACCAAAGUCAAGUGUAGUUCGCAUUGUGCAAGAAAUGACUCCAUCUUACAUCCAUGGGAGCACAAAACGAGGUUACAACUAAUAAUACGCAGGCCGGCUUCAGGUUAUUACGCAAACUGCAAAUAUGUUCAGUCAGGCCAAAAUCCAUCAUCCAUAAAUGGGCUCUGGAUCUACUUUUCUCCUUAUCCUGAAAAGGAACAAUUGCAUAAGCAAAUGUUAGGCAAAUUACAGUAUCAAUUAUCAAAGGAAAGGAUGUUAGGAUGCACGUAAAGUGGCCAGUAAAAGUUAAUUUUGAGAGUUCAGCAGGCUAUCAGGACCAAAAAUGGCACUAGUAGUUAGCAAAUUACUAAUUACAGAUAUAAACACCGUUUUAUCUCAACUUUGCUAAGGAAAAAGGGUAAGAUCUUGGAAUGGAAUAUCUUGAUCAUUUUCCUAUUAGUGUGAACAGCCAGUAAUGACUUGAUCAUACUAACAUAGAUUACAGGACAGGGUAACAUAGUGGUCGUCAACUUUCCACUUCUAAUCUUUUAGUUGAGCUGAAACCGAUAAACAAAAGAAGAUCAGAGUAACAGUUGUUAGCAGAAUUCAAGUCCACAAAGUCUUAAUGUUAUGCUAAUUGGUCCAAAACCACGAAAAGAUGUAGUACUUAUCUUUCUGAAAUGAAAUUGCGCAAAAUAUUCCAUCACAUCAUCGGGAGCUUUGGUUAAUAAGAUAUGGUGCAACUGUAACUACACUUUCAGAUAUAUUACUAUAAAUGGGCAAGUAAUUGCAGCACAUCAUUUAAGCCAGUUGCACCGGACUUGAACCUUUUGUCAAGUGUCAUGAGACUAAUACAAACUACUCAUGACGGUUUAUGUCCACGAGACUUGAAAAGCAAAUUCACAAGGUCUAGUGUUUAUAAAUAUCUACAUGAAGACGAGAGGUAAUACUAUCAAAACUGUUGAAUUGUACAUUCUCUGUGUAAAAUAUCCACAUGCACUGCAAAAUUUCUGAUUCAUACACUAAUAAAAGGCAAGCACAUCAGCACUCUUUACACAAUCACAGAGUAUCACAAAGCAAGUGGAGCCAGAGUUUGCAUUGUGGAUCAGAAAUAGAACUCUUUUGAUAUACUAAGGGAACCAAUUAGAAUUUCUAGCAAAUCACCUAGCAUAUUCUAUAGGUUCAGGGAACCUACGGGAAGUGUGCAGUUGCCCCUUCCUACAUUACUGGUAUCAUCUCUCAAAUUUUGGUUUUUUGUUUCACUAUUAUCUAUUUAUGUCAAGAUGGUUAGCAUAUUAAGAAACUGGAGCUUGGCAAGAAAGCUUUUUGUUCUCUAAUUGUACAUCAUCUAGUGACACGCCUAGUUUUUUCUCAUGCAUCAUCCUAUGAUAUCGCCGAGUGAUGCUCUGCAAAGUGUCCUUUUACUCUUUUUGUUUUUGGGGGGGGGGGGGGGGGGGGUGUGUGCGUGUGUGUCUUGGAGUUAGCACAAUUUAUAUCCCACAUAAAUAAAACUAAAAAGCAUUAUCAGGAUGUUUAUAACAAAUUCACCAAAACUUCCACAAGGCAUUAGUCUAUAGUCAUUGGAUAGAAUAGCGUGUGAAGUUAAGAGUUUAUGUAUUGAAUGGGCAUUAAAUCAAUUCUUUUUCAGCUAAUCAUGAGCUAGCUUGGCAUCAAAGCAAGCAAGAAAGGGAAUGUGAAGGAAGAGAAGGAGCUAAAGAAGAAUGAAAUAGUCAAAAUUUGUCUUAUUCAAAAAGAUUCCAACUACUUGGCAAAUCAUUAUUUCUGAGGUAUAUACUGGGACAUCUAUGAGCCUACAGAAUGUGGAUAAAUAAAUUCUUAAAGAAAGACUACCACAGGAUUGUUCCUAGUGUUCUGCUACUAAAGCUUACCUGUUUCUGGAUUUCACAUCUCUGUACAUAUCAAAAACACCUUCAUUUUCUUAAGUAUUCAAUUAACAAAUCUUUGUUAAAUAAAAAUACAAGAAAGACAAUGAAGUCCUACUCUUGAUAUUGCCUCACAAACUGAACCACAAGUCCUAUUUUCAGACCAAUAGCAAUGGUGUUCUCCCCGUAUAAGUACUGUAGGCUGCUCUAUACUCAAUAUCUUAAGAUAUAUUGAUCGAUAAGAUUAACUUCGAGAAGAAGGACCACAUGAUAAUUUAACAGAGAAAAAAACAAAAAGAGCAUAAAGCGCCCAAUGAAUUUUAGAACUGGCAACACAGGUAAGAAAGCCAUCUUUAACUGAUUGUAGCUCUCAUCUAUAUGCUGUUAAUAUAUAAUUUUAUAAGAAGAUAUGCCAUUAUAAUUAUUCUUGAAUUCCAUAACCAUUACAGGAAAAUUUAACCUGGAUCUUCCAAACCUUUAGACUGGAAUGUAAAGCAAAGAAUCAAAACAAUCAACACUAAAGGUGUGCCCAGAUAAAAAUCACAGUCAUGGUAGAGUAAGGAAUUAAAAUACGGGCAUCUGCAGUCACUAACCAAUUAUCUUGUGCCCAUCUGCAACCAUCAGUAUCCACCACAUGUAAACUGUAAGCAUGUCUUGAUUGUGAUGACCGAUUCUCAAAACUGUAGACCAAAUAAGUUAAAAUAAAAAAUCAUGAUGAAGGCAUGGAAUAAACUAUGUUAAUUAAACAUCUAUACUCAACAAAGAUCAGAAUUUUCUUCCUACUUAACCACUAAUCAUUGUUCAAGUUCCUGAGAAAGUUACCUUUGGUGGAUGAGAUCUCCAUGAAUGACUACCAAAGACCCUGCUUUCACUUCAACAGGAACAAAAUCUUUUUGGUCAUAGGAUGGAGAUGGCUUAUCAAAAUGUACACCAUUCUCAUCUCUAAUGAAUCUCCUCACAAGGCCAUCUGUAAACAAUCAAAUAUUCUUUAUGGCUUGAUUUGGUAUGCUUCUGGGAAAGAAAUAAAAACUAAAUAGAGGAAGAUUGUUACUUUUAUGGGAUCCAGGAAUGGCCCAAAGGCAACCAUUUACGAGUGUUGCAUCUUCUAAAGCAAGCCACAGCCCUGUGCAAGUUGAUGGUUCAGUAUAGAGGAAGGAGUUAUCCUGGUGCGGCACUACUUCACCUCCAAUACCUGGUUGCUGAAAUUAAAGUUUAAAAUGUUAUGACGAGAAACCAAGCAUGCACGAUAACAUCAGCAUCUAAAUCGAAGAAAGUCAUCAGGUCAACUGGCAUCACUUUAACAGAAAAACUUCCAUGUUAAUUAAAAAUGUUUAAAAUUAACUAUUCAUUACCAGUGAAAAAAUUAGGCUUCAAAGUUAUUUUUGAGUCUUCAGAAUAUAAGCCAUCCAAAGUUUGUGCAUCAUUUACUGAGAAAUACAUCCAUUUCAGUUAUGCCUUAGGUCGGGAGAGGAAUGUCAGAAAAAACGAUGGAUACUGCAUGAAGACUUCUUCCUUGAAACAUUUAAAGUAUAGAAGUUUUCAAAUAUAUAUCCUAGUAUUGUCCAAAUAUAAAUGCAGAAAGAUAAGGACUUUUGACAAGAAACCUUUCAAAAACUUAAGAUUCACUCCUUUUGUAACUAUUGGAAUUUGGAAGUAGCACAGCAUACAUUCUUCAUUCACAAUGAAGCUAAUACCAUUAAUGAAAGCUACUUGCAUUUCAAUAAUAACAAUGAAAGGAAUACCUUAAAGAUGUACAUGGAUUGGAUAAUAACUGGUUUUUUAUAACCCAAUGAAAGCAACAACCCAGACAGCUUAUCUGACCUAGAGAACUUCUUAAAUACAGGAUCAAGCUCAUCUAAGGCUGCAAAACAAUACUUAUUGUUAAAAUAUUUUUCAAUGCCAGUAUAAAUUAAUUAAAUAAGCACAAAGUUCCUUCAUAGCAUACCAUGUCCAACUUUGUUGAUUGAGAGUUUCUUCGGUUGCUUCAAGUUACCAUCCUCAUCAAAUGCUUUCUCUGCAAAGCAACUUUUAUCAGCAUACUAUACAACACAUGAAAUGCAAAUCAACAAAUCAAGUUCAAGGCACUUCUAUCAAGACUACUGCAAAGUACAGUAUACCCAUUAGCAGAUAUCAAGAGACUUAUUGAAAGCAAAGAAAAAAUAUUUUAUAAUGUUUAAAUUGCAUCUGAUUAUCUAAUACCAUUAACAGGCAUAUCACCAGUGUUGGGCCUUGGUAGGUGUGCAUCAAAAGUCAAUGGGUUUUUGGUCGGAAGGACAGGAGAAGAGACUUGAGGAGAAGGAAAGGGAGGGGUGGAAAAAGUUUGAGAAGAAAAGGAAAAACAGUAGGAUGAGAGAAGUCUAUUUCCAUGAAACCAGCAGUAUCUUUUCUACAAUAUCCAAUGAAAACAUGAAUAAUUAGGUAAGUAGCCCACUUGUGAACCGUAUAAAUUUCAUCAGGAAUAAUCGGAACAAACCAAAAAAGGGCAUCUAAACUUAAAAAAUUUCUACUUUACUUCAAUUCCACAUACGAUUUUCCUGUUUAUCCUCCCAAACACAUUAAAUUCAAAUAAAAGACGAAAAUGGAAUUAGUGGAUCAAAAGGAGGACAAUAGCUCACGAGUCAACAACCACAAUACCUUCAAAGAAGAAUGAAAUCUUCUCAGCACUUUCAAAGAAGUAGUCAUUUGUAGCAUGUUGCUAAACAAACAAACAAAUCCCAGAAAAAAAAAUCAAUUAAAAUCAAAGCAACCCAAAAAACAAAAAAGCAAAACUUGAUUAGCUGCCAAUCAUAGUUUUCACAAUUCUUACGUGGGUUUUGGUGGAAAAAAUAGUGGAAGUUGUAGAAGGGUCAAAUUCAUCAAGCAAAUCAUCCAUUCUUUUCCUCAUGGAUUCUAUCUCCUCUAGGCUUGAAAAUGAUUCCAUCACCAAGUAUCCUGUUAGUAUCAGACAGCAUUCAAAUUAAUCAAGAAUCAAAUCUUCCAUCAGCUCUAUUGUUCAUAAAUUAAAAGCCCAUAUAAAUUAUUACUUAGACCACCAAAAACAAAAUAGAUGAUGUGGGAUUAUUACCUUGGGUAUUGAAGAAGUUAAGCUGGUCUGAGCUGAGGCUUCCAUGGAUGCCCAUGUUGACUUGUUUUAUUCUUCUUCUUCUUCUUCUUCGUGGCAGGCUUGAGAAUCCCAGAAAAAUGCACUAGACUACUAGCUAUAGUUAUCUGCUCCAGUCAGGCGAAUAGUAGAAAAUCCCAGCAUCAGCUGCAUCUAUUUAUAGUGUUCCUUUUGUUUUGGUUUCGUAGUCUUACCCUUCUUUUCUUUUCCUUUUCCUUCAAUUCAUGUUUUUCAUAGUUUGGUUUUUUAGCCUAUUUGCACUCAUGGUACUUGUGAAAGUAUAGAAAAACAUAUGUGCUUAUCUAUUUUGUUUAGAUGCCAACUUUUGCUAGGAACGGUAGCUUUUGUUCUUCGUAUAAUUUCAGUGACAACAUAAAACAUUAGGGUACAUGAGGUGACUGGUAGAUAGGGGGUAACAUGUCUAGAAUAAAAUUGCGAUGAGUAAUAUGGAUACAAUUUGUAAUUUAAGGAUGCAUAGCGCCAACGUGAGAUUUGAUGUAAACCUUAGGGCUGCAAGUUAAUUGAUACAAGUCCAACUAUUGAUGAGCCUUCCCUUUUUUUCUUCCUUUUUCUUUUAUUUUCUUAAAAAAAAAAAAAAGAAAAGCCAAGAAAUCUUUUUUAUUGCUUAGCAAGAACAAUCGGAAAUCAUGUUCACGAAGUCAACUCAGAACUUGCAGGAUAAAAAUUUUAAUUGAUCUGAACUACAUUUGAGUAAGCCUUAAUUUUUGCAAUGAAAGAAGUCUCAAUGUUUUGUGCGUUUUCAGCCUUCAGAAGCACGAUGUUGUUCAACAAAACAAAAAUUUAGGAGUAUCGAUGAAGAGAUGAUGAGCAAGCACCUUUCAGGAUAGGGUGAAUUCCUGUACAGUAUCUCAUUUCCUUUUCAUGAAUUUUCAUGCCAGGGUUGGACAAUCAUAAAACUCAAAAUCUAGCAAGGUCAGAAGGCAAAAGAAGCAGAAGAUCAACAGGUGUUCGAACCAUUGUUCCAUACAUUGAUAAGCUCAUAAACAAGAUUCUCAAUCAGCCUCGUGCCCCAAAGAGUCCUGCGACCCCAGAAGAAAGUUGAAAACAAUCAAGGUCAAAAUAUGAUAUGAUACGAGCCAUGCAAUGCAAAUUCAAUACAAGGGCAAGUAUCAAACCAGAAACCAAAGCAGUGCCAUUGGUAAAAGGGGCAUCCGAAGUGAAAAAUUUGGAACCCCAGUUUUAUAGAUAUGGACUUUUCAUCCUGAUUCUAAAGUCUUACAAUGCUAAUACAUCUAACUGAUGUACAAGAUACAAAAAGGGCGCAAAAGGACUGGGACACUAUAUCGUGUGUCGAUUUACAUCGUGUUAGAUACAACAGCUGCAAGACGAAUUGAUGUCAAGUCAAUGCCUGAGAAACUGGUGCGGUUGAAAGAUCUUCUGGCAUCAUUUUGCAGAUUGAUGCACUUACCGCUCAACACGUCCCCAGGAAAUACUAAUCGAUCAGUCAUCCAACAAUUCCAAGAAUCAAACUUCGGCCCUCUCCCAAUUUGAGAGGGGAAAAAAUGAAAGAAUCACAAUCAAGACGUUAGCAGCAAGAGGCACACACAAAAUUACAGCAGGCAUACACCUUGAACUAUUUACUGGGAGAGAUCACGUUACUGAUGACAAUUUUGAAUCUUCUGUUCUAUUCUGUCGGCACAUGCAAUCUGGGCAUGGGAACGAAUAUGGAGAGUCAUUUGGCCUUUUGAGCUCAAUCCCUUUGGAAUCACUAUGAGCUCGCAUGCUUAGCAUUUGCCUCUUGAAGCUCCUCCACCUGGAGACAAGGUCACUAAAACAUAAUUAAAUAGGUAAAGAUACAUUAAUAUCAUAUCAAAAGCAAACUUAAACCUACACAACAAUGUGAACACCCAUUGAUGUCAUUAUGAUAGGUGAACACAUGAAUGCUGCAUCAUUUUCUGCCCUCAAAAACUUUAGACAACAAACAUAUAUACUGAUCCAAUAAAAACCCCCGCCAAAAUCAAAAGCUUAUUUCCUGCCUUCUAGGAAAGCUAUAUAGUUCUCUCUAGGUAGCUUGGCAACACGAAAGAAGGUUAAUAGGGGAGCAUAUUAUAACCAAGGUGCCUUUCAUAGCGCUUUCACAUUUUGCAGAAAUACGCUAACUGGGCUUCUCUCCAGCUGAAGCAUGCUAUUAAACCAAUUUAGAGGCCGCCUUUACACUCUCUUGCACCAUAACCAGAUUAACAUACGGAGUCCUUGCACGUGUGCACUAAACUAUAGCAUACAAAUGCUGUGAUUUAAGACAAAAACAAAGCUAAGAAAAGACAUCAUACCCAAUAUUUGGAUUAUCAAAGAUUACUGCCAACUUUCGCUUAUCAGGCUUAACCGUCCGGGAAUGUCCGCCAUACAAAAAUCUUCUAUGGCCCAAAAGAAAAUGGGGAAAGUUUCCACCUUGAGUUGUCACAAAUACUUCGCUGUGAAGACAAACGGUGUAGUCUAUAGCAGCCAUCCUGGAAGAGUAAUUCUUAAAGCAGUAACUCAAAUUAAAACUUGAUCUUCAAUUAAACAAAACAUAGUACCACUAAAAAAACUUUAACAACUAAAAUCAAAUCAUUCAGACCUGAAAUGGUGCUAGCUCUUCUUCAGAUGCGAGCAUUUCUUUUGUUUGUAAAAGCGGAAACAUUUCGAGCAGAGGAGCCAUAUACCUCUCAGAAUCAUAUAUCUUUCCUGACGCUAAAAAUAUAGCUGUAUUUUUAUCAAAACCCAUCCCCCGUAGCAUCAAACCAACCUGAUCAAAUACAUGAUAAUACAGACACAAUCAAGUGGAUGGACAAUUUAGAAAUAUGCACCAUUGAAGCAUCCAUAAUUUAAGUCAUUGCAAAACGGAGAAUGAAAAAUCGUCCAAUGUGAAUUGGACGCAUGGCUGGAAUGAUUAGGAGGGUAAGAGGCAAUGUGGAAGAAGACCACAAAGGUCAAUAGUUAGUUUAAUCAUUUUAGAAGAGUAUAAUGAGAAGAGAAUAAAAAGCUAGAUGGGUCACCUUCAUUUCAAAUUGUCCCCACAAACUCCCUUCAUCCUAGUUAAAUUGAUGUACUUGAACUAAGAAUCUUUGCAACUAAACAUAUCAAUAAAGAGUCUUUCCUAGAAUUUGGUAGUUAAUGACUUUAAACUUUUGAUAGUGGACAAUUCUUCUCGAACCACCAGAAAAGGACAUAAGGACAAUCAAAAAGUGGAUGGAAGGAGAACUACUCCUUUGAUGUCAAAAUUGUUCCCGAUUUAUAAAACUUGAUUUGGUUCUUAUCAACUUUUUGAUUCAUAGUUGGAUAUAGGCUCUUUCUGUUGAAGAUAAUACUGAUUCCUAUAUGAUAAAUGUAUAUUUGCUUCACGUAUAACUUUUAUGAAUUGAAUUCAUGUCUAGGUAUCCAGACAGUAAUUGGAAACAAAUUCAUGAGUGGAUGCUUCACCAAAUUGCAUUCAACUUCAGGUUCCACCACAGGUACCUGACUUGCUACCAUUAGAUUUUUACUUAAAACUGACAUCCUCAAGCACAAAAUCAGUUUGAAACUGUAAAGCUCCAUCUUGACUCUAUCCCAACUAGGAUGUACUUUGCCACUUCAGACUUACCAAAUGGAAAUGAAAAGAUAUUAAAUUUUGCAUCCUGAUUACUUAAAUAUGCUUCAAAGCACACAGAAAGGUACAUUUCCAUACAUUCAAGCACAUAAUCUUAAAUACUAAUGGUAAAUUCCAAAAAGAAACAUAGAGGCUACAUGGCACUACUAAUACCAUUAGAUAAAGAAAAUAGCAUGAAAGUACAUAACCCAUAAGCAAAGGAGGAUACAAGUAUAGAUUGAUCAUUGAGUAAACAAAACCAACUUCUGACAACAUAAUUGGAGGAAUUAAGAAU